AAUUAACAACUAAUUUUGACGGUUUAAAAUUUAAACUAUUUAAAUAUUUUUGAAAAUAAUUGGCGCUCAAUUAUUGGAUAUAAUUUAAUUUAUUAAUAUCAUUUAUAAAUCUACCCCCACCUACCCAUUACUAAUUAAGCCCACCCAAUUAAUAAUCAUUUCUAAUAUCAAAAUCUCCCUAAAAACUCUACUAAAGCACGAUGAAAUUACAGAUUCCUGAAAAAUGACAUUCAAAAUUAUUUGAGUCCAAAUUGGAGCCCAAAUUAAAUUUAGGUUGAGCCACUUAUUUAGGAAAACACUUUCAAUAGGAUUUUGUUUCAAUGAAGUACCUCUCGAAUUAAUUCAUGCACUAUUUUUAAUAUAAAUUUAUAAAUAUAAAUUUAUAAAUAUUUAUCAUUUGUUUUAACUAUUAAAACCUUAAUAUGUUCUUUUAAAAAAAUAUUAUCAAUUAAGUAACAUCACAUAAUUGAGGCGAAUGGUUAAUAAAUAUGAACAUAGUCAGUUUUUUAAGUUUAUCAGUAAUUUUUAUUUAGACACUUAAUUAAAAUAUGUUUUGAUUGGGGACUUGAAUGUUGAUAAUGUACUUCUGUAGACAUUUUCGCCUCAAAUUUUUAGAACACUCAUUGGUAGUAGUUUUCUUGUUGUGCAUUAGUAAUGUGGCGGGCUUAUUAAUUAGGUAUGGUUUAAUUACUAAUGUAUGGGUAAUAGAUUUGCUUAUAAAUUAUAUUAAUAAGUUAAAUUAUAAUAAAUAGUUGAUCGCUCAUGUAUUAAAAAAUAUUUAAAUAGUUUAAAUUUAAAAUCAUUAUAUAAGUGGUUAAUUUUGGACCCAAAGGUGGAUGAGAAGGGUAUUUUGGAGUCAAUAGGUGGAUGAGAAAGGUAUUUUGGAGCUAAUAGGUGGAUGAAGAGUAAUUUUGUACCAUUUCUGAUACUUCAAGGAUAUUAUAGGCUCUUGUCCGUAUAAACAAAAUAGAGAUAGCAUAAUGCACAAUAGACAAACAUCACACUUAAUGCAAUAAACGAUGCCCGUUCAUCCAUGGAGACCUGGAGCUGCCAGCUUAUCGUACUAAAGAGUCAAGCUAGCUUACUUGAAGCAAAAAGAAGAAAAUAGCUUUAAUCAAAGAACUAAAAAAAAUGACAUCAUUAUUCAAAUCAAACAUGUUAAAUGAUGACAUAAACUACAUCAAUAAUGGCCAUUGAAAAUAGUAUGGUGGGGUAGCAAUACCAAAACACAUGAUUAAACAAAAGAAAAAAUCAUACUAGAGACAAUUUCAGAUACGUACAUAUAUGUCACAAUAAAAUUUAGGCCUAGCCCAUUAGUGGCCCCCUAAACUUGGCAGAAACUUUUAGUUAGACACUUCAAUUAAGCUUUGUUCAUUUAGACACCGCAUGUCGCGUCUCAUUGUGUCUUUAUACACUUUUCGCUGACUAAGCAUGGUAUGUGUGCUACACGAAUUUAAAGCGUGUCAGAGACUAUUAUUGUAAAUAUUUUGACUUUUUUUAAUAAUGUUCUCCUUUUUCUUCCUUACUUUUUCCCUUCCAUCUUCUUCAACUUUUACCAUCCUCAUCACCACGCAACUUUUUAAAGAAAUAUUAUAAUACUUUACUAGGUUACACUCUUUGAUUCUUCCAUCUUUUUUGAAAAUCGAAUUUGCAUCUUGAUUUAUAUUUAAAAACAAAACCGAUUUCAAGAAAACAAAAAAUGAAAUCAACUUCUUUCAAAUGGAAAAACUGAUUUACAUUCUUACCUUCUCCAUUGAAAUUACGAAAUUAAAUUGAUUUCAAGAGAUAAACAAAAUAAAGAACAACCUCCACUGAAAAAAAAGAAAUUUAUUUUAUAUAUCCGUCAUUGUAAAUCUCAAUCAUAGUAGCACAAGAAAUCAUUUUCUUUUAAACGUCAUACAAAUUUUUUUUGAUUUGAUAUGAUUUUUCAUAUUCUCCAACGUAUUUUACUUUGUGAACUAAUCUAUGCUCUUUGUCAUUUUGAAGGAGAAGAACAAAUCAAAAGGGAAAGAAAAGACAAGAAGAAAAAAGAGAAGAGGUGGGGCAUGAGGUUUGGGAUCUGGAAGAAAUAAAAAAGAAAGUAAAACUAAUUUAUUAAAGAGUAAAAUAAAAUAUCUACGUGUCAAAUUUGUUUAUUUUUCACAUAAGAGGCGUCUGGAUGUACACACUUAAAAUGUGGUUUAAAAACAUAAAAAGUGUCUAAAUGAUAAAAUGAGGUUUGACAUGAGGUGCUAAAAAUGAACAAAUCUUACUUAAAGUGUCCAUGUGAAAGUUGAUGCCAACUUUAAGGGGCCACCGAUAAGUUAUCCAUAAAAUUUAUAAGGGCAGCCCACAUUAUGGUAAACAAAUGAUUAGUGGUUAACAUAACUUUAUAUAAAGAGAAAAGGCAUGCUAGUACAAGAAAAAUGAAAUAAAAUUAUUAUAUACAUGGAACAAGCUGAUUUUCAUUACUUGAAAACAAAAACAAUCUAACGACACACAGCUAGACCAAAUGAACUUUAAACGAUUUCGAACAAAGUAAAACGGAGACAUACUUAGCUUCUAAGAAACAAAAUUGAGCCAUAGGAUCUAACAACAAACAAAUGACAUCAAAGGAGCUAAUGCUUAAGAACACCUUAGGCAUAAUAAUCAAAGCAAGACGAACACGUGAUUCGAAACAACACGAAAGAUAAACUUAAACAAUUACAAACUGAUUCGAACAACUAAUCGAGGAAUAACACAAUGAUCAGCCAAUAAUUCCACAAAUAAAGAUAAUAAACCAUGGACAUUCACAUUCGACCCGAGUGUGAAUGAAGCCAAAGAAAACCUAACAGAGACAAACUCAUCACAUAAUAAAAAAUAAACAAAGGAGUAGAUAUUACCUUUUCCCGGGUAGCGAACGAAACUGGACGAAGAAACCUCAAGAAAGAGAAUUGUUGUUGCUCUAUCAUUUGGGAAUUUCUUUUGGGGAUAAGGAAAUGGGCCAAGAAUUGAGAAAAAAAGAGUGGGCUGCUGAAAAAAAAUUCUUUUAUAAAGGCCCAUAAUUUGGUCCUUUGAUAUUGGUUAGCUAAAUAAAUUAUUAAUUUAGCCAAACCGAAUUUAAUUUUCAAAUUCAGUUAAAAUCUAAAUAAGAUGAAUUAAUAUAAUCAAUUUAGGAGCUUCUCAAUCUUAAAAAAUAAAAUAAUUAAUUCAACCAUAAACGAAUAGAUUUUUAAAUUAACCAUAAUUUAAAUUAAACUAAUGUUAUAAAAUACAUACCCAAAUUAAAAUCUUUUUUAGGAUUAUUUUCCAAUAUUUAUAAAAUAAACUAAUUAGAUAAAAACAUAUUUACUAUUUAAAAAUUAUAAAAGCUACUAAAAUUACUCUAAAAGAACUUGAAAAACAUUUUAGAUUUUAUAAAGCUAAUUAUUUUAAAUCGUUCGAAAUAAAUUAAGCUCAAAUGUUAAUGGUACUGAUAGGUACUCGGUUAGAAGUACGGAGUGUAUAUCUUUUGUUAUCGACCUUCCCUACAAAAGAAUACAUAUAGCUUGGGCUAGAUACGGAAGUAAUUUGAUAAUAUUUUACAGUUAUUUUAUGGGUAGAAAUGUGUGACCUAUUUGGAUAUGAUCUUCUCGGUGGGUAUGAUGUUUCGGUAGGUAUGAUGUGUUUUAAUGGUGAAUGUAAUAGACUUUAAUGAUAUGGUACUAGUGGUAUAUGAAAACGGAUACGUUGAUUGUUAAUCGUGAAUAUUAACUGCAUAAGGAGUUAUCUUUUGUAUCACAUGCUUGUAUAAUAAGGUUCAAUGUCACAUUCAUAUUUGAGGAACCAACAAGUUUGUUACUAAAGACGAAUGAGUUAGGAAUUGUAUUAUAAGGAAAAAUUUAGUGGUAAAUCGUUGAUACAAUAUUAAUGCGCUAAGUUGAGAAGUGUAUCACGAAGGUUCAAAAUAAGGACCGAUGAUUUCAUUUUAAUGUCUAAGGGAAUGAAUAUAUAUCAGAAUGACAAGCUUAUGGAUAAAAGAAGUCUCAAAGGAUAUGCUUGUGUGAAGAUAAUUGAAGAUUUUAGUAAGAAAGUGCACAUGAGAUUGAGUUAGUUUGAUUUUUAUUGGUAUAACUAAAUUUAAGGUGUCAUGUUGGUUAAAUGGUUGACAUCGUGGUAAUAAAAUGAGCUAGCUGAGUAUGAUGGUAAUAAGAGUUCGUAAUAGAUUGUGAGUGAGAUGCAGCUAUAUGAUAAGAAUUGUUGGUUAAAUGAAUGUUGUAUUAUAAUAACGACUUGUGAUUAUAUAAUAUUAUGAUUUAUUACUAUUUGGUUAGUAGUUUGAUUUUUUAAUUGUUGGACCUGUAUUCUAGCUUCUAUUUCGCUAUUUUAGCUUCUGAAACUCGAAUAGUGAUGAAUGCUAAUUCAAUAAAGAAGCUUUGGGUUUCCACCCACCUGAAGUGCAAAGGCAAUGCAAAUAUAUGGGGGAGAUAAAGAAUUAGAAUAGGAACACAAAUGCUAAGAAACAUAUUGUAAAGUAAUAAAUUCAUAGUGAAGAUAAACACAUAGUAACUUGAGAAACUAAGUGUACGGUCAAAAAGUAAGACCAGAUAAAGAGAAGGGAGCUUUCUUAAUUUUGAAAACUCACAACAGCUAAGUGAGAUAAUUAACAGCUAAGACAAGGCAUAGCAAAAGCAGCUCACAUUACGAACAAAUAAUGAGUAGAUAACAAAAAUCCAAAUAGAAACAAAAUUGAGAUAGCAUAAUGCACACUAGAGCUAGAAACAAUACCCGCUCAUCUAUGGAGAGCUAGAGUUGCCAACUUGUCAUAUAAAGGAUCAAGCUAACUUACUUGAAGCAAAAAUAAGAAAAUAGCUACAAUAAAAAAAAAAUGAAAUAAAGUUAUAUACAUGGAACACCAUGAUUUUCUUUACAUGAAAACAGAAACCACCUAACGACACACAGUUGAAAAGAUGAUUUUUUUUGGGUAUAAGGAAAUGGGCCGGGAAUUAAGAACCAAAGAGUGGGCUGCUGAAAAAAAUUCUUUUAUAAAGGCCCAUAAUUUGGUCCUGUGAUAUUUGUGAGCUAAAUGAAUUAUUAGUUUAGCCAAAUACAAUUUAAUUUUUAAAUUCAGUUAAAAUCUAAAUAAGGUGAAUUAAUAUAAUCAAUUUAGGAGCUUCUCAAUCUUAAAAAAUAAAAUAACUAAUUCAACCAUAAACUAGUUGAUUUUUAAAUUAACCUUAAUUUAAAUUAAACUAAUGUUAUAAAAUACUUACCAAAAUUAAAAACUUUUUUAGGAUUAUUUUCAAAUAUUUAUAAAAUAAACUAAUUAGAUAAAAACAUAUUUACUAUUUAAAAAUUAUAAAAGCUACUAAAAUUACUCUAAAAUAACUUGAAAAACAUUUUAUAUUUUAUAAAGCUAAUUAUUUUAUAUCGUUCGAAAUUAAUUAAGCUCAAAAUAUAAUUUAUAUGUGGAGGUCCAAAAUUGGGUGUCAACAAUAGAAACUUCAAGGAAUGUAGCGAAUGAAAAUUUAGGGCUUUCAUUGACUAGUAAUUUUGAUUUUCUCCCGAAAAAAUGAAUCAUUUUUGGUGAAUAACUAAUAAAAUAUUCAUUGAUGUUUCCAUUCUGGUGGAUCGCAAGGAUGUGUUGCUUCAAGUGUAGCUAAGGUUGAAGUCCAACAAUGUCCUACUUAAGGUAUCAAGAUUUUAUGAUUUGAUUUAUAUAGAUAUUUAUUCAAUUUUAAUUUGUACCAAAAUUGAAGUGGGAAAUAAUUUAUAAUUUUAGCUUUAAUUCUCGAUUUGAAAUCAUCUUUAAUUGAAUAGAAAUCACUUGAAUAUUCAGAGAAAAAUAUUGCUUCAGAGAAGUUCAGAAACUUCGUGCUCAACAAUAUGGUUAAUGUCUACACAAAAGGUUACGGACCAAAAAGAAAUGAAAUUGAAGAACUUUUAUACUCGUGUAAGAACAUACACUAAGUGAAGAUAACUUGUCUUUGUUAUAAUAAUUUUUUGACCCCAGCUGAAUUUGUCAAACAUGCUGGUGGAGAUGAUGUUGAAAACGCUUUAUUAUCUUAAUAAAGGCAUAGCUUUUAUGUCGUUGUUGUUAUUUCAUCUUUCCUUGUUAUUGUACAAGAUUAAGUUCCUCCUAUCUAAGAUGAUAAAGUUUUUUCAAUCAUCUCGCUUGUUUUUUUAUGCUAUGCAUCACCAUUUUUCAACAUCAUCUCCACCAACAUGUUUGACAAAUUCAGCUAGGGUCAGAAAAUUAUUAUGACAAAGACAAACUACCUUCACUUUUCCUCCAUUGCAUCCACUCCUCCUCGGUCUUUAUUGGUGGCAACGAUGCCAUCUUGUUAACAGAAAAUGGAUCACUCAUUUGCCUCCAUUCUAUUUAAGUCUCCAUAGGAAGCCUGGGAGAUGUCCUCACAACACAAAAUGGAUCAUUGAUUUGCCUCCACUCUAUCUCAGUCUUCACUAGCGGAAACGUAUCUGUCUUCAUAAUUGGAAAUGAAUUAUUACAUUGCCUCCACUCCAUUUCAGUAUUCAUUCUACGCCUCCACUCGAUUUCAGUCUCCAUUCUUCACCUUCAAUCGAUUUCAGCCUCCAACCUUUGCCUCCACUCGAUUUCAGUAUCCAUCGGAAAUGAAGACGUCCUAGUAACAGAAAAUGGAUCAUUUCUUUGCCUCAAGUACUCUACUUCAGACUCUGUCGGCAACGGAGACCUCUUGUUAACACAGAAAAUGGAAAAUUUUGUUGCCUCUACUCCAUUUAAGUAUCCAUCGGCGGCAAUGAAUACAUCCUAAAAACAGAAAAUGGAUAAUUCCUUUACCUCUAGUACUCCAUUUAAGUUUCCAUCGGCAAUGAAUAUGACUUCAUAAUUGAAAACGGAUUAUUCCGUUUCCUCGACUUAGCCUCAGUCUCCAAAGGCAACAAAGCACACCUGAUGACUGAAAAUUUAAGAUAAUUCACAUAUGUAUUACUGUUAUUAUAAGAAUGCUCACCGUUAACUAUUGACGAAGAACGGUUCGGUAUCUUUGAUUUUUUCUAAGAAGCCCCAAAGUCACUCAGCCCUAACGUUAGCUCUACACUUACAUCCUCUACAAUCCUUUUUCCUUUAUCUUGAUAAUUAGCUCUCUCCAUGUGAGCAAAACUAAAAAAAUAAGAAAGUUAUUGAAUUACUCUCUCCAUGUUAGCAAAAAUUAAAAAAUUAGAAAGUUAUUGAAUUACAAACUAAAUUAACUUAAUAGGAUAAAAACCUCUAUCGAAGUAUGAAAUUCACUUUUAUUGAUGAAUGCUAAGAGAAACCUAUAGUCAAUUGCGAGAUCACAAAGCGAUAAAAUUGAGGUGUGAGAGUGGGAAAAACGUGUAGCGGUAUUUCAUUUUCGUGGGUGUAAGUGAAAAUGAAGAAAUAGCUCCUUGUCACGUGGUUAAGAAGGUACUUGGGAAAAUGAUCUAAAAAACACAAUUUUGCUAGAGUCUAAAUAAGAAGUAACUAACUGAAAAUGACACUUGUCCAUUAUAAUUAUCUACUGAGAAACAGAAUGGAACUUGACACGUGUCUGGAAAAUCACUGCAAAAAAAUUUGGGAAAAGUAUUCAGUUUCACACUACAAAUGUGAAAAUAUUAUCUAUGCAUUUCAAUAUUCAUUUUAAUGUUUUUUGGGCAAAUUUUAUUAAAUGUUGUAUCAUCUGAUUGUUUUUUGGAAAUUUUUUGUUAAAUUUCAUAUUAUCAGAUUAUUCUAACUCUCUAUAUUAACGAUUUUUUUGAAUUUUUAAUAGUUUAAAAUUUAAGAUAACUGUUGAUUUGUUUUCUUCAUAUAGAUUCCUGCAAGUAACGUCGGAUCCAACAUUUUAAUAAGUGGGCUAAAAAUCUGAAAAAAUAUUCACAUGAAAUAGCGAAAGGGAGUUCAAUAUCUAAUAUAUGUAAAUAAAAGAUUAUUUUAAUCAUAUAUAAAUCACACAGCAGGGAAUAAUAAAUAUAUCUAUUAACCACAAUGGUUUGAAGUUAACAAGUAUACAAUUGUGUUACCUAGAUAAAUACCAUAGUGUAAAACCUUAAUUACCUUUAAGACUGCUCAACGGACCGCAAUUGGUUCAUCGGACUGGAAUGAACCGGUAGCGGACCGGACCGGAACCCGUUGACCGGUAUGUUGACCAGUACCGGGAUGAACCGGAUCGAAAUUACCGGGAUGAUUUAUCGGUUCCAUCCUGUUCCACUAUAUACCGGGAUGGAACCGGAAUGAACCGGAACGAACCGGGAUGGAAUUAACGGGACGAUAUUUUUUGGAAUUACAAAAAUAUAAUUUUUUUUAUUUUUUAAGUAUAAAUUAAUAGUUUUUAAAGUUAUACUAUAAAUUUUACUUAAAUUUAUUUUAAAGAUAUUUUAUUAAUUUUUUUUGUUGUUGUUAAGUUUGCAAGUAAAGUCUAAUAAAGUUUUCAAAAUUUAAAUCUUUUGAAGUUUAUACUUUAUAUGUUAUUACUUAUAUUCAUUAAUAUUUAUUUUAUAAGUUAUAUUUAUAACUUGUAUCUUGUAAAUAUUUAAUAAAUAAAAUUUGUAAUUUUAAAAAAAUUAAAUUAAAUAUAAAUUAUAUAAAAUAUAAAACAUAAAAUAUAAAAAAAUUAAUAUAUAUUAAAAUAAACCGGACCGGACCGGAACCGAAAUGAACCGGUACCGAUACACCGGUACAAAAUCACGGUUCCGUCCCGUUCCGUGUACCGGUUCAGACUAUCCCGUCCCGUUCCGUAGGCAACCGAAACGGGACGAACCGGAACGGUACCGGUACGUCCCGUUCCGUUGACCAGUCUUAAUUACCUUCUAUCCCUAUUAUUUUUUUUGUAAUUACAUAAAUCUCAUAUUCUUUAGGCAUUUCAGAUACAUAAUUAAGAAUCCGGAUACAUUAUUGUUGAUACAUUAUGUAUCAGUCUGUUGCACUUAUUAAGGAAAAAAUUUGUAAAAUCAAUUUAAAAUCUCAUAGUACCCAUUUGUUUCACUUAUAAAGUAAAAACUCUGAAAAUUAAAUAGAGAUUCCAUAAAUUAUGUUAUUUUAUUAAAAUUUUUGUCAUAAUUCAAAAUCCUAUUGUGUAACAAAUCAAAAAAAUAAUUAAAAAAAAUUCUUCUUGUUGUCCAUCGUUCUCUCUGUUUCAUAAGAAACUUUGUCGAAAUUUUGAAAAGCAAGGUGAGUUAUGAAGGAUUAUAUGGAAUUGUUGUUGGACAAACAAUUUUUUUUUUUGUGAAUUUUAAAGUUCAUCGAAUGUCUUUUCGAUUUUUAUUCAAGUCUGUCGAAAAUUUUGAGAUUCAAAAUUCUUCUCAAUAUCAUUGAAGAUCUUUUCCAUUUUAAUUCAAAAUUGUUAAAAAUUUUAAAUUUCAUAAUUAUUCUCCUAGUUCAUUGAAGAUUCUUUCAAUUUUGAUUAAAAAUUAUCAAAAUUUUUGAGAAGAUACCUCAUGAAGAUCCUUUCAAUUUAAAUUGAUAAGUGUUGUAUUUCUACUAGGUACACUAAAUGAGAAAGUGUUGCCCAUAAGAUUUUAGGUUUGAGAUCGAUACAUAAUAAUUUGGUAAUUGUUAUGUAUUUGAAACAUUUAUUAUAAAUUCAAAUUUACGUAUCAUAACAAAAAACAAUUAGUGCAUAAUACAUUAUUAUUUAUAUAUCUUAUUUUGUGUGAGAUCAUGAAGAUCCUUUUGAUUCAAAUUGAUAAAUUAAUGUUGUAUUUCUACAAGAUACAUUAAAUAAGUAAGUGUUGCCAAUAAGAUUUUAUGUUUGAGAUUUAUACAUUAAUGAUUUUUUUUAUUUUUUUCAUAGUUUAAAAUAAAUGAAUUGUUUAAAAUUUAAGAUUAUUUGAUGAUUUUUUUCUUCAUAUAGACUCGAUAAAGUAGUGACGGAGAUAGAACUUUUAAUAAAAACAUUCAAAAUCUAAAAAAACAUACAAAGGAAAUAGCGAAAGGGGUUCAACAUCUACUAUAUGUACCUAAAAAUUACUUUAAUCAUAUUCAAAUCACAGUGCAAAGAGUAAUAAAUAUAUCUAUUAACCACUGUGGUUCGGAGUUAAAAAGUAUACGUUUAUUUGAGUUAUAUUUUCCAUUUUAAAAAAUAUCAUUGUUUUUACUGAUUCUUGAAUAUCAAAAUAAUGAUUUAUUCUUACAAGUUUGUCAUUUUUAAUUUUUUGUUAUUUUCUGAAAAUUACUAACUGUAUUAGGCUUAAUUAAAGCUUCUUUUCUAAUUUGUUUGUUAUCUACAUUUCUUCGUUAUUCUUUCUUCUGUUUUGGAGAUCACUAAUGUUAUGAUAUUGUGUUAACGCGUAUAAUAAUAUUGUUAACGCGUAUAAUAAUAACUUAAAAUAUAUGUGUAGGUAGAUAUUGAAUAAUUGAUCAUUGUACUUAUUACUUUUAAAAAUUAAUUUAUGAAAUAAGAUCAUUACAAACUUUGCUAAUGAUCAGUUCAAGGUAAUAAACUUAUUGAGGAUAUUAAGUUAAUUGUUGGUGUACAUAACAUAAUUCAGGUGCGAAAGUGGGAAGAUGGAAAGAGGUUUUUUAUUUUUCUGGGUGAAAGUUUUAAUGACGAAAUAGUUCCUUGUCACGUGAUUUAAGAAGGGACUUGGGAAAUUGAUCCAAAAAUACAAUUUAACUAGACUCUAAAUAAGAAGUAACCCAUUGAAAAUCACACCAUUCCGUUGUAAUUAUCUACUGAAAAACGCAAUAGAACUUGACACAUAUUUGAAAAAUCACUAUAUGAAAAUUUGCGAAAAGUUUUCACAUUCACAUUACAAAUGUAGAAAAUAUUAUUUAUGCAUUUCGAUGAUGAUUUCAAAGUUUUUUUGGACAAAUUUUAUUAAAUCUUGUAUCAUCUGACUGUUUUUGGGAAAAUGUUAUUAAAUGUUAUAUUACCAGAUUAUUUUAACUCCGUGUAUUAAUUAUUUUUUUCCAUAGUUUAAGAUAAAUAGAUUGUUUAUAAUUUAAGAUAACUGUUGAUUUGUUUUCUUUAUAUAGACUCCAGGAAGUACUGUCGGAUCCAACAUUUUAAUAAGUGGGUUAAAGAUCUAAAAAAAUAUUCACAUGAAAUACGAAAAUGGAGUUCAAUAUCUACUAUAUGUAAAUAAAAGAUUAUUUUAAUCAUAUAUUGUAACGACCCGUUUAGUCGUUUUGAGCAGUAGAGUUUAUUUCUGGUAAUAGCAGUCUGGGUCGACGGAUUCCACGACGGACCGUCAUGGGCACGACGGACCGUCGAGGGGGUCUCGUUCCAAAACACUUAGACUCUGGAAAAAUUGGAUACUGAGAUCGACUCUCUGAACUUCGCGACAGAAUGGCAGGACGGACCGUCACAGGCAUGACGGGCCGUCACAGACCUCUUAACUAAAAUUGAGUCUCUGAACUCUGUGACGACUCAGCAGGACGGACCGUCACAGGCACGACGGACCGUCACAGGCUGCGUAACCCUGACUGGGUCGGAUUUCUGUUAAAAGUUUUUAAGGGGUGUUUUGGACUAUUCCUGCUCAUGAUUAUAAGGUUAGUGGUUUAAUGUUAAUAAUUCAAUUACUUGGGGGUUAAAGGAGAUAACUUUGAGAUAAAUAGUGGGUUAAUUUUACCAUCUUUUAUACUUAAUUAUAUAGUAAUUAGGGUAAAAGAAGAAGAGUUGGAAUCAGAAAAAGAAGAGGGGAGAACGAACGAUCGAGAGAAGAGGGAACGAAGAGGAAAAGCAAAGGCAUUGGGAAGUAGCUUGUGGAUCACGAUUCUUCGGUAGAGGUAGGUUAUGGUUUAUGCUAUUUCAUAGUAAACUCUUAAUAGCGAAUGAUAUGUAUUGAGUAGUAUUGUAAAGUCUUCUAUAUCCUUAAUUGUAUGCUUGCAUGAUGUGAUUAUGUAAUUGUAAUGGGUUGGAAAGAUGAGGUUGUGAAGCUUAGACCUCAAACCCUUUCUGUUAAUGAUGAUACCUUGGUAUAAAUGAAGGCUUGAUGAACUAAAAGAAUGAGGUUAGUGGGUCGGGUGUGACGUUCCAACACCAGGAUAGUAGUAGUAGAUCGUGUGUCACGUUUCGACACCAGGAUAGUAGUAGUGGAUAGGGUGUCACGUUCCGACACCAGGAUAGUAGUAGAUCGGGUGUCACGUUCUGACACCAGGAUAGUAGUAGUGGAUCGGGUGUCACGUUCCGACACCAGGAUAGUAGUAGAGGAUCGGGUGUCACGUUCCGACACCAGGAUAAUAAAAAGAAUGAAUCUUGAAUCAUGUUAAUAUACUCAAAUUUAAAGAACCUAUUUCCCAAACGAGUAUGGUGUGGAGGCGUGAGUCCUCAUAAAUGUGCUUGGGUUGUGGCCAAUGGUUAUGGUACUUGUUGUUGAUAUCUGUUGAGUAUGGUAGUCGAUUUUAUGUUAUUAUAGGAUAUAUAUUGCUUUCUAUUUUGAGUUGGCUGAUGAUACCUACUCAGUACUUGUGCCUUGUACUGACCCCUACUUGUAUGUUUCUUUCUUUGUUAUUUGUUGAGUGCAGCAAACGUGCCAUCGACUUCGACUCGUCCGCAACUCUAGCCAGUCUUCAGCAUAUCAGAUUUCAGGGUGAGCUAUUGUUCCUAGCUCGGACUGGAUUCUUUCCUUCGCGUCUUGAUGUCUUGAAGUUCGGACAUGGACCAUUUCUUUUACUUAUUUUAUCUUCUUAGAUACUCUUAGAUUUAGUAAUUUGAGGAUAGAUGUUCUUGUGAUGAUGACUUCAAGAUUUUGGGGAAUGAUAAGUAUGGAGUUUUAGAAGUUAUUUAAUCGAUUUUCGUUAAUGAGUUUUAAGUCUUCCGCAUUAUAUUCUGUUUAUUAUGGUUGAAAUGUUGGGGUUUAGAUUGGUUGGUUCGCUCACAUAGGAGGGUAAGUGUGGGUGCAACUCGCGACUUGUUUUGGGUCGUGAUAAACUUGGUAUCAGAGCAUUAGGUUCGUUGGUCUCAUCACACAAGAACGAGUCUAGUAGAGUCUUGAGGAAUGGUAGGGGGACGCCUUUACUUUUCUUUGAGAGGCUAUAAGACUUUAGGAAAAUUCCAUUCUUUCCUUCUUUCGUGCUAUUACUUGGAUCCAAUUGUUAUCUAGGUGAUACAAAUUGGUAUCUGACCAUCUUCACUCUAUUUUGCAGAUAGUUAGAAUUAGAGCAACAACUGCGCCAACACCAAUACCGGCAAGAGAAGAUGCGUCUGAGCCAGCCUCUGAGGCUGUAGCUCGAAGAGGAGUAGUGGCAAGAGGCUGUGGUAGAGGUUGGGGAGGACGUCCUCUAGAGGAAGAGGACAAGCACCUGUCCCAGCUGGUACUAGGGCAGUGACUCCUCCACCGACUGAGAAAGUAUUAAGAGAGGGUGAGGAAGGGGAGAAUAAACAAGUGCAGAGUGAGGAAUUACCCCCCCAACCUACCCCAGAGAUGAUUAACCAGGUCCUUGCUUAUCUUAGCGGGUUAUCUGAUCAGGGCCAGACACCUCCAGUGUUUUCUGCACCUGCACCUCAGGUUCCGGGAGUACAGCAUGCAACUCCUGUGGCUCCCCGCAUGGAUGCCUCAUUGGAAAUAGGCACAUUUCCUCGGUUGACUACAGGACCUAUAAUGACAAGUGAUCAGCAUGAAAUUUUCAGUAAGUUCUUCAAAUUGAAACCUCCAGUCUUUAAGAGUGCUGAAUCUGAGGAUGCCUAUGAUUUUCUUGUUGAUUGUCAUGAGCUGCUACAUAAGAUGGGCAUAGUGGAAUAAUUCGGUGUUGAGUUUGUAACCUAUCAGUUUCAGGGAAAUGCCAAAAUGUGGUGGCGAUUGUAUGUUGAGUGUCAACCAGCACAAGCACCACCUAUGACUUGGGCAUCAUUCUCUAGCUUGUUUAUGGAGAAGUAUAUACCCUGGACUUUGAGGGAUAGGAGGAGAGAUGAGUUCCUGAGUCUAGAGCAAGGCAGGAUGUCGAUUACUGCGUAUGAGGCUAAGUUUCGUGCAUUAUCUAGGUAUGCCACCCAGCUUUGCUUCAGUCCACAAGAGCAGAUUCGCUGUUUUGUGAAGGGAUUGAGGUCAGAUUUGCAGAUUCCAGCCUUACAGGUUUCUACUGCAGCAAAAUCCUUUCAGGAAGUGGUAGACUUUGUGAUAGAGGUAGAGGGAGUGAAGCCAGAUGACUUCACUAUGGCAUCAGCAACUAAGAAGUUUCGUAAGGGAGUUAAAGGCCCAACUUCAAGAGUUGUUAGGGAAAGGCUUUAUUAGACCAAGUUCAUCUCCUUGGGGUGCUCCUGUUUUGUUUGUGAAGAAGAAGGAUGGAAAUUUUCGGAUGUGCAUUGACUACAGACAACUGAAUAAGGUAACUGUUAAGAACAAGUAUCGUCUUCCUCGCAUCGAUGAUUUGUUCGAUCAGUUACAAGGUGCUUGUACCUUCUCAAAAAUCAAUUUGAGAUCUGGUUAUCAUCAAUUGAAAAUACGGGCAACGGAUGUGCCCAAGACUGCUUUUCGGACCAGGUAUGGGCAUUAUGAGUUCUUAGUAAUGUCUUUUGGGCUUACGAAUGCCCCUGCUGCUUUCAUGAGCUUGAUGAAUGGGAUUUAUAAGCCAUACCUGGAUCUCUUUGUCAUUGUAUUCAUUGAUGAUAUACUGGUAUACUCAAAAUGCAAGAAAGAACAUGAGGAGCACUUGAAAAUGGUAUUGGAAAUGUUGAGGGAGAAAAAGCUUUAUGCCAAAUUCUCUAAGUGUGAGUUUUGGCUAGAUUCAGUGUCCUUCUUGGGGCAUGUGGUUUCUAAGGAUGGAGUGAUGGUGGAUCCUUCUAAGAUCGAAGCAGUGAAGAGUUGGGUAAGACCUACUAAUGUUACAGAGGUAAGGAGCUUCAUUGGUUUAGCUAGCUACUACCGUCGGUUUGUCAAGGGAUUUUCUUCCGUUGCUUCCCAACUGACAAAUUUGACUAAGCAGAGUGUUCCAUUUGUAUGGUCGGACGAGUGUGAAGAAAGCUUUCAGAAGCUCAAGACCUUAUUGACUACUGCACCAAUUCUUACCCUGCCAGUGGAAGGUAAGAAAUUCAUUGUUUAUUGUGAUGCAUCCUAUUCUGGUUUCGGUGCAGUGCUUAUGCAAGAGAAGAAUGUAAUUGCUUAUGCCUCGAGGCAAUUAAAGGUGCAUGAACAUAUUUAUCCGACCCAUGAUUUGGAGUUGGCUGCAGUAGUGUUUGCAUUAAAGCAAUGGAGACAUUAUCUAUAUGGGGUUAAGUGUGAAGUCUAUACAGAUCAACGCAGUUUACAGUAUGUCUUUACUCAGAAAGAUUUGAAUUUAAGACAGAGGAGGUGGAUGGAACUACUGAAGGACUAUGAUAUCACUAUCUUGUAUUAUUCGGGAAAAGCUAAUAUUGUGGCAGAUGCUUUAAGUAGAAGGGCAGGGAGCAUGGGAAGUCUAGCUCACUUGCAGGUUUCUAGACGCCCAUUGGCUAGAGAGGUUCAGACUCUGGCUAAUGACUUUAUGAGGCUAGAAGUAAAUGAGAAGGGAGGAUUUUUGGCCUGUGUGGAGGUAAGAUCUUCCUUUCUUGACAAGAUUAAGGGAAAACAGUUUGCUGAUGAGAAACUGAUCCGUUUUCGAGAUAAGGUAUUGCGAGGAGAGGCUAAAGAAGCAAAAAUCGAUGAGGAAGGUGUUUUGAGGAUUAAGGGGAGGGUAUGUGUACCCCGCGUCCAUGAUUUGAUCCACACUAUUCUUACAGAGGCUCAUAGUUCGUGACUUAAAGCAACAUUUUUGGUGGAGUAGGAUAAAGCGUGACAUUGUUGAUUUUGUUGCGCAAUGCCCGAAUUGUCAGCAGGUAAAGUAUGAACACCAGAGGCCUGGAGGGACACUUCAGAGAAUGCCCAUUCCUGAAUGGAAGUGGGAGAGAAUUGCAAUGGACUUCGUGGUUGGUCUUCCAAAGACAAUGGGUAAGUAUGACUCCAUUUGGGUGAUUGUUGACAGAUUAACUAAGUCUGCUCACUUCAUUCCGGUUAAGGUGACUUACAAUGCAGAGAAAUUAGCCAAACUCUACAUCUCAAAAAUUGUUUGGUUGCAUGGGGUUCCACUCUCCAUCAUAUCAGAUAGAGGUACGCAGUUUACUUCUAAGUUUUGGAAAACAUUGCAUGCUGAAUUGGGUACUAGGUUGGAUCUUAGAACUGCAUUUCACCCUCAGACCGAUGGUCAGUCUGAGCGAACGAUUCAGGUUUUGGAGGAUAUGCUUCGUGCAUGUGUGAUAGAGUUUGGUGGUCAUUGGGAUAACUUCUUGCCCUUAGUAGAGUUCUCAUACAACAAUAGCUAUCACUCAACUAUUGAUAUGGCCCCAUUUGAGGCACUGUAUGGGAGAAGAUGUAGGUCUCCCAUUGAAUGGUUUGAUGCAUUUGAGGUUAGACCUUGGGGUACUGAACUUCUGAGGGAGUCGUUAGAUAAAGUAAAAUGCAUUCAGGAAAAGCUUUUAGCGGCUCAAAGUAGACAGAAGGAAUAUGCAGAUCGAAAGUUUAGAGACUUGGAUUUUAUGGAGGGUGAACAAGUACUGCUGAAGGUUUCACCCAUGAAAGGGGUGAUGCGGUUCGGUAAGCGAGGUAAGCUUAGCCCGAGGUACAUUGGUCCAUUUGAAGUUCUGAAGCGCGUGGGGGAGGUAGAUUAUGAAUUAGCCUUGCCCCCGAGACUUUCAGGAGUGCACCCGGUAUUUCAUGUGUCUAUGCUGAAAAGAUACCAUGGUGAUGGAAACUACAUCAUUCGUUGGGAUUCAGUUCUUCUUGAUGAAAAUUUGUCUUAUGAGGAGGAGCCUGUUGCUUUUUUAGAUAGAGAAGUCCGCAAGUUGAGGUCAAGAGAGAUUGCAUCCAUCAAGGUUCAAUGGAAGAAUCGGCCAGUUGAAGAGUCCACCUGGGAGAAGGAGGCUGAUAUGUAAGAAAAAUAUCCACAUCUCUUUACAGACUCAGGUACUCUUUCUCGCCCUUGUUUUUCUUCCUGUGAUCGUUCGAGGACGAACAAUGGGUAAAUUGGUAUCUAUUGUAACGACUUGUUUAGUCGUUUGAGCAGUAGAGUUUAUUUCUGGUAAUAGUUGUCUGGGUCGACGAAUUCCACGACGGACCGUCAUGGGCACGACGGACCGUCGAGGGGGUCUCGUUCCAAAACACUUAGACUCUGGAAAAAUUGGAUACUGAGAUCGACUCUCUGAACUUCGCAACGGAAUGGCAGGACGGACCGUCACAGGCAUGAUGGGCCGUCACAGACCUCUUAACUAAAAUUGAGUCUCUGAACUCUGUGACGACUCAGCAGGACGGACCGUCACAGACACGACGGACCGUCACAGGCUGCGUAACCCUGACUGGGUUGGAUUUCUAUUAAAAGUUUUUAAGGGGUGUUUUGGACUAUUCCUGCUUAUGAUUAUAAAGUUAGUGGUUUAAUGUUAAUAAUUCAAUUACUUGGGGGUUAAAGGAGAUAACUUUGAAAUAAAUAGUGGGUUAAUUUUACCAUCUUUUAUAGUUAAUUAUAUGGUAAUUAGGGUAAAAGAAAAAAGAGUUGGAAUCAGAAAAAGAAGAGGGGAGAACGAAUGAUCGAGAGAAGAGGGAACGAAGAGGAAAAGCAAAGGCAUUGGGAAGUAGCUUGUUGAUCACGAUUCUUCGGUGGAUGUAGGUUAUGGUUUAUGCUAUUUCAUAGUAAACUCUUAAUAGCAAAUGAUAUGUAUUGGGUAGUAUUGUAAAGUCUUCUAUAUGCUUAAUUGUAUAUUUGCAUGAUGUGAUUAUGUAAUUGUAAUGGGUUGGAAAGAUGAGGUUGUGAAGCUUAGACCUAAAACCCUCUCUAUUAAUGAUGAUGCCUUGGUAUAAAAGAAGGCUUGAUGAACUAAAAGAUUGAGGUUAGUGGAUCGGGUGUCACGUUUCGACACCAGGAUAGUAGUAGUGGAUCGGGUGCCACGUUCCGACACCAGGAUAGUAGUAGUGGAUCGGGUAUCACGUUCCGACACCAGGAUAGUAGUAGUAGAUCGGGUGUCACGUUCCGACACCAGGAUAGUAGAGGAUCGGGUGUCACGUUUCGACACGAGGAUAGUAGAGGAUCAGGUAUCACGUUCCGACACCAGGAUAGUAAAAAGAAUGAAUCUUGAAUCAUGUUAAUAUACUCAAAUUUAAAGAACCUAUUUCCCAAACGAGUAUGGUAUGGAGGCGUGAGUCCUCAUAAAUGUGCUUGGAUUGUGGCCAAUGGUUAUGGUACUUGUUGUUGCUAUCUGUUGAGUAUGGUAGUCGAUUUUAUGAUAUUAUGUGAUAUAUAUUGCUUUCUAUUUUGAGUUGGCUGAUGAUACCUACUCAGUACUUGUGCCUUGUACUGACCCCUACUUGUAUGUUUCUUUCUUUGUUAUUUGUGGAGUGCAGCAAAAGUGCCAUCGACUUCGACUCGUCCGUAACUCUAGCCAGUUUUCAGCAUAUCAGAUUUCAGGGUGAGCUAUUGUUCCUAGCUCGGACUGGAUUCUUUCCUUCGCGUCUUGAUGUCUUGAAGUUCGGACAUGGACCAUUUCUUUUUCUUAUUUUAUCUUCUUAGAUACUCUUAGAUUUAGUAAUUUGAGGAUAGAUGUUCUUGUGAUGAUGACUUCAAGAUUUUGGGGAAUGAUAAGUAUGGAGUUUUAGAAGUUAUUUAAUCGAUUUUCGUUAAUGAGUUUUAAGUCUUCCGCAUUAUAUUCUGUUUAUUAUGGUUGAAAUGUUGGGGUUUAGAUUGGUUGGUUCGCUCACAUAGGAGGGUAAGUGUGGGUGCCACUCGCGGCUCGUUUUGGGUCGUGACAUAUAUAAAUCACACAGCAGGGAAUAAUAAAUAUACUAUUAACCACAAUGGUUUGGUGUUAACAAGUAUACAAUUAUUUGAGUUAUAUUUUUCAGUUUAAAAGUGUAACUUACAUAAAUACCAUAGUGUAAAACCUUAAUUACCUUCUAUCCCUAUUAUUUUUUCUUAUACAUAAAUCUCAUAUUCUUUAGGCAUUUCAGAUACAUGAUUAAGAAUCCUAAUACAUUAUUGUUGAUAUAUUAUGCAUUAGUCUGUUGCACUUAUUAAGGAAAAAAAUUUGUAAAAUCAAUUUAAAAUCUCAUAGUACCCAUUUGUUUCACUAAUAAAGGAAAACGCUGAAAAUUAAAUUAAGAUUCCAUAAAUUAUGUUAUUUUAUUAAAAUUUUUGUCAUAAUUCAAAAUCCUAUAGUAUAAUAAAUCAAAAAAAUAAUUAAAAAAAUUCUUCUUGUUGUCCAUCGUUCUCUCUGUUUCAUAAAAAACUUUGUCGAAAUUUUGAAAAGCGAAAUUAGUUAUGAAGGAUUGUGUGGAAUUGUUGUUGGAUAAACAAUUUUUUUUUUGUGAAUCUUCAAGUUCAUCGAAUAUCUUUUCAAUUUUUAUUCAAGUUGGUCGAAAAUUUUGAGAUUCAAAAUUCUUCUCGAUAUCAUUGAAGAUCUUCUCCAUUUUAAUUAAAAAUUGUUGAAAUUUUGAAUUUCAUAAUUAUUGUCCUAGUUCAUUGAAGAUUCUUUCAAUUUUGAUUAAAAAUUAUCAAAUUUUUAGAAGAUACAUCAUGAAGAUCCUUUCAAUUUAAAUUGAUAAGUGUUGUAUUUCUACUAGGUACACUAAAUAAGAAAGUGAUGCCCAUAAGAUUUUAGGUUUGAGAUCCAUACAUAAUUAUUUGGUAAUUGUUAUGUAUCUAAUACAUUUAUUAUAAAUUUAAAUUUAUGUAUCAUAACAAAACACAAUUAGUGCAUAACAUAUUAUUAUUUAUAUAUCUUAUUUUGUUUGAGAUCAUGAAGAUCCUUUUGAUUCAAAUUGAUAAAUGUUGUAUUUCUACAAGAUACAUUAAAUAAGUAAGUGUUGCCUAUAAGAUUUUAAGUUUGAAAUUUAUACAUUAUUGUUUGGUAAUUGUUAUGUAUCAGACACAUUUCAAUAUAUAUAUAUAUAUAUAUAUAUAUAUAUAUAUAGAUUUCAAGAAAAAAUUUCAACGACAAUAUAAUUAACUAACUAUAAAAAAUUUGCAAAUAUUAUACUAAAAAUUACUAAAUAAAAAAAAUACUAUUAUUUUUUCUAAUUUACAUUGUUGAAGAUUAUCAUCACAUAAAUAUUCAUUUCACGUAGAUAUGCUUCUAAUUUAAGAUAUGCAUUAGUAAAUUCGUAUAUAUAUUUUUGGUAACAUAUAUAUUUUUCUGUUAUAUCUUUAAAAAAAUAGUGAUAAUUCAUUUUUUCGAGGUUACAUUGAAUUUCAUCAAAUACUAUGUUCUCAUUUUUAAUUCGGUAAUUCAAUAGUAUAUAUCAAAUAGCGAAAUAUAAUAUUUUAAACUUGAUUAUGAAAAUAAUUUUUAAGAUUGUGUUACUUAAAAUAGAGAGAGAUUUGUGGAAUGAAAUAAAGAAGGAACAAACAUUGGUUUAGGGAUCUAUGAUUUAUGUAACCUUGGGGGUUAGAGAGUAAAAUAUCGGAGUUUGAAAAUUUUUAAAACUAGUAGGGAAUAAUGAAUAUUGUGAAAAGAAAAAGUGUGUAUGCAUGUAAUUUUUCUUUUAAAAAAAGUAUCAUUGUUUUGAUUGAUUUUUGAAUAUCAAAAUAAUGAUUUUAUUCCUACGAGUUUCUGUCAUUUUAAAAUUCGUACUUCUUUUCUGGGAAUUACUAUCUGUAUUAGGCUUAAGUUAAGCUUCUUUUCUACUUUGCUUUUUAUGCACUUAGUGGGAUAGUCGUGUGAUCCUAUCAGUACUCUGUUGUUGUGUACUGAUAUUGCACUUGCUCCUUCUUCGCGAGUAUAGGGAAUCUUCAGGCGGCUAUUUACAAACCUCACGUUCGCGUAGAAGAUCAGUGAUCGUUUUGAAUUCAAGGGUGAGUCGUUUUCUCCGGGAUGUCAUGAGUUCUCUUUUGUUUAUGUUGAUCAUUUCGGACUUAGACUAUUGCAUUAGGAUUUCUUAUGUUUAGCUUGGGGCUUUACCUUUCUUGUUUAGACUUAUGGAUCCGGUAGAGUUUUGGUACAUUGACUUUUAGGUUCUAGGCGUAUUUUUCACAUUUGUUUAGUUGUUAGACUAUUGAUUUGAAAUUUAUGGGAACUCCAUGUUUCUUUCCUUAGCAUUUAACUUGUUUUCAUAACUUAAAUGUCUUAGUAUUUUGACUAAGUUGUUAGCUAAUUACUAUAAAUAAUUAUCCUACCGGAGGGUUAGUGUGGGUGUCAAUCAUGAUGGACUGGAUCAUGACAUGAGUAGGUUUGAUAGUUUAAACAUAUGUAUCAAUGUGCUUAUUUCUUUUGAAAAUUUUUAUGAAAUAAAAUACGAUGAAAUAAGGUCAUUAAAAACUUUGCUAAUGACCAGUUCAAUAUUAUAAGCCUAUUGAGGAUAUUAAGUUAAGAGUUGGUAUUCAUAAUAUAAUCCAUGAGUGUGAAAGUGAAAAAACGUGAAGAGGUUUUUUAUUUCUGUGGGUGUAAGUUUUAAUGACGAGAUAGCUCCUUGUCACAUGAUUUAAGAAGGGACUUGAGAAAUUGAUCCAAAAAUACAAUUCAGCUAAAGUCUAAAUAAGAAGUAACCAACUGAAAAUGACAUCAAUUCUUAGUAAUUAUCUACUGAGAAACAGAAUGAAACUUGAAACGUGUCUGAAAAAUCGCUACAUGAAAAUUUGCGAAAAGUUUUUACUUUGACACUAAAGAUGUGAAAAAUAUUAUUUAUGCAUUUCGAUGUUGAUUUCAAAGUUUUUUUGGGGAAUAUUUAUUAAGCGUUGUUCAUCUGAUUAUUUGUUGGGCAAAUUAUUGAAUGUCACAUUAUUUGAACUCCCUGUAGUAAUGAAUUUUUUUUCCAUAGUUUAAAAUAAAUGAAUUGUUUAAAAUUUAAGAUUACUUGAUGAUUUUUUUUCUUAAUAUAGACUCGAGAAAGUAGUGACGGAGCUAGAACUUUUAAUAAAAACAUUCAAAAUCUGAAAAAAUAUACAUAGGAAAUAGCGAAAGAGGGUUCAACAUCUACUAUAUAUACCUAAAAAUUACUUUAAACAUAUUCAAAUCACAGUGCAGAGAGUAAUUAAUAUAUCUAUUGACCACUGUGGUUCGUAGUUAAAAAGUAUAUAGUUAUUUAAAUUAUAUUUUUCAGUUUAAAAAAAAUAUCAUUGUUUUUAUUAAUUCUUGAAUAUCAAAAUAAUGAUUUAUUCUUACAAGUUUGUCAUUAUUAAUUUUUUGUUAUUUUCUGAAAAUUACUUACUGUAUUAGGCUUAAUUAGAGCUUUUUUUUCAAUUUGUUUGUUAUCUACAUUUUUUUCGUUAUUCUUUCUUCUGUUUUAGAGAUCACUAAUAUUAUGAUAUUGUUUCAACGCGUAUAAUAAUAACUUAAAAUAUAUGUAUAGGUAGAUAUUGAACAAUUGAUCAUUGUACUUAUUACUUUUAAAAAAUAUUUUAUGAAAUAGAAGACGAUGAAAUAAGAUCAUUACAAACUUUGCUAAUCAUCGUUAAAUGUAAUAAACUUAUUGAGGAUAUUAAGUUAAUUCUUGGUGUACAUAAUACAAUUCAGGUGUGAAAGUGGGAAAAUGGAAAGAGGUUUUUUAUUUUUGUGGGUGUAAGUUUUAAUGACGAAAUUGUUCCUUGUCAGAUGAUUUAUGAAGGGACUUGGGAAAUUGAUCCAAAAAUACAAUUUAGCUAGAGUCUAAAUAAGAAGUAACCAACUGAAAAUGACACCAGUCCGUUGUAAUUAUCUACUGAGAAACGGAAUAGAACUUGACACGUGUUUGAAAAAAACUCUACAUGAAAUUUUGUGAAAAGUUUUCACUUUCACACUACAAUUGUAAAAAAAUAUUAUUUAUGCAUUUCGAUGGUGAUUUCAAAGUUCUUUUGGGAAAAUUUUAUUAAAUCUUGUAUCAUCUGAUUGUUUUUUGGGCAAAUUUUAUAAAACGUCAUAUUACUAGAUUAUUUUAACUCCCUAUAUUAAUGACUUUUUUUUAUAUAGUUUAAGACAAAUGAACUAUUUAAAAUUAAUAUAAUUGUAGAUUUUUUUUUCUAUAUAGAUACCAUGAAGUAGUGCGGAGCCAGCAUUUUUAAUAAAGGGGUUUAAAAUCUAAAGUAUAUACACAAGAAGUAGCGAAAGGGGGUUCACAUCUACUAUAUGUACCUAACAAGUUACUUUAAUCAUAGUUAAAUCACACUGCAGAGAGUAAUAAAUAUAUCUAUUAACCUUUGUGAUUGGGAAUUAAAAAGUAUGCAGUUAUUUGAGUUAUAUUUUUCAAUUUUUUUUUACAGAAAUAUCAGUGUUUUGAUUGAUCCUUGUAUAUUAAAGUGAUGAUUUUAUUCCUAUGAGUUUCUGUCAUUUUAAAGUUUUCGUUCUUUUCUGAAAAUUACUAAUUUUUCAUAAAAGAAUUAGUUCUAUUUGUAUUAGGUUUAAUCAAAGUGUCUUUUCUCAUUUGUUGGUUACCGUUUUUAAGUUAUUCUUUCUUCUAUUUUGGAGAUCAAUAAUGUUAUGAUAUUAUGUCAAUGCGCAUAAUAAUAUUAUCGACGCGUAUAAUAAUAAAUUAAAAUAUAUGUAUAGGUAGAUAUUGAACAUUUGAUCAUUCUGCUUAUUUAUUUUGAAAAUAUUAUGAGAUAGAAAACGAUGAAAUAAGGUCAUUAUAAACUUUGCUAAUGAUUACUUCAAUGUUAUAAACUUAUUGAGGAUAUUAAUUUAAGUGUUGGUGUUCAUAAUAUAAUCCAGGUGUGAUAGUUAGAAAAACGUGAAGAUAUUUUUUAUUUUCGUGGGUGUAAAUAUUAAUGACAAAAUAGCUCCUAGUCUCGUGAUUUAAUAAUGGACUUAGGAAAUUGAUCCAAAAAUACAAUUUAUCUAGACUCUAAAUAAGAAGUAACUGACUAAAAAUGACUCAUGUCCGUUGUAAUUAUCUACUUAGAAACAGAACGGAAUUUGACACGUGUCUGAAAAAUCAAUACAUGAAAAUUUGUGAAAAAAUUUAACUUUCACACUACUGGUGUGAGAAAUAUUAUUUAUGCAUUUCGAUAUUGAUAUCAAAGUUUUUUUGGCAAAAUAUAUUAAAUUUUAUAUCAUCUGAUUGUUUUUGGGUCAAUUUUAUUAAAUGUCAUAUUAUUAGAUUACAAUAAGUGAUGUAUUAUCAGAAACUAUAUUCUUUUUGUUUUGUUUUCCAUAUGAUUAAUAUUCUUUAUUAAUUUUAUAUUUUAUACUAAUUAAUUCCUAAUUUAAUUAUUAAUAGUUAUAUUUUUCUAAUAAAUCUCACUAUAUAUUUUUAUUCAGUUUUUCAACUCAUACCACAAUUUUCUUCGUCUUCUGCGCCAAAGAACACCCAACUCAUCACCACCAUAGCCCUACCUCCACAACGGUGUUCCCUCUUCUUUUCUGACAAACUAGUAGCCACCCAAAACAUCAAAUCAAUUAUCAACAAACACCGAAUGAGAACCCUUUUCCUUAUCCCUUUUUUAUUUUAUUUUUUAUUUAUUUUGCAGGUGUUCUAGCGAGCUCGAAGCUUCUUUCACGAUUAUGACAACCUUCCAAUGAGUUCCGCACUUUCAGAUCUGAACAACUUACAAACAACCACAAUGAUCAACACCACUAGAUCGACUAUCGUCGUUGUGAUGCUUUUAGAUUGUGGAGGGUAAGAAGGAUUUUCAUUUUUAUUGCUUUUUUACACUUUAAUUUUCCUGAGUCAGAUUUUUUUUGGUUAUGUUUUGUCAUUUCAAUUUUAGGAGUGAAUAAAUUUACUUUAGAGUAAAAUUUAGAAUGUCUAAUAGAUCGACAUGAUAAUUCAAGUGAGUAUUAGAAUUUUCUAGAUAAAUUCAAAGAGAAUUUAUGCCUUAUCUCAAUUCAAUUAUAAUAAAGCGUGAGGAGGAAAAACCUCGUGACUUGAGUUGUGUGAGUGAAAAUUUGCAUGUGUGGUCUUAGGAGGGAGUGCUGGAGUAUGAAGAGUCCCAUUAAUGUACCCCUAUUUAGUAAUCAAGCUAGGUUUAGAUAAAAAUAAAAGUGGAAACUUUGUUAGUUAGAAAAAUAUUCGCUUGAAAAACUUAUUAAAAUUGCUCUUUCAAACUUGAAAUUUAUUUUGUGAUUUGUUAUUUUUUUAAAAAAGGUCACAUAUAACCAACCAUUAUUAGAAAAUUAUAGAAAUUCCAUUAGCUCAAGAGUUAAUUAUUUAGAUACAAUCUGAUUUGCGAUUAUACAAAUUUUAUUAGAUUUUGAUGCGUUCAGAUAUAUUCAUAUACAUGUAUCUCAUGAUAUAAAAUUUUGUGUAAUUUAUACUAGAUAUAUUGUAUCCACUAAUCCUAAAUCAUCUCCAGUAAUAGCAACAAUUCAAAUUUUUGAAAAUUUGGACAUAUUUGCCUCUGAAUCUCAGUUGUGGUUAAUGAAACUGAUAUGUAGAGCUUAAUUUCAUGCUCUGGAGUCUUCUAAUUUUUUGGUGUUGACUCAAAAAUCAGAAAAAACAUGUGAUUGUUCCUAUUUAUUUAAAUUACAGAAAUUCAGACUGAUUAUUAAUUGUUGUCUAAAGAUAUUUUUUUAUGUAAAAACUGUUGAAAAAAUUAUUUUAGAUCUCAAAAAAAUAUUCAUACUUGUGUCUAGGUUCUUUUAAUUAUAACUUUUGAUGAAUAUUUAAUACGUUAAUUAUUCUAACAUAUUACUGAUGAUACUUAAAUGACCUAAAUAGUUUUGUUUGACGUUUUUUCUAACCCCUGUCUAUUUAUAACACAAAUACAUUAAUUAUGAGUCAUUUCUUUACUGCAAUUCUAAGUUAAACUGUAAAUGUCACUUUAUUUCCAUUGAUUUAUUACAUUUAAGGUAGAUUUUUAUAUCCAAUAGUUUACACCCUAUACAUGUUUUUUUCUUUUGCUUGUAUUUGGCAGUAGAAGAUUGAUAGAAACACUUCAAGCUAUGAGAAUUUCCUAAAAUGUUCAUGAUAAAAUAUUUUUCAGUAAGAUUUUCAACAGUUUUAAGAAUAUUUCAUAUAUUUUAUUUCUUCUGAAAAUACUAUUAAACCGGUAAAAUUGAUAGGGUUGAUAUCAACACUGGCCAACGAACAAAGUAAUAAUCAAGAGACAAUGGACAAUUUGAUUUGUACAAGGGAGACAAAUGACAACUUCAAGCCUACUCCAUGUAAGUUUUCAACUGGGAGAAUAAUUGGACUUCUUUGUGUUCAUGAAGAAGGUAUGUGACAAAACUAUAUAUUUAAAGUUUUAAUAUUGUGUAUGGAAAAUUGAGCUAAUAGAUUUCUCAAAUUUGGAGAAAUAAAUAUUCUGCGAAGGAAAAACUUGACUAAGCAGAUGAUAUAUUUGUGUGGUCAUUUCUAAAGUGAAUCAUGUGGGGUUGUGACUAAUACGUAAAAGAUUGGAUGUUAGAUUUGGAUGUUACCAAGUAUGCUUGUGCAUUACACCCAAGUUGAAGAAAAGUGAUUUAUAUAUAUUAGGGAUUCUAGAACUACUAACAUUCUUAGAAUGGAAAAAUUUCUUAUUAAACUCACAUAUGAAAAAUAUUGAUAUUAUCUAAGGUGGUAUGUACGAUUUAAUAUUUGAGUCAAUGAUCCUUAUGGAACUAUGAUCAAAUGUUGAAACCUCUUAUUUGAGUAAGAUAAAAUUUAACAAAAUUUUUAAAAAGAUUUAUCAACAAAUGAAAAUUCUAAGUCAAAAAUAACUUAGAAACCCAUUAAAAAUCCAACCCCCAAAUUCUAAUCAACACAUAAAUACUGCAAUCUUACGAGAAGAACAAAAAUACACAUAAUUAAAGAGGGAUAAGAUAUAUAUUAACAAUAAAUUGUUAGAUAUAGCAAGAAAUAAAAAUUAUAACUCAGAAUACCUUAAAGCUAACCGUUGAUAGUAAAUCUUAACACAUAAAAAAAAACAACUUACAUUUCGCAAGAAAUGAUUGUUUUAGUCGAGCAAUAACAUAGAAAUACUUUUCCAGGUUGAACCCUAAACCCUAAUAAACACAUUAAUAUUUUAAAAUCUUAUGAGAGAAGAAAAAAAUUACAAAUAAUCGAGUAGACAUAAUUAAAAAUGACAUAUUUUACAAUAUUUAGAGUAGUUGAGAUAGAUGAUAGUAAUCUGAUGACAGAAUGCUUUGUUAAAUGCUUAUUGUUUGAUAGAACGCUUUAGAGAUCAUUAACUUGUAACAACUUUAUUGAGUGGCUAAGCAAUCAUAUUUGGGUUGCUUUUGAUGCAUAAAUUUGUGUUGAAAUUGAACAUGCUAAGAAGUUACAUCUUUGUGUGUUUUGAGCAUCCAAAAUUUAGUCUUAAUUCUUUUGAACAUCUUGAAACAUAUAAAUAAUACUAGAUGUGAAAAUUAUUAUUGUGUCACAUUUGUGAAUAUCUUCGUACAUAUACAAAUGGUUUUUGUUGAAAACAAAGCGAUGAAGUUUUUAACAUUUUAAUUUAUAAAUUUGUACGUUACAUACAAAAUUUGAAAACUUAAUGAAAAGUUAUCUCUCUAUUAUGAAAUACUUUGAAAUUUUAGGGGUGUUUUGUUAAGGUUGUAUUACAUAAUAGUAAGAAAAGAAAAAAAAAUAGAAUCUAUGUUUUUUAUUUCUAUGUUAAUAAAUGUUGUGAUAGCCAAUUGUGAUGUGAUUGAAUGUAACAUUAGAGUGGGAAAACAUAUUAACGAUUUUGUAAAGUUUAUUAUAGUUCUCAUGUUCUUGUUGAGAUAUUGCAUCUUGAUGCAUUGUUUUGGAAAGAAAUAAUUGUUGAUACAUGAGAGGUGCCACAAGUAUAGUAUCAAAUAAAUUUAAUAUUUUGUUGUACUAGAACUCUAGAAGGGAACAAUGAUGCAAUGUGAAUCUCAAAAUUCGAUAGUGAUGAUGAGUUAUUAUUGAUGACGGUGCCAUAACAUAAAAGGCAACUAAUUAGUGUUUAGUUUUCGUACAGGAGUUGAUUAGUGAUCAAUAAGACAACUCUUAGUGUGUAUUUCAAAUGGAACAAAACUAACAUUUUUAUCAUAAAAUUAGAUAUAUGUGUUUAAGACGUAAUAUAAUAAAAGAACUGUUGUGAGAUUCAAUAAUAACGACAAGCUCUUGAGAUCUUAGCGCAAAACCACAAUAAAGAUAAAGAUUGAGCGGGAAUAAUGUGAUAGAAUAAGACACUUAACUUAUAAAAAAAUUAUUGGUUCAUAGAAGUUGUAAACUUUAGCAAUAGUUUUGAAAGUUUAAUCUUAUUUACCUAUCAAAAUAAAAGAAGAUAAUACAAAUUAUUUUCUUAUAGGCUAUAGCAUAUGUAGGUAAUAGGUGUACUUGUUGUUAAUGGGCACUUAGUUGAGUGUUGUAGAGGAGUAGUUCUUACUAACACCAAAAAAUACUUUCUAUCUGAACUUGAAAGUGAGGUUGAAAGAUUGAUGCAACAACUUUUAGGUUGUGCUUUCAUAGAACAUAUUUGUGGUUGGUGGUAUUGGAAAGUUUGAAAUUUGGCUAGACAUUUUUCCUUGCUCCAAAACACAACGGUUACUUUGUUUUGAGUGAUAUUUUUAGGUAUGUAGAAGAAAAUGAGAUUGAUACAAUCUCACAAAAGAUUAAUCAAACUGAGGAUGUGUACUUAGAGGUCCCGACCCCUGAUCCAAGUUGGAUCCCUUUUCUAAAUCAAUAAGUGUAGUUGUUCUUGGUUUCUCUUAAAAUCUUUUACUAUCUUCAUAUUGAAUCCAAAACCUACUCAUGUCGUUGAUCCUUGAAAUCUCAAUCAAGUUGGGUCACAUGUAGAAGAAGUUCAACAUGUUAAGUAAAAGUCCAACGACUCUUUGGAAGAUGGGAGACAUGUUGAUGAUGAAAGAGAGAUUGUUGUGGAAACGGAAUCUCGUUUCAACGAGGAUCAGAACCAAACAAAUACAAAAUCCGCUAAUUUUGUUGCCCAGGAGGAUUCUCCAAAGAAGUCAUAUGCAUCAAUCGUCACUUUAGAAAGAAGAAAGGGCCAUCCAAAUUCUAGGUACCCACAAAUACUUCAAGAAUGUCUCCUCGAAAGGCUGUAAAACAGCUGGUUGCUGCAGUAGCACAAACUGCAGCUCUUGAAGCAUCAAAUACCACAGCCCCUGGCGGAAUUAAUGGACCUGAAACUAAUGAUACGGAACAUGAAUGUAUAAUUUCUUUGAAACUAGCCUGAAAUAUACUCAUUACUUCCAUUAUGUGAUGGACACAUCUAUAUGUGACAAAAAAAUGAAAUAGGCAUGUUCUAUUUAAUUUUUGAGCAAAUGAACUAGCAUAAUAAGCAGAUGUGGUUUGAUCUAGAUGUUGGGUUAUUUGAUUUACUAGCAUUGUUACACUUAUUCUGCUUUAGACUUUCUUAUUGUUUACGGUCCCAAUAAGAGUACAUAAUUAUCUGAUGUACUUCGAUUUUAAUUAAAAUUUAAAAUUUAAGUAAAUUAGAUGAUUAUGUGCUCUUGCAGGGACUUUCAGCAAUGAGAAAGUCAGAAGCAGAAUGAACAUGACAACUGCAAGCAGAUCAAAUAAUACAACAUCUAGAUCAAACUCAAAACACAUCUACUUAUUGUGCUCCUUUAUUUGCUAAAAAAAUUAAAUACGAACUUUCCUAUGCCAUUUUUUCUGACAUAUAGAUGUGUCCAUCAUAAGAUGGAUGUAAUGAGUUUAUUUCAGACAGACUUCAAGAUAUUAUACCUUCAUCUUCAACAUAAUAAGCUUCAGGUACAUCGAUUCCACUAGGGAUAGUAGGAUUUGAUGCUUCAGGAGCUGCAGUUUGUGCUACUGCAGCAACCGUCUGCUUUACAGCCUUCAGAGGAGCCAUUCUUGAAGUAUUAGUGGGUGCAUAGAUUUUUGUUGGCCCUUUCUUUGUUUGUGAACUGACAAUUGAUGCAUAUGACUUCUUUGGAGCAUCCUCCUGGGCAAUAGAAUUAGUUGAUUAGUUGUUCUCUUUAUAUGUCUGAAUUUUGUAUACUACUUUAAGUUUUUCUAAGUUUAUCUUUUGAAUUAGAAUUUCUAUUUCUUGUUAAAUCUUAAAAUUGUGUUAACGAGAUCAGAGGAUGGCAGGCUUGUGCAAGUACGAACCUUAUGGAAACUGAGUUAGAAAAAAAAAGAUAAUUAUAAUUUAAUUGAUUUAAAUAAUUGAUCUAAAUAGAGUUUGCUAUAGUUCUAUAAUUUUUAACUCAGACAAAUGGAUUGAUGAGUGCUCUAUGUUUCAUGCUAGUUUUCUGACCCCAGCUGAAUUUGUCAAACAUGGUGGUGGAGGUGACGUUGACGUGAAAACCCUUUAAAGCAUAUAAACAUAAUUCUUGACUACUGAAGAGUGGACUAAUGCUUUAAUAUGGUUUUUAUGUGAUCUUUCCUUUUGUUUUUUUUUGUACUGAAAAAGUUCAAUGGCUAUUGCCCAAAAAGACAUUGGCUUUGAUAUCAGUGUUGUUUGAUCUCUUGUCUUAUUUCUUAAAAGGCAUUAGCUUUGAUAUUGUUAUUAUGUGAUCUUUCGUUUUAUUGCCUAAAAAGGCAUUAGCUUUGAUAUCGUUAUUAUUUGAUCUUUCGUUUUAUUGUUAGUCCAUUCCAUCAAAGAUUUAUUAAGGUUAUGUUUUGGUCAUUCUGCUUGUUUUUCUGGCUAUGCGGUGCUUAUUUGAGCCUUAAUUAGAAGCAACUAACAUCUAUUAAAAGGUUUCUAAGUUAUUUUUCAACUAGAGAUUUUCAUUUUUUGCUACAUUUUGAAAAUAGGUAUUGAAACACCUGAUAUUAGUGGUUUUGUUUAUGUGCUAGGAUUUGGUAUCUACUGCUUUAAGUUUUUCUAAUUUUAUUUUUCGAGUUAGAAUUUCUAUUUCUUAUUAAAUAUGAAAAUUAUGUGUUAAGGAGAGGAUGGCAAGCCUGUGCAAGUCGGACCUUAUGGAAAAUGAGUUAUUAAAAAAAAUAAUUAUAAUUUAAUUUAUAUAAUUGACUCAAAUAGAAUUUGUCAUAGUUUUGUAAUUUCGAGUUCAUGACAACGGAUUGAUGAGUGCUCUAUCUUUCAUAAAUAAAAUGAAGGAUUAAAAUUUUAUUUGUAGCGUUUUCUCCUAUUUUUUGUGUGAUGGUCUAAACAAUUUAUAGUUAUCCCUGAUUUUCUGUAUAUUUUGUUAGGAAAUUCUUCUAUCAUAAAUUAAAAGCAAGAAUUUCACUAUGUAAGUAAUAUGGUUAUGUAUAAUAAGUAUUUUUAAAAAACAAUUAAUUUGCGCAAUUUUGGGUCUGUAAACUAAUUCAUUAAAUUCCAUAUCAUUUUUCCAAAUUAUUUUACUUGUCUAUCGACAUGUGAGAGAGGAGAUGAGUAACGUGUGAAGUGAUUAUUACCAACCUAUAUCAUCUAUCUCGCCUCAUCUAAAUAUUAUAAAAAUAUCAUUAAUAAUACUUUAAAAAAUUCUCAUAGACUGUAACGACCCGCUAGGUCGUUUUUGAGAACUAGGACUAGUUUGAAUCCUUUAGAAAAUUUAAAGGGGUAUUUUUAAACUAUUAGAUAACUAUGAGUACCCAAUUGAUGAAACUUUUAUUAAAUAAAUAAUUAGAUAAUAGGUUAGUGGAGUUUCACGAUUAAUAAUUUCUUAUUUAGAAGAAAAGAAAGACGAAAAGUGGGGAGGCGAAACCUUACCACAGGCGACCAGCGAGAGGGAGAAAAAUCAUAGCAAUUGUUCAGGUAAAGAUAUGAGAUAUUCGUUCUUUUCAAUUCUAUAUAUAGUAAUAUAUUGUCGGAGUGCUUGGGAUUAUGUUAUUAUUUUAUGCUAUAUUGAUAAUGGGUGAUAAGAAAUAAUGGGUAAGUUGGUGAUGAUUACUAAAUUAUAUUACAUUGUUAGCAAUUGGGUUAGUAUUCAAAUAUAUAUAUACUUGGCCCACAUUUGAGAUACUAGUAUUGAGACUCCUAUGCUUGAGUCUAUUCCAGUGGUGAGUGAAUUUUUAGAAGUAUUUCCGACCGAUUUGCCAGGUCUUCCACCAGAUCGUGAUAUUGAUUUUCGUAUUGAUGUGGAGCCAGGCACUCGGCCUAUUUCCAUUCCUCCUUAUCGUAUGACACCGGCAGAAUUGAAAGAGUUGAAGGAAUAGUUGCAGGAUUUGUUGAGCAAAGGUUUUAUUAGACCAAGUGUAUCUCCUUGGGGUGCUCCAGUGUUAUUUGUGAAGAAGAAAGAUGGAUCUAUUCGUAUGUGUAUUGACUAUCGGCAAUUGAACAAGGUAACCAUCAGAAAUAAGUAUCCGAUACCUCGUUUUGAUGAUUUAUUUGAUUAGUUGUAGGGUGCUUCUGUUUUCUCCAAAAUCGACUUGAGAUCUGGUUAUCAUCAGCUGAAGGUUAGGGCGGAGGAUAUCCCUAAGACGACUUUUCGAACACGUUAUGGUCAUUACGAGUUUUUGGUGAUGUCUUUCGGACUAACUAAUGCCCCAGUAGCUUUAAUGGACUUGAUGAAUGGAGUGUUCAGACCGUAUUUAGAUUCCUUUGUUAUUGCCUUCAUAGAUGAUAUAUUGAUAUACUCACGCACUAAGGAGGAACAUGAGCAUCAUUUGAGGAUUGUUCUUGGGAUUUUAAAGGAGAAGAAGCUUUAUGCAAAGUUUUCAAAGUGUGAGUUUUGGCUUAGUUCGGUAGCAUUCUUGGGACAUGUAGUGUCCAAGGAGGGUAUCAUGGUGGAUCCUAAGAAGAUUGAGGCGGUUAGAGAUUGGGUCAGACCUACUUCAGUUACUGAGAUUCGGAGUUUCUUAGGCCUUGCAGGUUAUUAUCAACGGUUUGUUGAGGGUUUCUCGUCCAUUUCAUCUCCAUUAACUAGAUUGACACAGAAGGAGGUGACUUUUCAGUGGUCUGACGAAUGUUAGGUUAGUUUCCAAAAGCUCAAGACUAUAUUGACUACUGCUUCAAUUUUGACCCUACCCGUGGAGGGAGAGGGUUUUGUCGUAUAUUGUGAUGCUUCUCGGGUUGGUCUUGGUUGUGUGUUGAUGUAGAAGGAAGGGUGAUAGCUUAUGCUUCGAGGCAAUUAAAGGUUCAUGAGAAGAACUACCCUAUUAAUGAUUUAGAGUUGGCGGCUGUGGUGUUUGCAUUAAAGAUUUGGAGGCAUUAUCUUUAUGGUGUGCAUUGUGAGGUGUUCACGGAUCAUCGUAGUCUCCAGUAUAUAUUCAAUAAGAGGGAUCUAAAUUUGAGGCAGAGGAGAUGGUUGGAGUUGCUCAAAGACUGCGAUAUGACUAUCCUUUAUCACCCAGGCAAAGCAAAUGUUGUAGUAGAUGCCUUGAGUCGGAAGGCGGUAAGUAUGGGUAGCCUAGCCAUGUUACAGGUUGGCGAGCGUCCCCAAGCUAGGGAUGUCCAAUCCCUGGCCAAUAGCUUUGUGAGGCUUGAUAUUUCAGAAUCUGGUAAGGUAUUGGCUUUUAUGGAGGCUAGGUCAUCCUUGUUGGAGAAGAUUCGAGCUCAACAGUUUGAUGACGGUGAUUUAUGUAAGAUUAGGGACAAGGUUUUAAAAGGAGAAGCCAAGGCUGCAAUUCUUGAUAGUGAGGGAGUUUUGAGGAUUAAGGGUCGUAUAUGUGUUCCUCGUACAGGUGAUUUGACUAGAUUGAUCAUGGAGGAAGCUCAUAGUUUGAGGUACUCUAUUCAUCCGGGGGCUACUAAGAUGUAUCGUGACUUGAAGAAACAUUAUUGGUGGUGUCGUAUGAAGAGGGAGAUAGUAGAUUUUGUAUCCCAGUGUCUGAAUUGUCAGCAAGUGAAGUAUGAACACCAAAAGCCUGGAGGUGUGACACAGAGGAUGCCUAUACCUAAGUGGAAGUGAGAGCGUAUUGCUAUGGACUUUUUGGUAGGAUUGCCAUGUACUUUGGGUAAGUUUGAUGCUAUAUGGGUCAUUGUGGAUCUACUGACUAAGUCUGCACACUUUGUACCACUUCAGACGACCUAUAAUUCAGAGAAGUUAGCCAAAAUCUAUAUUCGAGAGAUAGUUCGUUUGCAUGGGGUUCCUAUUUCUAUUAUUUCAGAUCGUGGCACUCAAUUUACAUCUCAUUUCUGGCGGUCAGUGCAGAAACAGUUGGGAACUCGGGUGGAUCUUAAUACAGCCUUUCACCCUCAGACGGAUGGUCAGUCUAAGAGGACUAUUCAGGUUCUUGAGGACAUGUUGCGGGCGUGUGUGAUUGACUUUGGUGGUCACUGGGAUCAGUUCUUGCCAUUAGAGGAGUUUGCUUACAAUAAUAGUUAUCAUUCGAGCAUUGAGAUGGCACCAUUUGAGGCUUUGUAUGGUAAGAGAUGUCGAUCUCCAAUUGGUUGGUUUGACGCAUUUGAGGUUGGACCCUGGGGUAUAGAUUUGUUGAGGGAGUCUUUGGACAAGGUCAAGUUGAUCCAAGAUAGACUUCUCAUGGCUCUAAGUAGACAAAAGAGUUAUGCAGAUCGAAAGAUUCGUGAUUUAGAGUUCAUGGUUGGAGAGAGGGUUCUACUAAAGGUUUCACCCAUAAAGGGUGUGAUGAGAUUUGGAAAGAACGACAAGUUGAGUCCAAGGAACAUUGGUCCUUUCGAGGUUGUGGAGCGUAUUGGUGAGGUGGCAUAUCAGUUGGCUUUGCCAUCUGGUUUGUCAGGUGUCCAUCCUGUAUUUCAUAUUUCAAUGCUUAAGAAGUAUCAUCAGGGUGGUGAUCACGUGAUUCAAUGGGAUUCAGUGUUACUUGAUCAGAAUUUGACUUUUGAGGAAGAGCCGAUCACCAUUUUGGAUAGGCAAAUUCGGAAGCUAAGGUCCAAAGAGAUUGCUACAGUAAAGGUUCAGUGCAAGCAUUGUCCAGUGGAGGAGGCUACAUGGGAGACAAAGGCAGACAUGAGGAGUAAAUAUCCUCAUCUUUUUGAGCGUCCAGGUUAGCUCUUUUCUUUUUCCGUUCGAGGACGAACAUUUGUUUAAGUGGUAGGUGAUGUAACUACCCCCUAGGUCGUUUUGAGAACUAGGACUAGUUUGAAUCCUUUUGAAAAUUUAAAGGGGUAUUUUUAAACUAUUAGAUAACUUUGAGUACCCAAUUGAUGAAACUUUUAUUAAAUAAAUAAUAAGAUAAUAGGUUAGUGGAGUUUCACGGUUAAUAAUUUCUUAUUUAGAAGAAAAGGAAAACGAAAAGUGGGGAGGCGAAACCUUACCACAGGCGACCAGCGAGAGGGAGAAAAAUCAUAGCCAUUAUUCAGGUAAAGAUAUGAGAUAUUCGUUCUUUUCAAUUCUAUAUAUAGUAAUAUAUUGUCGGAGUGCUUGGGAUUAUAUUAUUAUUUUAUGCUAUAUUGAUAAUGGGUGAUAAGAAAUAAUGGGUAAGUUGGUGAUGAUUACUAAAUUAUAUUACAUUGUUAGCAAUUAGGUUAGUAUUCAAAAUAUAUAUAUAUAUAUAUAUAUAUAUAUAAAUCGAUCGAAGUCGAAUAGUUGAAUGGUUGAAGGUUAAUGUUUUCUGUGAUUUUGUCAAAAGAAUUUAUUAUAUAUAUUGUUAGUUUCAGAAUGGUAGGAAUAAGAUUGAGCCAAUUAUUGUCAAUGAUUGGAAUUUGAUAAAUAUUCUAGAAAAUUGGCACUUGUUUACAAAAAUUGAUAAAUAUUAGCGUCUAUGAUAGACAUAUAAUAAUUUGAAUGUCUACAAAAAUUGCUUACUUACGAAUAUUGCAAAAUUGGUAGAUUGGGAACGUUCCGAAAACUUGCGAAAAGGAAAGGAAAAAUUUUAAAAGAUUCGUGGCACAAGCUCGGCAUCUAAGGUAUAUUAAGACUUGUUAGACUUGUUGAAGGACAUUUUCCUAAUUAAAUAUUAAAAAUAAAAAUAGGCAAAGGGGUAAGGGGAAAAUAUGGUGGUCUCGUAUCAAUGGUGUGACGGGCAUUGGUACGAUUACCGGUGUUAUAAAACGGAAAAAUUCUAUUAUAGAAUGUGGGUUGAAAUUUGAGAAUGCCAAAGCAUAUGGGCAUUAGCUAAUAUAUUAUUGACUUGAAUUCCUUGUGUGAUUGUGUUUUAUUUAUUUCACCCAUAUAGUUGAGAUAAUUGAGGUGGUUAUGUAAUAUAUUCAUAUUGAUUGAUUGAGAUGCAUCAUCAUUCCCUCUAUUGAAACAAUAUUGUGCACAUGCAUAGAGAUGAGACUGAGUAUACGUUGGGCACGUGGAGAUCGUCCGUGCUGGGGAUGGUGAGAUGUUAAGAUUAUAAUUUGGGAACGUGGAGACCGUCCGUGCGAAAAUUGUUUGAUAUUAUGAUAGUGCGUUGAGAUCGUCCGCACAGACACGUGGAGAUCGUCCGUGUCGGUAUAUGGACCUCGCGAGUCCCCCAUGGGUCAUGAACUCUCGAUGUAUUUCCGAGGAGUAUCAUGUAUAUACGGUUGAGUGAGUACUGGGUAUUCUGAGACAUAUCAUUACAUGGCAUCAUAUUGCAUUGCAUUUCAUUCCAUCAUUCUUUCUUGAUGACUAUAUGUUUUGUUAGGUGUUUGGAAAAUAUUAAAUGUUGAUUUCCUUUAUUGAUGAAACUUAAAUAGUAAGUGUAAUAUAUAUAUAUAUGUCGGUCAAUGAGACAUACUGGGUACACGUGGUUUCGUACUCAUACUACGCUUGUUGCACUCUUUGUGGUGCAGAUUCGAUUCUGAGUAGAAGCACAUCUCGUGGAGCAAUUUGAGUCCGAGCUUGGAGUUGUGGUGAGCUGCUUGGCUAUUUCGUGGCCCACACCUCCCUCUAUCUUUUAUUUAUUCUAUUAUUAGUAUUCAAACAUGAUAUCCCUUCUGUUAGAUUUGUCAUUUAGUUUCAGACGUGCAUCGAAUUUUAGAAGCUCUUGUACUUAAGACACCAAUUCUUGGGGUGAUAUAUUUUAUCUUCCGCAUUUCAUACUUAUAAGGAACUCAAUGUUGGAGAUUCUUGCUAAGCGUUGGUCUUUUUUACUCAUUUGUUGGUUUAGUUGGGUUAAUAUGUUGGGUUUGCUUACCUAUUGGUUGGGAACAUAGGUGCCAUCACGAGUUGCAAAAUUUGGGUCGUGACAUAGACAAAGUGAAUACUGAUUAAAUCAGAAAUCUCAGUUUUAAACUUAUGCAAUCUCCAAGUACACGAUCUCAUAGCCAAGUCUGAAGUAUAGCUUGAUCACUAAAAAAAGUACAACAUUAAAAGCUAAAUUUUGAUUUUUCUUUAUGUGCAUUAGGGUUUUUUGUUAACUGCUUUAGAAUUUUCUAAGUUAACCUAUCAAUUAUAUAGUAAUACAUAUAUUAUUAGCUACGUUAUUGUAACGACCUGUUUAGUCGUUUUGUGCAACAAACUUCAAUUCUGCAAAAACUGGCAGAAGCGACGGACCCCACGACGGACCGUCAUGGGCACGACGGACCGUCGCAGGGUCUCGUUUCAAAACACUUAGAAAAUCUGAAAUUGGGUACUGAAAAUCGACUCUCUGAACUUCGUAACGAAAUGGCAGGACGGACCGUCAAAGGUGUGACGGACCGUCACAGGCCCUUGGUGGAAAUAUAGGGUCUCUGAACUUUGCGACGACCUGCAGGACGGACCGUUGCAGGCGCGACGGCCCGUCACAGUUUGCAUAAUCCCAGUUGGAAUCGGAUUUCUGGUUAAGUUUUAAGGGACGUUUUUGACUAUUCUUGCCUUAAUUAUAAAGUUCGUGGGUUUAUAAUAAUAACUCAAAUUCUUGGGGGUUAAAAGAGGUAACCCUAAGUUAAUUAGUGGGGUAUUAUUGCCAUCUUUUAUUCUUAAUUAUAUACCAAUUAGGGUAAAAGAAAGAGGGCUUGAAUAAGAAAAUAGAAAGAACAAGAAGGGAGAGAGAGAAAAGAUUGAGAAGAAGAGGAAAACACCAAGCUUUGAGGAUUAACUUGCUUGAUUUCAAUUCUUCGGUGGAGGUAGGUUAUGGUUUUCAUGAUUCAUAAGUAAACUCUUAAUAGUGAAUGAUAUGUAUUGGUAGUAUUGUAAACCCUACUAUAUGCUUAAUGGUAUGUUUGCAUGAAUAUGAUUAUGUGAUUGUGAUAAGAUAAGCAUGAUGAAAAUAUUGAAUCCCAAAUCUUGAAAAGAAACUUUAAUAUAAAUUUAUUAAUAAUGAUGCCUUGGUAUAGAAGAAGGCUUGAUGAAUUAAAGUAAUGGGAUUGAUGAUGCCUUGGAAUAGAGAAGGCUUGAUGAUUUACAGAAUGAUAUUAGUGGAUUGGCGUGUCACAUUUCGACACAUAGUAUUAGUGGAUCAGAGUGUCACGUUCCGACACAUAAUAUUAGUGGAUCGGAGUGUCACGUUCCGACACAUAGAAUUAGGGGAUCGGAGUGUCACGUACCGACACAUGUAGGGGAUCGGAGUGUCACGUUCCGACACAUGUAGGGGAUCGGAGUGUCACGUUCCGACACAUGUAGGGGAUCGGAGUGUCACGUUCCGACACAUGUAGGGGAUUGGUGUGUCACGUUCCGACACAUAGAAUUAGGGGAUCGAAGUGUCACGUUCCGACACAUAGUAGUAGGGGAUCGGAGUGUCACGUACCGACACAUAGUAGUAGGGGAUCAGAGUGUCACGUACCGACACAAGAGGAGGAAAGAUAAUGAAUCUUGAAAGAUGAUAAUAUACUCAACUUAAUAUACUUAAUUCCCAAAUGAGUAUGGUGUUGAGGCUUGAGCCCUCAUGGAUGAACUUGAUGGUACUUAUUGAUGAUUAUAGUACUUGUUGUUGCUACAUGUUGAGUUUUAUAGUUGAUUUACGAUAAUAUUUGAUAUAUACUAUUCCCUAUUUUGAGUUGGCCGAUGAUAUCUACUCAGUACCCGUGUUUUGUACUGACCCCUACUUUUAUGUUUUUCUUCUUGUUAUUUGUGGAGUGCAGCAAACGUGUCGUCAUCUUCGACUCAACAGUAACCCAAGCCAGUCUUCGUCACACCGGAUCUUUAGGGUGAGCUAACACUUCUAGCUUGGACUGGAUCUUCUCCUUUAUGUCUUGAUGCCUUGAACUUCUGGCAUGGACUAGCUUCUUAUGUAUUUUUAGCUUCUUAGAAACUCUUAGAAUUAGUAGUUUAAAGUAGAUGGUCUUGUGAUGAUGACUUCCAGGUUUUGGGAAUAAUAGAUGUUGAAUAUUGAUAGUUAUUGAAUUGGUUCUUAUUAAUGAAUUUAAGUCUUCCGCAUUACUUUCUGUUGUUAUUACAUUGAAAUGUUAAGGUUUAGAUUGGUUGGUUCGCUCACAUAGGAGGGUAAGUGUGGGUGCCAGUCGCGAUCCGGAUUUGGGUCGUGACAGUUAUAUUCGGUUGCUAUUUUUGAUGGACAAAUAUACGGAUGACUUUUCUAGGUUUUUGAGCCCCAAUGUAAUUUUGGGUUUACGGGUAAAUUUACAUGUGCGGUUUAGGUUUUAGGGAUGAAUUGAUUGACAUAUUUGAUCCUCUUCUUUAAUUGUGAUGUGAAUUUCAUAAUUUCUUGAUCCCUUAUUCAAAAAAAUAGAUGUAAUUAUGAAUGUGUAUGGCAAUUUUAUAGAGUUUUAGGCCUCCAUGGCAAAAAUAGAUUCUCCACAGCCUCAAGCCGUGAAAGAGAGACCAGAAAAACCUAGUUAUGCAUCUAUUCCUAAUCCAUCAACUUGCAUUCAAAAAUCUGAUGGAAAACUUCCAAUAAAAUUAAAACUUGUGACAUAUGUUCAUGGCGAACCAACAGUGAGUUUAAGCUUUUCGGAUUUGGAAUUGUAUAUCCAAGAAGAGAACUUACAAUAUACUUUUGUUCCUAAGUUCUCUUAUGGGAGACCUGAUAUGAUUGUCUCAGAUUGGUUUUUACACGACACUUCGAAAUCAAAUAAGAUUGCAAUUUGGGACUACUGGACCAUCGUCAUGUUUUGGUGAGAUUAUCGAACCGGGAAAACUUUGUGGAGGUGUAUUCUAGGGUAGUAUCAUUCAUCACAUUAAAAGAAAAAGGUGUGAGUAAUCAAUAACAAUGUCGAACUCAACAUUGGACACCAUGGUUUAAGCCAAAAGAGGAGACACCAAUUGCUUUGCUCGUCAAGCCUGUUUUCACUAGCAUCAGCCGCUGGUACACCCCUACAAGUUGAUAAGGAAACAACUAGUAAGUCAAGGCCUAGUGCAGCUACGGUAAAGGUGGAGGUCAAUCUAUUAUCAUCUCUUCUGGGUAGAGAAUCAUACUCCUUCAUCUAGUAGGAGUAAGUAAAUCCCUCAAGCACUCAAAUUUGUGCCUACAAGUUAGACAAAUGCAUCUAUGGCAGUCUUAGAUACUUUAUCUAAUUUGAGUGCUACAAAAGUAAUCUUAGAUAAUAAGUAUUUCCUUCCUAACUUGGGCUGUGACAUAUCUGAUGGGAAUGAUGAAGAUGAUAUGUUGGGAUGGUAAGGUGAGUGGGGAACUUAUUUCAAGGCACUUACCGUGCGACUGGCAAAGCAAAAUCAUAUGAUAGUGACAACAACUUUAUCAAGAUCCUACAAAUCAAACAAGAAGUGAUGAACUAUAAAUCAUUCUUUGAAAAGUUUGAAAAAGAAGAUAAAAAGAAAAUACUUUAGAUAUACUUCUAACGUGAAAAAAACUUUUUUUAGUUCAUAGAUAUAUCAACUGAAGUUUGAGUUGGAGAACUCAUCUUUUUUCCUAGAUUUUAUAUUCUUGCAUUACUUAUGAAUCCUCAUUUGUAAUAUCAUCAUAGUGAGAAUUAUAAACUUGGUGAUGAUCAUAGAAUAUCUAGUUUUCUCUAGUUCUUAUUUUCUCCAUUCUUGUUAAUUAGUACAGACUUGUUAUCUCAUUAGCAAUAGUAAGGUAAGGCCUAGACCCACUUGCUUGGACUUAUCCCUAUUGAUAUUGUUUUAUUUUCAAUGAAAGGCCGCUAGACGCUCUCAUUAGUGGUAAAUUUAGUUUAACAAAAAAAGGAAAUUUUAAAAUGCAAACCAAAAAAUCCCCCGUAAUGAAUCACUUUCUGAUAAUUUUGUAUUUUGAGUAUCCUAAAUUUGUUUAUGAUGAAACCUGCCUUUAAUGUCAAGAGGUAUUUAAAACAGAAUAAUUCAUAUUCAGGGUCAAAACAAAAUUGAUUAUCCAAAUCGAUAAUUUGGUUAUUGGGUCAAUGGCUCGGGUUAAUAGGUUAACAGUCGAGUUUUAGUCUACUAUAAACUUCUUAUGGGCUUAUCGAUUCGUGUCGCGGUUUGAUCAUAUUUCUUAUUGGGUGACUAAUAACCCGAUACGAAAUUCAAUUAAUUGCAUUUAUAUCACUUAUGGUCUUAGGCACUCUUAGCCUUUAGGGUUUACACUUCAGACUUCUGACUCUUUAUAGUGACUUCAUAGUUGACACUCAUCAUAUUCCAUAUAAAGUUAAUUACGUGAUAUUGUAUUUAAACUAAUAACACAAUAGAAUACAACAGGCUACAACCAUUCAAACAGUGUGUUACUGUUGAUUGACCACCAUUAGUUUGAGGGGAAGCUAAUCACUAGCAAUUACAAUCUCUACCUACCAUAAUUCUCUUAAUAAACUGAAAAUAUGGUACAGUGCUACACGAAAUCAGAUAUGAGAAAGAAAUCACCAAAAAUGUGGCAUGGUGCUAUAAAAAUCGAUUAUGAGUGAGUAUCACCAGAAAGAUACGUAGUUACCCAACUUUUGCUUAUAUAAUUGUUGGAUAGAAGUCUAACAUCUUGUAACUAGAAUUAACUAAGAAUAAGUUAAGAAGCCAAAUAUAAGUAUUUUUGAAAAUAAGUAAGGAAAUCUGGAAAAUUUCCAGCGAGUUUUGGUCAUUUUCAAACGGCCAUAACUUCCAUCUCAAAAGAAUUUUGGUUGACUUCUUUAUAUGGUUGGGAAUACCUUGAGAUCACUGCAGAGUUUGCACAACUCCUAUGUCAUAUGAGGGAGAAAUGUCUAUCAGGAGUUGGGUUAUUGGACUGAGAAAAGUCCAAUCGAAAUUUUAGUAAAGCCAAAAUUGUCUUUUCACCCUAGUAUUUCCUAAUUUUUUUAAGGUUAUAUUAGGGGUGAAAACAAGUCCGAAAUAAGUUUUUCAAUAUUUAAGAACGCUUAGGGUUUGGGAGAAAAUGAGAAAAUAAUAUGAAAACCAAGAAUCGUCCAUGAACGCUAAGAUCAUUGCAUGGAUUUUGUCGGGGGUGAUCUCUAUCAAGGUUUGUGAGAUCAUUCGGUGUUGGUUCCUUUCACCCACCCUAGAACUUGGUUCAAUACAACAAUUUAUAGUUAUUUUUUAAAAAAAUCUUGAAGUUCUUGAUGAAAAGUUGUGAAGUUCUUGUUGAUUGAAUUGUAGAAUCUCUAGUAGUUUUGAUUCAUGUUUCUGUACUGUUUUCGGGUCUAAACUAUUGAAUAAUGAGUUAAUUAGGGAUCCUAAGUGUUUGGGUAGGGAUUCAUGGGAUUUUGGGAGGUUUACAUAUGAAAAAUGAAGAAUAAAAGUCGAAGGUCCUAUCAGACACCCCUUGGGGCGCUACGCCUGCCAGAGCUCCUAAAGGAAGGCUCUGUCUGACAAGCCGUAGCGCAGCGCGCCAGCCAUAGCACCCCCGACCAGGGUCUGUCCAAUAGGCCCUGGCUCUCCACACCCUCUCAGAGCCCCAAUAACCCCUGGAGACCCCGUUCUUUCCCUAUCAUUUCGUAAUAGUUCCUAAGUGAUGUACCCUUCAUUCUUAGUUGAUUUCAACACUCUAGAUUACAUCUAUAAAUCAUGAAAUCAUCCAUAAAUAUGAGAUAAUGAUCUUUGAAUCCAUAAUCCAAAUUCAAGGGAAGUUAGAACCAAAGUCAAGAAAAUAAGAAGGUAAGUCUAAAGUUAUAAAGUGAGUAAAACUAAAAUUUUCAAAGUUCUUAGAGUCUUAAUUAAAAGUUUUUAAUUUGUUUUAAGGCUCAAGUUCAAGUAAAUGAAAAGAGUAAAGGUUGAGUUCAUUUAUCAAAAAAGUAUAAAAAGGUAUAAGGGAACUAAGUAUUCCCUAAGAGUUAAAUUUUCAAGUUAAGUAAGAGCAAGAGUUGAGGUCAUUCCUCUAAAGUUCUAAAGCGGACUAAGUAUUCCCUAAAGGCUGAUAAAUGUUUUUACAUUUAAGUUAAAAGGAAACUAAAAAGUUUCAAAAGAGUUUUAAACUAAAGAGGGGAACAUUGUUUCCAAAAGGAGCUCUUUAGGCUAAAGGGUUCAGUAAAUUAUCUCAACCAAAAGGAAGGAACUUUUAUUAAAACUAUGAGCUAAAUUACAUUUUCGGAGUAGUAUUGAGCACUGAUGUGGGAAUGAGAGUUCAGAUAAAUCAACUCCCCAUGUAAACCAUGUAGCAUCAUGGGUAUUAACGUGUCAUACUUUUUAGAUGAUCACUUAAGGUUAGCUAGUGGAUCCACUAGGUAGAGGAUGUUUUAUGCAACGACAAAGUAUGGAACAGUUCUGGCAGUGUGGGCAAGACGUUGUAUCACCACUUAGGAUCAUAGUAGUGGUUGUCGGUUAGAGAAAUUCCCGCUGGAACUAUAUUACUUUCAUAUAUAAGUAAAGCUGAGUUUGUUAUCGUUAUUAUCUUUAAUGAACUAAGAAAUACAAUAUUUUAUCCAUUUAACAUAAAUAUGCAUUGCAUAUGUCGUUACUGCUUUAGAUUGAGUUGUUAUCUUAUUAGUUAAGUAGAGCCAAGGUAAAUUCAUGCUUACUCCAUUUCAAACAUUAUAGUUGUGUUUAGCACUUUAACACGCAUACUCGUAUAUUCAAUGUACUAAUGUCAGUUGACCUGCAUUGUUUUAUAAUGUAGAAGCAGGUAAUCAGGAUCAACAUACAACGCUUCGUUGAUCCAGAUUGACUUCCAUAGUUAGUGGUGAGUCUCUUUGCAUUCCAGAGGACAUCUUUUUCAUUGCUUUACUAGUUUAGCUUUAGGAUAUUGUGAGAUCUAUCCCAACAUCCCUCUUCAGUCAGUUUAGAGGCUUUAAAGACUGUGAAUAGUUCAGUUUGGAGUUAUUUUACUUGCUGAGACUUAAGUGCCAUUUUGGCUAGAUUAAUUUAUGAAGUAUUUGAUUUUAAAUAUGUUUUAUUCUUGUUUAAGUUGAGUUUAGAUUUCCACUGAGUUAAGUAAGUCAGGCCGAGGGUUCGCUUGGGGGCCAGAAAUGAUCUUCGAGUGUUUGCCACAUCCAGGGUGUAGGCUCCAGGCGUGACAAGACGGGCGACAAUGUAUGAGUAAUAGUCACCCAUUUACAACGGAAGCUCUUUGAUUCUUUAGAAAGAUUGAAGAGGCUAUGAUAUCAUAUGAACAAGAGAAAAACCUUGAGUAAUGGAACGUAAAAAUUGGAGCUGAAGGGUUAAAAUUGAAAAAGGUGGAGUUGGAAUGUCAAAAUAAUAUUUAAUGACAAGUUUAAGGAUCUGCAUAUAUGUUUGAGCAUUUUUAUUCCUUUAGAAUGAAGAAUAUUGUCUCCUUAAAAGAUUACAAGAAAACUAUGCAUGUCAAAUUAUUUAACAUGGUAAAUACAAUUAAAGAAAAUAAUAUAUAAAUAUAAUGUGUAAUUAACUAUAUAUGGUAGGUAGAGAUUCUAAUCGAUGGUAACUAAUAAUAUAUAUAAAGAGAGAGAGGAAUACACUUAGAUUCAAUGUAAUUAGAAUAAAUUACACCUAAUUUUGAAUCAUGUAUAUAUGAGAUACAUGUAAUUAGACGCGGCAAAUACAUGUAUCGAGAGACCAAAAUUAGACACAAUUAUAAUUUCAAAAACUCAUGAAAAAGACAUCUAUUAAGCUCUAUACAAAUUAAAUUUACAGUAUUACCCUAUUAAAUUCAGUAAUAUUUAAAGGAGAAAUUAUAGAAUAGUAUAACAUUUAAUCAAUUUGACCAAUAAAACAAAGUAAAAAAAUACAUUUAACUUUUUAAUCUUUUUAAAAUGGUAAAAAUAAUAAUUAAAGAAUGAAUUUAUAACUGACAUGUGUCACUCACUAUUAAGUGGUUACCUAUUGGGAUUAAUUUCCAAGGUCCUUCUUAAAUCACGUGGUCAUGUUAUUCCAAAAACAACCAUGUAUCACUUUUCAACAGAUAUUUUGUCAUUUAAUAAAUCAAUGGAAAUGAAAUACCGCUUCACGCUUUCUGUACCUUCCCACCCAUAUAUCUUCUCCUUUAUAAGCUCCCAAAUGGCCUAUUAUUUUCUCCACCGUGAAGCUUUUAUGGAGUUUUUCUUUUCCCAUUUAUAAUUUUUUAGUUCAAAAUGCAAUAGCUUUUACAGUUUUUUUAGAUUUUUCUAACAUGGAGAAAGCUAAAGAAAAUAUAGGUGUUUUACUUGAAAAAAUAAAAUAUAAAGAAAAAUGACUAAGUUUUCCACAAAAUUGAUUAAACUUAUGAUUUAAGAGAAAUCGAAUUUCCAAAAGAAACACAGUCACCACUUAAUUUUUUAGGAAAGAUCAAGAAAACACUCUGUAUUUUUCAAAAAGAUUUAAACAGAUAAAAUAAAUUUGAAAAAUAGGUUCGAAGUUCAAUGUAAGGUGUUAGGCCCUCGAAAUGCCCGCUUAUCUGUGGUUGACCGGCGAUUUGAAUAAAAUGACUUUUCAAAUAACUUUCAAAAUUUUAAUUAAGUAAAGAAAAAAUUAUUUUUAUUGUUAUUUACUUAUUAUUAUUAUUAUUAUUAUUAUUAUUAUUAUUAUUAUUAUUAUUAUUAUCAUCAUCAUCAUCUUAACUAAAAAAGAUCUAAGUGGAUUUUUCUAAAGGGAAAUAACUUAAGUGUUGAUAAAGACCAAUAUCAAUAAAAGCUAAGUAAUUUUCUAUAAAAUAAAUAUUCAUAUUGUUUGAAUAUAAAGAGAAAUGACUAUCUUGGGAAUUUAAUUAAAUUAAAUCAUAGGACAAAUAAAGUAAGUCGAAACAAUACAAUAUAAGUAAAAAGGAAGAGAGUAUCAAAUUUGGGCCAAAAUUUUAAAUCUUCAUAAGCUGUCCCGAGUCUCAAAAUGACCCAUAAUGGACCUUAUCCAUUUUUACACCUGCUGGACCUGCUGCAACUUUCCUUGGGCUUUGGCCUAUUUUUGGGUCCAAAAAUCAGCGUAUACACUGAUCAUAUACCGCCGUAUAUGAGCUGUAUUUUAGUUGUUUUCCCUGUAUGUUGGAUUGUAUACUCAAUGUAUACAUCCUAAUUCAGCUCUUCAAGCACCUGUAUUAAUUUUUGGACCUGUAUUAUAGCUUCCAUUUCGCUAUUUCAACUUCCGAAACUCGAAUAGUGAUGAAGGCCAACUCGAUAAAGAAGUUUUGGGUUUCCACCAACCUGAAGUGCAAAGGAAAUGCAAACAUAUGGGGAAAAAAAAUAUAAGAAUUAUAAUAGGAACACAAAUGCUAACAAACAUACUGUAAAGUAAUUUAUUCAUAAUGAAGAUAAACACAUAGUUCAUUUGAGAAACUAAGAGUUUGGUCAUAAACUAAGACAAGAUAAAGAGAAGGGAGCUUUCUUCAUUUUAUAAACUCACAACAGCUAAGUGAGAGUAAGGCAAGGCAUAGCAAAAACAGCUCAUAUUAUGAACAUUUAAUUAACAGAUAACAAGAUCCCAAAUAUAAACAACGAAAAAAGGCCUAAAAUACCCUCAAAAUAUUAGAAAUGGUAAUUACUAUCCUCCAUCCACCUAUUGGCUCCAAAAUGACCUUUUCACUUUGCUCCAAAAUACCAUUGUCAUUCACCUUUGGGUUCAAAUUAACAACUAAUUUUGACGGUUUAAAAUUUAAACUAUUUAAAUAUUUUUGAAAAUAAUUGGCGCUCAAUUAUUGGAUAUAAUUGAAUUUAUUAAUAUCAUUUAUAAAUCUACCCCCACCCACCCAUUACUAAUUAAGCCCACCCAAUUAAUAAAUCAUUUCUAAUAUCAAAAUCUCCCUAAAAACUCUACUAAAGCACGACGAAAUUACCGAUUCCUGAAAAAUGACAUUCAAAAUUAUUUGAGUCCAAAUUGGAGCCCAAAUUAAAUUUAGGUUGAGCCACUUAUUUAGGAAAACACUUUCAAUAGGAUUUUGUUUCAAUGAAGUACCUCUCGAAUUAAUUCAUGCACUAUUUUAAUAUAAAUUUAUAAAUAUUUAUCAUUUGUUUUAAAUAUUAAAACCUUAAUAUGUUCUUUUUUAAAAAAUAUUAUCAAUUAUGUAACAUCACAAAAUUGAGGCGAGGAGUAGAUAUUACCUUUUUCCGGGUAGCGAACGAAACUGGACGAAGAAACCUCAAGAAAGAGAAUUGUUAUUGCUCUAUCAUUUGGGAAUUUCUUUUGGGGAUAAGGAAAUGGGCCGGGAAUUAAGAACAAAAGAGUGGGCUGCUGAAAUAAAAUUCUUUUAUAAAGGCCCAUAAUUUGGUCCUUUGAUAUUGGUUAGCUAAAUGAAUUAUUAAUUUAGCCAAACCGAAUUUAAUUUUAAAAUUUCAGUUAAAAUCUAAAUAAGAUGAAUUAAUAUAAUUAAUUUAGGAGCUUCUCAAUCUUAAAAAAUAAAAUAACUAAUUCAACCAUAAACUAGUUGAUUUUUAAAAUUAACCUUAAUGUAAAUUAAACUAAUGUUAUAAAAUACUAACCAAAAUUAAAAACUUUUUUAGGAUUAUUUUCCAAUAUUUAUAAAAUAAACUAAUUAGAUAAAAACAUAUUUACUAUUUAAAAUUAUAAAAGCUACUAAAAUUACUCUAAAAGAACUUGAAAAACAUUUUAGAUUUUAUAAAGCUAAUUAUUUUAAAUCGUUCGAAAUAAAUUAAGCUCAAAUGUUAAUGGUACUGAUAGGUACUCGGUUAGAAGUACGGAAUGUAUAUGUUUUAUUGUCGACCUAUCCUACAAAAGAGUACAUAUAGCUUGGGCUAGAUAAGGAACUAAUUUGAUAACAUUUUACAGUUAUUUGAUGAGUAGAAAUGUGUGACCUAUUUGCAUAUGAUCUUCUCAGUAGGUAUGAUGUCUCGGUAGGUAUGAUGUGUUUUGAUGGUGAAUGUAAUAGACAUUAAUGUUAUGGUACUAGUGGUAUAUGAAAACGGAUACCUUGAUUGUUAAGCAUGAAUAUUAACUGCAUAAGGAGUUAUCUUUUGUAUCACAUGCUUGUAUAAUAAGGUUCAAUGUCACAUUCAUAUUUGAGGAACCAACAAGUUUGUUACUAAAGACGAAUGAGUUAGGAAAUAUAUUAUAAGGAAAAUUUUAGUGGUAAAUCGUUGAUACAAUAUUAAUGCGCUAAAUUACGAAGUGUAUCACGAAGGUUCAAAAUAAGGACCGAUUAGUUCAUUUUAAUGUACAAGGGAAUGAAUAUAUAUCAGAAUGACAAGCUUAUGGAUAAAAGAAGUCUCAAAGGAUAUGCUUGUGUGAAGAUAAUUGAAGAUUUUAGUAAGAAAGUGCACAUGAGAUUGAGUUAGUUUGAUUUUUAUAGGUAUAACUAGAUUUAAGGUGUCAUGUUUGUUAAAUGGUUGACAUCGUGGUAAUAAAAUGAGCUAGCUGAGUAUGAUGGUAAUAAGAGUUCGUGAUGGAUUGUGAGUGAGAUGCAGCUAUAUGAUAAGAAUUGUUGGUUAAAUGAAUGUUGUAUUAUAAUAACGACUUGUGAGUAUAUAAUAUUAUGAUUUAUUACUAUUUGGUUAGUAGUUUGAUUUUUUAAUUGUUGGACCUGUAUUCUAGCUUCCAUUUCGCUAUUUUAGCUUCCGAAACUCGAAUAGUGAUGAAGGCUAAUUCAAUAAAGAAGUUUUGGGUAUCCACCCACCUGAAGUGCAAAGGAAAUGCAAAUAUAUGGGGGGAUAAAGAAUUAGAAUAGGAACACAAAUGCUAAGAAACAUAUUGUAAAGUAAUAACUUCAUAGUGAAGAUAAACACAUAGUUCACUUGAGAAACUAAGUGUACGGUCAUAAAGUAAGACCAGAUAAAGAGAAGGGAGCUUUCUUAAUUUUGAAAACUCACAACAGCUAAGUGAGAUAAUUAACAGCUAAGACAAGGCAUAGCAAAAGCAGCUCACAUUAUGAACAAAUAAUUAGUAGAUAACAAAAAUCCAAAUAGAAACAAAAUAGAGAUAGCAUAAUGCACACUAGAGCUAGAAACAAUACCCGCUCAUCUAUGGAGAGCUAGAGCUGCUAACUUGUCAUAUAAAGGAUCAAGCUAACUUACUUGAAGCAAAAAGAAGAAAAUAGCUACAAUAAAAGAAAAAUGAAAUAAAGUUAUAUACAUGGAACACGAUGAUUUUCUUUACAUGAAAACUGAAACCACCUAACGACACACAGUUGAAAAGAUGAUUUUUUUUGGGUAUAAGGAAAUUGGCCAGGAAUUAAGGACCAAAGAGUGGGCUGCUGAAAAAAAUUCUUUUAUAAAGGCCCAUAAUUUGGUCCUUUAAUAUUUGUGAGCUAAAUAAAUUAUUAGUUUAGCCAAAUCCAAUUUAAUUUUUAAAUUCAGUUAAAAUCUAAAUAUGAUGAAUUAAUAUAAUCAAUUUAGGAGCUUCUCAAUCUUAAAAAAUAAAAUAACUAAUUCAACCAUAAACUAGUUGUUUUUUAAAAUUAACCUUAAUUUAAAUUAAACUAAUGUUAUAAAAUACUUACCAAAAUUAAAAACUUUUUUAGGAUUAUUUUCAAAUAUUUAUAAAAUAAACUAAUUAGAUAAAAACAUAUUUACUAUUUAAAAAUUAUAAAAGCUACUAAAAUUACUCUAAAAUAACUUGAAUUUUUUUUAGAUUUUAUAAAGCUAAUUAUUUUAAAUCGUUCGAAAUUAAUUAAGCUCAAAAAUUAAUUUAUAUGUGGAGGUCCAAAAUCGGGUGUCAACAAUAGAAACUUCAAGGAAUGUAGCGAAUGAAAACUUAGGGCUUUCAUUGACUGGUAAUUUUGAUGUUCUCUCGAAAAAAUGAAUCAUUUUUAGUGAAUAACUAAUAAAAUAUUCAUUGAUGUUUCCAUGCUGGUGGAUCGCAAGGAUGUGUUGCUUCAAGUGUAGCUAAGGUUGAAGUCCAACAAUUUCCUACUUAAGGUAUCAAGAUUUUACGAAUUGAUUUAUAUAGAUAUUUAUUCAAUUUUAAUUUGUACCAAAAUUGAAGUGAGAAAUAAUUUAUAAUUUUACCUUUAAUUAUGGAUUUGAAAUCAUCUUUAAUUGAAUAGAAAUCACUUGUAUAUUCAGAGAAAAAUAUUGCUUCAGAAAAGUUCAGAAACUUCGUGCUCAACAAUAUGGUUAAUGUCUACAUAAAAGAUUAAGGACAAAAAAGAAAUGAAAUUGAAGAACUUUUAUACUCGUGUAAGAACAUACACGAAGUGAAGAUAAUUUGUCUUUGUCAUGAUAAUUUUUUGACCCCAGCAGAAUUUGUCAAACAUGCUGGUGGAGAUGAUGUUGAAAACGCUUUAUUAUCUUAAUAAAGCAUAGCUUUUAUGUCGUUGUUGUUAUUUCAUCUUUCCUUGUUAUUGUACAAGACUAAGUUCGUCCUAUCUAAGAUGACAAAGUUUUUGCAAUCAUCUCGCUUGUUUUGUUAUGCUAUGCAUCACCAUUUUUCAGCAUCAUCUCCGCCAACAUGUUUGACAAAUUCAGCUAGGGUCAGAAAAUUUCCAUGACAAAGACAAACUACCUUCACUUUUCCUCCAUUGCAUCCACUCCUCCUCAGUCUUUAUUGGUGGCAACGAUGCCAUCCUGUUAACAGAAAAUGGAUCACUCAUUUGCCUCCAUUCUAUUUAAGUCUCCAUUGGAGGCAUGUGAGAUGUCCUCAUAACACAAAAUGGAUUAUUGAUUUGGCUACUCUAUCUCAGUCUUCACUAGCAGAAACGUAGCUGUCUUCAUAAUUGGAAAUGAAUUAUUACAUUGCCUCCACUCCAUUUCAGUAUUCAUUCUACACCUCCACUCGAUUUCAAUCUCCGUUCUUCACCUUCAAUCGAUUUCAGCCUCCAACCUUUGCCUCCACUCGAUUUUGAGUAUCCAUCGGAAAUGAAGACGUCCUAGUAAUAGAAAAUGGAUCAUUUCUUUGCCUCAAGUACUCUACUUUUGACUCUGUCAGCAACGAAGACCUCUUGUUAACACAGAAAAUGGAAAAUUUUGUUGCCUCUACUCCAUUUAAGUAUCCAUCGGCGGCAAUGAAUACAUCCUAAAAACAGAAAAUGGAUAAUUCCUUUACCUCCAGUACUCCAUUUAAGUUUCCAUCGGCAAUGAAUAUUACUUCAUAAUUGAAAAAUGAUUAUUCCGUUUCCUCCACUCAGCCUCAGUCUCCAAAGGCAACAAAGCACACUUGAUGACUGAAAAUUAAAAAUAAUUUACAUAUGUAUUACUGUUAUUAUAAGAAUGCUCACUGUUAACUAUUGACGAAGAACGGUUCGGUAUCUUCGAUUUUUUCUAAGAAGCCCCAAAGUCACUCAGCCCUAACGUUAGCUCUACACUUACGUCCUCUACAAUCCUUUUUCCUUUGUCUUGAUAAUUAGCUCUCACCAUGUGAGCAAAAACUAAAAAAAUAAGAAAUUAUUGAAUUACUCUCUCCAUGUUAGCAAAAAAAAAAAAUUAGAAUGUUAUUGAAUUACAAACUAAAUAAACUUAAUAGGAUAAAAACCUCUAUGGAAGUAUGAAAUUAACUUUUAUUGAUGAAUGCUAAGAGAAACCUUCAGUCAAUUACUAGAUUAUAAAGUGAUAAAAUUGAGGUGUGAGAGUGGGAAAAACGUGUAGCGGUAUUUCAUUUCCGUGGGUGUAAGUGAAAAUGAAGAAAUAGCUCCUUCUCACGUGGUUAAGAAGGUACUUGGGAAAAUGAUCUAAAAAACACAAUUUAGCUAGAGUCUAAAUAAGAUGUAAUUAACUGAAAAUUACACUUGUCUGUUAUAAUUAUCUACUGAGAAACAAAAUGAAACUUGACACGUGUCUGGAGAAUAACUGCAUAAAAAUUUGCGAAAAGUUUUUAGUUUCACACUACAAAUGUGAAAAUAUUAUUCAUGCAUUUCAAUGUUCAUUUUAAUGUUUUUUGGGCAAAUUUUAUUAAAUGUUGUAUCAUCUGAUUGUUUUUUGGAAAUUUUUUGUUAAAUUUCGUAUUAUCAGAUUAUUCUAACUCUCUAUAUUAACGAUUUUUUUUUAAUUUUUUCAUAGUUUAAAAUAAAUAAAUUGUUUAAAAUUUAAGAUAACUGUUGAUUUGUUUUUUUCAUAUAGACUCCUGCAAGUAGUGUCGGAUCCAACAUUUUAAUAAGUGGGCUAAAAAUCUGAAAAAAUAUUCAUAUGAAAUAGCGAAAGGGAGUUCAAUAUCUAAUAUAUGUAAAUAAAAGAUCAUUUUAAUCAUAUAUAAAUCACACAACAGGGAAUAAUAAAUAUAUCUAUUAACCACAAUGGUUUGGAGUUAACAAGUAUACAAAUGUGUAACCUAGAUAAAUACCAUAGUGUAAAACCUUAAUUACCUUCUAUCCCUAUUAUUUUUUGUAAUUACAUAAAUCUCAUAUUCUUUAGGCAUUUCAGAUACAUAAUUAAGAAUCCGGAUACAUUAUUGUUGAUACAUUAUGUAUCAGUCUGUUGCACUUAUUAAGGAAAAAUUUAUAAAAUCAAUUUUAAAUCUCAUAGUACCCAUUUGUUUCACUUAUAAAGGAAAAACGCUGAAAAUUAAAUUAAGAUUCCAUAAAUUAUGUUAUUUUAUUAAAAUUUUUGUCAUAAUUCAAAAUCCUAUAGUGUAACAAAUCAAAAAAAUAAUUUAAAAAAUUCUUCUUGUUGUCCAUCGUUCUCUUUGUUUCAUAAAAAACUUUGUCGAAAUUUUGAAAAGCGAGGUGAGUUAUGAAGGAUUGUAUGGAGUUGUUGUUGGACAAACAAUUUUUUUUAUGUGAAUCUUCAAGUUCAUCGAAUGUCUUUUCGAUUUUUAUUCAAGUCUGUCGAAAAUUUUGAGAUUCAAAAUUCUUCUCAAUAUCAUUGAAGAUCUUUUCCAUUUUAAUUAAAAAUUGUUAAAAAUUUUGAAUUUCAUAAUUAUUCUCCUAGUUCAUUGAAGAUUCUUUCAAUUUUGAUUACAAUUUAUCAAAAUUUUUGAGAAGAUACAGCAUGAAGAUCCUUUCAAUUUAAAUUGAUAAGUGUUGUAUUUCUACUAGGUACACUAAAUGAGAAAGUGUUGCCCAUAAGAUUUUAGGUUUGAGAUCAAUACAUAAUUAUUUGGUAAUUGUUAUGUAUGUGAUACAUUUAUUAUAAAUUCAAAUUUACGUAUCAUAACAAAAAACAAUUAGUGCAUAAUACAUUAUUAUUUAUAUAUCUUAUUUUGUUUGAGAUCAUGAAGAUCCUUUUGAUUCAAAUUGAUAAAUUAAUGUUGUAUUUCUACAAGAUACAUUAAAUAAGUAAGUGUUGCCAAUAAGAUUUUAAGUUUGAGAUUUAUACAUUAUUGAAUUUUUUUUUUAUUUUUUUCAUAGUUUAAAAUAAAUGAAUUGUUUAAAAUUUAAGAUUAUUUGAUGAUUUUUUUUCUUCAUAUAGACUCGAGAAAGUAGUGACGGAGAUAGAACUUUUAAUAAAAACAUUCAAAUCUAAAAAAACAUACAAAGGAAAUAGCGAAAGGGGGUUCAACAUCUACUAUAUGUACCUAAAAAUUUCUUUAAUCAUAUUCAAAUCACAGUGUAGAGAGUAAUAAAUAUAUCUAUUAACCACUGUGGUUCGGAGUUAAACAAUAUACGGUUAUUUGUGGGUGUAAGUUUUAAUGACGAAAUAGUUCCUUGUCAGGUGAUUUAUGAAGGGACUUGGGAAAUUGAUCCAAAAAUACAAUUUAGCUAGAGUCUAAAUAAGAAGUAACUAACUGAAAAUGACACCAGUCCGUUGUAAUUAUCUACUGAGAAACGGAAUAGAACUUGACACGUGUUUGAAAAAAAACUCUACAUGAAAUUUUGCGAAAAGUUUUCACUUUCACGCUACAAUUGUAAAAAAAUAUUAUUUAUGCAUUUCGAUGUUGAUUUCAAUGUUCUUUUGGGAAAAUUUUAUUAAAUCUUGUGUCAUCUGAUUGUUUUUUGGGCAAAUUUUAUAAAACGUCAUAUUACUAAAUUAUUUUAACUCCUUAUAUUAAUGACUUUUAUAUAUAUAUAGUUUAAGAUAAAUGAACUAUUUAAAAUUUAAUAUAAUUGUAGAUUUUUUUCUUCAUAUAGACUCCACGAAGUAGUGCGGACCCAGCAUUUUUAAUAAAGGGGUUUAAAAUCUAAAGUAUAUACACAAGAAGUAGCGAAAGGGGGUUUACAUCUACUAUAUGUACCUAAAAAGUUACUUUAAUCAUAGUUAAAUCACACUGCAGAGAGUAAUUAAUAUAUCUAUUAACCUUUGUGGUUGGGAAUUAAAAAGUAUGCAGUUAUUUGAGUUAUAUUUUUCAAUUUUUUUUACAAAAAUAUCAGUGUUUUGAUUGAUUCUUGUAUAUUAAAGUGAUGAUUUUAUUCCUAUGAGUUUCUGUCAUUUUAAAGUUUUCAUUUUUUCUGAAAAUUACUAAUUUUUCAUAAAAGAAUUAGUUCUAUUUGUAUUAGGUUUAAUCAAAGUGUCUUUUCUCAUUUGUUGGUUACAGUUUUUAAGUUAUUCUUUCUUCUAUUUUGGAGAUCAAUAAUGUUAUGAUAUUAUGUCAAUGCGCAUAAUAAUAUUAUCGACGCGUAUAGUAAUAACUUAAAAUAUAUGUAUAGGUAGAUAUUGAACAUUUGAUCAUUCUGCUUAUUUAUUUUGAAAAUAUUAUGAGAUAGAAUACGAUGAAAUAAGGUCAUUAUAAACUUUGCUAAUGAUCAGUUCAAUGUUAUAAACUUAUUGAGGAUAUUAAUUUAAGUGUUGGUGUUCAUAAUAUAAUCCAGGUGUGAUAGUGGGAAAAACGUGAAGAUAUUUUUUAUUUUCGUGGAUGUAAAUAUUAAUGACAAAAUUUCUCCUAGUCUCGUGAUUGAGUAAUGGACUUAGGAAAUUGAUCCAAAAAUACAAUUUAUCUAGAGUCUAAAAAAGAAGUAACUGACUAAAAAUGACUCAUGUCCGUUGUAAUUAUCUACUUAGAAACAGAACGGAAUUUGACACGUGUCUGAAAAAUCAAUACAUGAAAAUUUGUGAAAAAAAUUCACUUUCACACUACUGGUGUGAAAAAUAUUAUUUAUGCAUUUCGAUAUUGAUAUCAAAGUUUUUUUUGUCAAAAUAUAUUAAAUGUUAUAUCAUGUGAUUGUUUUUGGGUCAAUUUUAUUAAAUGUCAUAUUAUUAGAUUACAAUAUCUGAUGUAUUAUCAGAAACUAUAUUCUUUUAUAUUCUUUUUGUUUUGUUUUCUAAAUGAUUAAUAUUCUUUAUUAAUUUUAUAUUAUAUACUAAUUAAUUCCUAAAUUAAUUAUUAAAUUAUUUAAUAAUUAUAUUUUUCAUCAAUAAAUAUCACUCACUUUAUUUAUUCAGUUUUUCAACUCAUACCACAAUUUUCUUUGUCUUCUGCGCCAAAGAACACCCAACUCAUCACAACCAUAACCCUACCUCCACAACGGUGUUCCCUCUUCUUUUCUGGCAAACUAGUAGCCACCUAAAACAUCAAAUCAAUUAUCAACAAACACCGAAUGCGACCCCUUUUCCUUAUCUCUUUUUUAUAUUAUUUUUUAUUUAUUUUGCAGGUGUUCUAGCGAGCUCGAAGCUUCUUUCACGAUUCUGAUAACCUUCCAAUGAGUUCAGCACUUUCAGAUCUGAACAACUAACAAACAACCACAAUGAUCAACACCACUAGAUCGACUAUCGUCGUUGUGAUGCUUUUAGGUUGUGGAGGGUAAGGAGGAUUUUCAUUUUUAUUGAUUUUUUACACUUUAAUUUUCCUGAGUCACGUGUUGCUUUUUUUUUGGUUAUCUUUUGUCAUUUCAAUUUUAGGAGUGAAUAAAUUUACUUUAGAGUAAUUUAGAAUGUAUAAUAGAUAGACAUGAUAAUUCAAGUGAGCAUUAGAAUUUUGUAGAUAAAUUCAAAGAGAAUCUAUGCUUUAUCUCAAUUCAAGUGAGUAUUAGAAUUUUCUAGAGUAAAUUCAAAGAGAAUCUAUGCCUUAUCUCAAUUCAAUUAUAAUAAUGCAUGAGGAGGAAAAACCUCGUGACUUGAGUUGUAUGAGUGCAAAUUUGCAUGUGUGGUCUUAGGAGGGACUAUGAAGAGUCCCAUUAAAGUACCCCUAUUUAGAAAUCGAGCUAGGUUUAGAUAAAAAUAAAAGUGGAAAUUUUUGUUAGUUAGAAAAAUAUUCACUUGAAAAACUUAUUAAAAUUUCUCUUUCAAACUUUAGAUUUAUUUUGUGAUUUGUUAUUUUUUUUAAAAGGUCCAAUAUAAUAAAACAUUAUUAGAACAAUUAUAGAAAUUCCAUUCGCUCAUGAGUUAUUUAUUUAGAUACAUUCUGAUUUGCGAUUCUACAGAUUUUAUUAGAUUUUGAUGCGUUCAGAUAUAUUCAUAUGCAUGUAUCUCGUGAUAUAAAAUUUGGUGUAUUUUAUACUAGAUACAUUGUAUCCACUAAUCCUAAAUCAUCUCCAGUAAUAGCAACCAUUCAAAUUUUUGAAAACUUUGACAUUUUUGCCUCUGAAGCUCAGUUGUGGUUAAUGAAACUGAUAUGUAGAUCUUAAUUGCAUGCUCUGGAGUCUUCUAAUUUUGUGGUGCUGACUGAAAAAUCAGAAAAAACUUGUGAUUGUUCUUAUUUAUUUAAAUUACAGAAAUUCUGACCGAUUAUUAAUUUGUUGUCUAAAGAUUUUUUUUUUUAUGUAAAAACUGUUGAAAAAAAUUAUUUUAGAUCUCAAAAAAAAUAUUGAUACUUGUGUCUAGGUUCAUUUAAUUAUAACUUUUGAUAAAUAUUUAAUACGUUAAUUAUUUUAACAUAUUACUGAUGAUACGUAAAUGUCCUAAAUAGUCUUUUUUGACCUUUUUCCUAACCCCUGUCUAUUCGUUACACAAAUACAUUAAUUAUGAGUCAUUUCUUUACUACAAUUCUAAAUUAAAUUGCAAAUGUCACUUUAUUUCCAUUGAUUUAUUACAUUGAAGGUAGCUUUUUUCCUAUCCAAUAUUUUACACCCUAUACAUGUUUUUUUUUUUGCUUGUAUUUGGCAGUAGAAGAUUGUAGACACACUUCAAGCUAUGAGAAUAUCCUAAAAUGUUCAUGAUAAAAUAUUUUUCAGUAAGAUUUUCAACAGUUUUAAGAAUAUUUCAUAUACUUUAUUUCUUCUGAAAAAUACUACUAAACUGGUAAAAUUGAUAGGAUUAAUUUCAACACUGGCCAACGAACAAAGAAAUAAUCAAGAGACAAUGGACAAUCUGAUAUGUACAAGGGAGACAAAUGACAACUUCAAGCAUACUCCAUGUAAGUUUUCAACUGGGAGAAUAAUUGGACUUUUUUGUAUUCAUGAAAAAGGUAUGUGACAAUAAUAUAUUUAAAGUUUAAUAUUGUUUAUGGAAAAUUGAGCCAAUAGAUUUCUCAAAUUUGGAGAAAUAAAUAUUCUGCUAAGGAAAAACUUGACUAAGAAAAUGAUAUAUUUGUGUGGUUAUUUUUAAAGUGAAUUAUGUGGGAUUGUGACUAAUAUGUAAAAGAUCGGAUGUUAGAUUUGGAUGGUACCAAGUGUACUUGUACAUUACACUCAAGUUGAAGAAAAGUGAUUUAUAUAUAUUAGGGAUUCUAGAACUACUAACGUUCUUAGAAUGGCAAAAUUCAUCUUAUUAAACUCACAUAUGGAAAAUAUUGAUAUUUUCUAAGGUGGUGUAUACGAUUUAAUAUUUGAUUCAAUGAUCCUUGUGGAAAUAUGAUUAAAAGUUGAAACCUCUUAUUUGAGUAAGAUAAAAUUUAAUAAAAUUGUUAAAAUAAUUUAUCAACAAAUGAAAAUUCUAAGUCAAAAAAUAACUUAGAAACCCUUUAAAAAUCCAACCCCCAAAUUCUAAUCAACACAUAAAUACUGCAAUCUUACGAGAAGAACAAAAAUACACAUAAUUAAAGAGGGAUAACAUAUAUAUUAACAAUAUUUUGUUAGAUAUAGCAAGAAAUAAAAAUUAUAACUCAGAAUACCUUAAAGCUAACCGUUGAUAGCAAAUCUUAACACAUAAAAAAAAACAACUUACAUUUAGCAAGAAAUGAAUUUUUUUAGUCGAGCAAUAACAUAGAAAUACUUUUCAAGGUUGAACCUUAAACCCUAAUAAACACAUUAAUAUUUUAAAAUCUUACAAGAGAAAAAAAUUACAAAUAAUCGAGUAGACAUAAUUAAAAAAUGACAUGUUUUACAAUAUUUAGAGUAGCUGAGAUAGAUGAUAUUAAUCUGAUGACAGAAUGCUUUGUUAAAUGCUUAUUGUUUGAUAGAAUGCUUUAGAGAUCAUUAACUUGUAACAAUUUAAUUGAGUGGCUAAGCAAUCAUAUUUGGGUUGCUUUUGAUGCAUAAAUUUAUUUUGAAAUUGAACAUGCUAAGAAGUUACAUCUUUGUGUGUCUUGAAACAUAUAAAUAAUACUAGAUGUGAAAAUUAUUAUUGUGUCACAUUUGUGAAUAUCUUCCUACAUAUACAAAUGGUUUUUGUUGAAAAACAAAGCGAUGAAGUUUUUGACAUUUUAAUUUAUAAAUUUGUAUGUUACAUACAAAAUUUGAAAACUUAAUGAAAAGUUAUCUCUCUAUUAUGAAAUACUUUGAAAGUGUAGAGGUGUUUUGUUAAGGUUGUAUUACAUAAUAGUAAGAAAGAAAAAAACAGAAUCUAAGUUUUUUAAUUGUAUGUUAAUAAAUGUUGUGAUAGUCAAUUGUGAUGUGAAUGUAAAGUUAGAGAGGGAAAACAUAUUAAUGAUUUUGUAAAUUUUAUUAUAUUUCUCAUGUUCUUGUUGAGAUAUUGCGUCUUGAUGCAUUAUUUUGGAAAGAAAUAAUUGUUGAUACAUGAGAGGUGCCACAAGUAUAGUAUCAAAUAAAGUUAAUAUUUUGUUGUACUAGAACUCUAGAAGGGUACAAUGAUGCAAUGUGAAUUUCAAAAUUCGAUAGUAAUGAUGAUUUAUUAUUGAUGACAGUUCCAUAACAUAAAAGGCAACUAUUAGUGUUUAGUUUUCAUACAAUAGUUGAUUAGUGAUCAAUAAGACAACUGUUAGUGUGUAUUUCAAAAUGGAACAAAACUAACAUUUUUUAUCAUAAAAUUAGAUAUAUGUGUUUAAGACGUAAUAAAAUAAAAGAACUGUUGUGAGUUUCAAUAAUAAUGAAAAGUGCAUGCUCUUAGCGCAAAACCACAAUUACCAUAAAGAUUGAGUGGGAAUAAUGUGAUAGUAAGAUACUUAACUCACAAAAGAAUUACUGGUUCAUAGAAAAUGUAAACUUCACUAAUUGUUUUGUAAGUUUAAUCUUAUUAACCUAUCAAAAUAAAAGAAGAUAAUAGAAAUUAUGUUCCUAUAGGCUAUAGCAUAUGUAGGUAAUAGGUGUACUUGUUGUAAAUGGGCACUUAGUUGAGUGUUGUAGAGGAGUAGUUCUUACUAACACCAAAAAAUACUUCCUAUCUUAACUUGAAAGUGAGGUUGAAAUCUUGAUGCAACAACUUUUAGGUUGUGCUUUCAUAGAACAUAUUUGUGGUUGGUGGUAUUGGAAAGUUGGUUUUGAGAACUAUGCCCUCAAUGCCUUUGGUAUAAAAUGCAAAGGUAGUACAACAUGGACAUGUGGUACAAGCACGUCACAAGCUCAAACUCUAUUGUAAAAAGGGUUUAGUAUUUAAGUAAAGAAGGAUGGAAUGUGACUCGUUAUCCAUUGAGAUUUCGAGACAAAACAACAUAUUUAUCAGUAAUAAUUAACAAGUUUCAAAGUUUUGACUAUACUAUCUCACAAUCUAAAAGGACAAAUAACCUAAAACAACACAUCUUAUUUUAGCAAAAUUUUUAAAAUCAUCUAUCACUUAAAAAAUCAAAAUUUCUUCUCGAAUACAUCACUCUCCGUUUUUUUUAUACAUCAGAUCCCUCUAUAGUACAUCACUCAACUAAUCUAUAUCCGGAUAUCUGCUAAUGUUAUAUGUAUGUCAUAUCCACUCUCUGAUACAUCCCUCCUCUCACAGAUAUAUCUCUCACCUAUGUAUCCAAAAGUCCAUUGAUGUAUCAGAAAGUCUAGUAAUGUAUUCGAAAUCCAUAAAUUAUAAGAGAUUUUUUUAAUUUAAAAAAGAAUAUGAAAAUAAUUUAAUUAGCUCAUAGGUAAAUUAUGCAUAUUUAAGACCUUAUUGCUUUUCUUGAUGUUUGAGAGGAAUAUCAAUACUUUGAUAUGUUUAUUGGACUAGAAGGACUACAAGGUCGAAAUAAAGACUGCAUACGCAUAGGAUUCCUUUAAGGAUGGGGUGAUUGUUUUGGUGAAGGCAAAUUAAAAAAGGAAAUUCGGCUAGACAUUUUUCCUUGCUCCAAAACACAACGGUUAUUUUGUUUUAAGUGAUGUUUUUAGGUAUGCAGAAGAAAAUGAGAUUGAUACAGUCUCACAAACGAUUAAUUAAACUGAGGGUGUGUAGUUAGAGGUUCCGACCCUGAUCCAUGUUGGAUCUCUUUUCCAAAUCAAUAAGUGAAGUUGUUCUUCGUUUCUCUUAAAAUCUUUUACUAUCUUCAUAUUGAAUCCAAAACCUACUCAUGUCGUUGAUCCUUAAAAUCUCAAUCAAGUUGGGUCACAUGUAGAAGAAGUUCAAUAUGUUGAGUAAAAUGCCAACGACUCUUUGGAAGAUGGGAGACAUGUUGGUGAUGAAAGAUAGAUUGUUGUAGAAACUGAAUCUCGUUUCAACGAGGAUCAGAACCCAGCAAAUACAGAAUCCGCCAAUUCUGUUGCCCAAGAGGAUUCUCCAAAGAAGUCAUAUGCAUCAAUAGUCACUUCAGAAAGAGGAAAGGGCCAUCCAAAUUCUAGGUACCCGCAAAUACUUCCAGAAUAUCUCCUCCAAAGGCUGUAAACAGCUGGUUGCUGCAGUAGCACAAACUGCAGCUCUUGAAGCAUCAAAUACUACAACCCCUGGCGGAAUAAAUGAACCUGAAACUAAUGAUACAGAACAUGAAUGUAUAAUUUCUUUGAAACUAGCCUGAAAUACACUUAUUACUUCCAUUAUGUGAUGGACACAUCGAUAUGUGACAAAAAAAUGAAAUAGGCAUGUUCUAUUUAAUUUUUGAGCAAAUGAAGUAGCAUAAUAAGUAUAUGUGGUUUGAUCUAGAUGUUGGGUUAUUUGAUUUACUAGCAUUGUUAUGCUUAUUCUGCUUUAGACUUUCUUAUUGUUUACGGUCCCAGUAAGAGUACAUAAUCAUCUGAUGUACUUCGAUUUUAAUUAAAAUUUAAAAUUUAAGUAAAUUAGAUGAUUUUGUGCUCUUGCAGGGACUUUCAGCAAUGAGAAAGUCAGAAGCAGAAUGAACAUGACAAUUGCAAGCAAACAAAUAAUACAACAUCUAGAUCAAACUGAAAACACAUCUACUCAUUGUGCUCCUUUAUUUGCUAAAAAAAUUAAAUACAAACAUUCCUAUGCCAUUUUUUCUGAUAUAUAGAUGUGUCCAUCACAAAAUGGAAGUAAUGAGUUUAUUUCAGACAUGCUUCAAGAUAUUAUACCUUCAUAUGCAACAAAAUUAGCUUUAGGUACAUCGAUUCCACUAGGGAUAGUAGGAUUUGAUGCUUCAGGAGCUGCAGUUUGUGCUACUGCAGCAACCGUCUGCUUUAAAGCCUUCGGAGGAGCCAUUCUUGAAGUAUUGGUGGGCGCAUAGAUUUUGGUUGGCCCUUUCUUUGUUUGUGAACUUAAAGUUGAUGCAUAUGACUUCUUUGGAGCAUCCUCCUGGGCAACAGAAUUAGCUGAUUAGUUGUUCUCUUUAUAUGUCUGAAUUUGGUAUACUACUUUAAGUUUAUCUUUCGAAUUAGAAUUUCUAUUUCUUGUUAAAUCUGAAAAUUGUGUUGACGAGAUCAGAGGAUGGCAAGCUUGUGCAAGUACAAACCUUAUGGAAACUGAGAUAGAAGAAAAAAUAUAAUUAUAAUUUAAUUGAUUUAAAUAGUUGAUCUAAAUAGAGUUUGCUAUAGUUUUAUAAUUUUGAACUCAGACAAAUCGAUUGAUGAGUGCUCUAUGUUUCAUAAAUAACUUAUUUUCUAAGUGUUUUUUAAUGUAGUAAAAGAUUAUUUGAAGAAAAAAAAAUAUGAACUUAUUAUUGUAACUUAAUGGCCUAAACUAUUUUUUAGAUAUCCCUUACUUUUUGUAUAUAUUGUUCGGAAAUUCUUCUAUAAAAAAUUCAACGCAAGUAUUUCAAUAUGUAACUUAUAAUGGGGCUAUGUAUAAUAAGUUUGUUUAAAAUUAAUUUGCACAAGUUCGGGCCAGUAAACUAAGUAAUGCAUUAAAUUUUCAACUCAUUUAAAACAUUACGUGUUCAUCGACGUGUGAGAGAGGAGAUGAGUAACCGGCUAUUGAAUAUCAACAAUGUAUGUCAUUUGUCUAAAAAUUAUAAAAAUGUCACUGUCUAGUUAUCCCUUUAUAAGUGUUUUUGUUCCCGAUCUCUUGUAAGAUUUUUAUCAUUUAUGUGUUAAUUAUAUUUGGGAGUUUUAACUUUUAUAGGGGGUUUAAACUUAUUUUUGCGAAAGAAACGAUAGUUCGCAUUAAUAAGGAUGAUGUUAAUGUCACCACUAUUUUAGAGAAGUCAACAAAGUAGCAUACUAUUUGACAAAGUGGGCCACAAUGAUUAACAUAUUGACCAUCUACAAUAAUUUUAAUGAUUUAUUAUAUGGUAUAUUGUAAAUAUUACAUAAAUCUUACAGUGUUAAGAGUUAAUUACAUCACAUAUCUAUUGAUUCUUAAAUUACAAAAAUUUCUUAAAAUUAUAGGAUAUCAAAUACAUCAGGAAACCUGGGGAUACAUAGUUCACUGAUUGUGAAUAUACAUAACUUAAUGGAAGUGAUGUAUCCGAAAGGGGAGGGAUAUAUCCGAGAGGGGAUAAAGAUAUUGAGAUGAGAUGAUUGUAUUUUUCUUAAAUGGUAGAAAAUUUUAGAGAUUAUAGUAAAAUAAAAUGUGUAUUUAGAUAAAAUUUUCCACAUAUUAAUGACUCAUUCUUCCUGGACAAAGCUUAGAUGCCAAGUUUUAGGAUAUAUAUUAUUGAUUUACCGAACUAAAAAUGAAAACUUAGUAUUUGACAAAAUUUAAUUUAACCUCGAAAAGAUGAAUUCUCAGUAUCUUUUUAAAAAUAAAUUUAACACAUUAUUUUUUAAAUUUAGCAAGCCAACCUAAUUUAAAAAUCCUUAAACUCGUUAAUUCCUACACCAUUAACACAAAAUCAUUGUGGCCAGUUUAUGAGAAUUUGUUAAAAGAUAUAUAUUUAUUAUUUUUGUCUUUAUUGAGUGAAUUUUUGAGAAUUUUUUAGAAUUUUAAAAUAAAUGAGUUCUUUGAAACUUAAGAGAAUUUUUGGGACAAUUCAUAUAUAUCCUUCAUUUAAUGAGGUUCUUAAAUAUUUAACAUUUUAUAGGAGAAUAGUUUUAAAAUGAUAUAAGGGAAAAGAGUCUGAUAUACCCCUCAACUUUGUCAUUUGGAGCUGAUAUACCCCUCGUUAUAAAAAUGACUCAUAUAUACCCUUACCGUUAUACAAACGGCUCACAUAUACCCCUGUCAUUACAAAAUGACUCGCAUAUACCUUUCAUUUAACGGAAGUUAAAAAAUUAGUUUUAAAUUUAUAUUUAUUACAUCUAAUUUUUUUUCAAAAAUUAUUUAGGGGUAUAUAUGAUUCUUCUAUCAAAGUUCAAGGUAUAUUUUAAUUUUUUUUCAGACAUAAAUUAUUUUUUGACUUCUUUUAUUAUAACUAUUUGAAUUUCUUAUUCUUAUUUUGUUUUUUUCUUUCAUUCCUUAGUUUAAAGAAUAAAAAAUUAAACUAUUUUUUUGUGUGUAUUGUAAUUUUAUUUCGUAUUCGAAGAAAAAAUUUGAUCAUCUACAAUAAGUUUUACAAGAAUAUUAGUGAAACAUAAAUAAAUUUGAUUAUCAAAAUAAUAAUUAUAAAUUAGUCAUUGAAACAAAAAAAAAACUAAAAAAAAUUGUUUGACGAGGAUUAAAUUUACUCAUAUGGAAUUAUAUUUUUUAGGAAAAAUAAUAAAAAUUUAGAUUAAAUUUUUUUUAUUUCCGUUAGAGGAAAAGGGUAUAUGUGAGCCAUUUGUUUACAAGUAGGGGUAUAUAUGAGCCACUUUCAUAACAAGGGGUAUAUCAGCUCUAAAUGACAAAGUUGAGGGGUAUAUCAAACCCUUUUCUUAUGAUAUAAAAGAACAAUAGUGGAAAAUAACAUUUCAAUUAGUUAUGUACUAAAAUAUAUUUCUUAAAAAAUAUGUCAUAUACCAAUAAUUUACUUAACAUGGAUAGAGGGAGUACCAAGUUGAAAAAACUUCAUAAUUACUUAUUUUUACCUUAUUAACUAAUUAUUAUACCUGUAGUUUGAGAUAAUUACAUACAAGGCACCAUUAUCACAGAACAACCCAGUAACCAAUGGACUGGUCUCACAUAAAAAAUGGUUGCCUUUAUGUCCUCAAAUAAUCACAUGUUCCACCAAAACAAUUCUACAGAAGUUGAGCUUGAUAGAAGUAAUAGUGUCGUCAAAUGUACUCAGUUUGAUGUGAUGCAAGAUGAUAAUUUUGAACAAUACGAACGCUACACGGUACGGCUGAAUUAUAUGCUGAAUCUGGGAAUACUUAAGACUUGAAAACUGAUUGAGCAAACGGGGAAGUUGAAAGAACAUUGCCAUGAUGAUCAUACUGGUCAACAAGCUCUUGUGACACAUGAAAAAGAUUCCAUUGUAACUGAGGAUAUAGGUAGAAAAGAAAUCAAUCCAAAUACACCUGCCAUAUUUAUUUCGAAUCAAGAGAUAGCUACAACCGAUUUGAGUGAAGCUAAGGAAAAACAAGGGCAAACGAGUGCUUCGAGAUGGGAAGAUAUAGUUGAGGUAGAGAAUCAUACUACUUCAUCUAGUUGGAGUAAGUAGAUCCCUCAAGCACUCAAAUUUGUGCCUACAAGUAAGACAAAUGCAUCUAUGGCAGUCUUAGAUACUUUAUCUAAUUUGAGUGCUACAAAAGUAAUCUUAGAUAAUAAGGAUUUACUUCCUAACUUGGGCUGUGACAUAUAUGAUUGGAUGAUGAAGAUGAUAUGUUGGAUAUAUUCUUUGAUAAGGUGGCUAAGGAUGGGGAUCUUUCACCUAGACAACAAAGAAGUGGAAGCAGCAAAUGCAAAAAACAAGACAUAUGGAAGACAACAUAGUUGGGAUGGUAAGAUGAGUGGGGAGUUUGUUCCAAGGCGCCUACCGUGUGACUGGCAAAGCAAAAUCAUAUGACAGUGACAACAACUUUAUCAAGAUCCAACAAAUCCUCCAACAAGAAGUGAUGAACUAUCAAUAAUUUUUUCAAAAGUUUGAAUAAGAAAAUACUUUAGAUUACUUCUAAGGGGAAAAUAACUUUUUUUAGUUUCAUACAUAUAUCAACUGAAGUUUGAGUUGGAUAACUCAUCUUUAUGCCUAGCUUUUAUAUUCUUGCAUUACUUAAGAAUCCUCAUUUGUAAUAUCAUCAUAGUGAGAAUUAUAAACUUGGUGAUGAUCAUAGAAUAUCUAGUUUUCUCUAAUUCUUAUUUUUUCUCCAUGCUUGUUAAUUAGUACAAACUUGUUAUCUCAUUAGCAAUAGUAAGGUAAGGCCUAGACCCACUUGCUUGGACUUAUCCCUAUUGAUAUUUUUUUUUAUUUUCAAUAAAAGGCCGCUAGACGCUCUCACUAGUGGUAAAUUUGUUUUAACAAAAAAAAAAGGCAAUUUUAACAUGCAAACCCAAAAAUCCCAUCAUGAAUCACUUUCUGAUAAUUUUGUAUUUUGAGUAUCCUAAAUUUGUUUAUGAUAAAACCUGCCUUUAAUGUCAAGAGGUAUUUAAAAACAGAAUAAUUCAUAUUCAGGGUCUAAGCAAAAUUGAUUAUCCAAAUCGAUAAUUUGGUUAUUGAGUCAAUGGUUCGGCUUAAUGGGUUAACAGUUCGAGUUUUAGUUAACUAUUAACUUCUUAUCGGCUUAUCAAUUCGGGUCUCGGUUUGAUCAUAUUUCUUAUUGGGUGCCUAAUAACCCGAUACGAAAUUCAAUUAACUGCAUUUAUAUCACUUAAGGUCUUAGGCACUCUUAGCCUUUAGGGUUUACACUUCAGACUUCAGACUCUUUAUAGUGACUUCAUAGUUGACACUCAAAUUUCACAAUCAUAUUCCAUAUAAAGUUAAUUACGUAAUAUUAUAUUUAAACUAACAACACAAUAUAAUACAACAGGCUACAACCAUUCAACCAGUGUGUUACUGUUGGUUGACUACCAUUAGUUUGAGGGGAUGCUAAUCACCAUCAAUUACAAUCUCUACCUACCAUAAUUCUCUUAAGAUAACUGAAAAUAUGGUACAAUGCUACACGAAAUCAAAUAUGGGAAAGGAAUCACCAAAAAUGUGGCAUGGUGCUAUAAAAAUCGAUUAUGAGAGAUAUCACUAGAAAGAUAUGUAGUUACCCAACUUUUGCUUAUAUAAUUGUUGGACAGACGUCUAACAUCUCGUAACUAGAAUUAACUAAGAAUAAUCUAAGAAGCCAAGAAUAAUUAUUUUUGAAAAUAAGUAAGGAAAUCUGUAAUUUUUCCAACGAGUUUUGGUCAUUUUCAAACAGCCAUAACUUCCAUCUCAAAAGAUCUUUCAAACGCUGCCGAUUUUGCACAACUUCGAUGUCGUAUGAGGGAGAAAUGUCUUUCAGAAGUUCGGUUAUUGGACUAAGGAAAGUCCAAUCCGAAUUUUAGUAAAGGGAAAGUUGUCUUUUCACCCUAGUAUUUCCUAAUUUUUUAAAGGUUAUAUUAGGAGUGAAAACAAGUCCCAAAUAAGUUUUUCAAUAUUUAAGAACGCUUAGGGUUUGGGAGAAAAUGAGAAAAGAAUAUGAAGACCAAGAAUCGUCCAUGAACGCCAAGAUCGUUGCGUGGAUUUCGUCGGGGGUGAUCUCUAUAAAGGUAUAUGAGAUCAUUCGGUGUUGGUUCCUUUCACCCACCCUACAACUUGCUUCAAUACAGCAAUUUAGAGUUAUUUGAAUGGAAAUCUGGAAGUUCUUGAUGAAAAGUUGUGAAGUUCUUGUUGAUUGAAUUGUAGAAUCUCUAGUAGUUUUAAUUCAUGUUUCCGUACUGUUUUCGGGUCUAAACUAUUGGGUAAUGAGGUAAUUAGGGAUCCUAAGUUUUUGGGGAGAGAUUCAUGGGAGUUUGGGAGGUUUACAUAUGAAAAAUGAAGAAUAAAAGUCGGAGGUUCCGUUAGACACCCCUUGGGGCGUCGCGCCUGUCAGAGAGCCUUAAGGAAGGCUCUGACUGACAGGCCCUGGCGCGGCGCGCCAGCCAUAGUUUAAUGAACUAAGAAAUACACUAUUUUAUAAAUUUUAUGUAAAUAUACAUUGCAUAUGUCAAAACUGCUUUAUAUUGAGUUGUUAUCUUAUUAGUUAAGUAGAGCCAAGGUAAAUUCAGGCUUACUCCAUUUCAAGCUUUAUAGUUUUUUUUAGCAUUACAACUGUAACGACCUGUUAGUUUUUUUGAGCAGUAGAAUUUAUUUCUGGUAAUAACUGUCUGGGUCGAUGGAUCCCACGACGGACCGUCAUGGGCACGACAGACCGUCGAGGGGGUCUCGUUCCAAAACACUUAGACUCUGGAAAAUUGGGUACUGAGAACAACUCUCUGAACUUCGCGACGGAAGAGCAGGACGGACCGUCGUUGACACGACGGACCGUCACAGACUCUUUAAUGAAUUUGAGUCUCUGAACUGUGUGACGACUCAACAGGACGGACCGUCGCAGGCAUGACGGACGUCACAGGCUGCGUAACCCUGACUGGGUUGGAUUUCUGUUAAAAGUUUUUAAGGGGUGUUUGGACUAUUCCUGCUUAUGAUUAUAAAGUUAGUGGUUAAUGUUAAUAAUUCAAUUACUUGGGGGUUAAAGGAGAUAACCUUGAAAUAAAUAGUGGGUUACUUUUACCAUCUUUUAUACUUAAUUAUAUGGUAAUUAGGGUAAAAGAAAAAGAGUUUGAAUAAGGAAAAAUAGAAAGAACAGAGAGAAGAGGGGAGAACGAACGAGAGAGAGAGAGAAACGAAGAGGAAAGCGAAGCAUUGGAGAAGUAGAUUGCUUGAUCACGAUUCUUCGAUGGAGGUAGGUUAUGGUUUAUGCUAUUUCAUAGUAAACUCUUAAUAGCGAAUGAUAUGUAUUGGGUAGUAUUGUAAAGUCUUCUAUAUGCUUAAUUGUAUGCUUGCAUGCUGUGAUUAUGUAAUUGUAAUGGGUUGGAAAGAUGAGGUUGUGAAGCUUAGACCUAAAACCCUCUUUGUUAAUGAUGAUGCCUUGGUAUAAAAGAAGGCUUGAUGAACUAAAAGAAUGAGGUUAGUGGAUCGGGUGUCACGUUUCGACACCAGGAUAGUAGUAGUGGAUCGCGUGUCACGUUCCGACACCAGGAUAGUAGUAGUGGAUCGGGUGUCACGUUCCGACACCAGGAUAGUAGUAGUGGAUAGGGUGUCACGUUCCGACACCAGGAUAGUAGUAGUGGAUCGGGUGUCAUGUUCCGACACCAGGAUAGUAGUAGUGGAUGGGUGUCACUUUCCGACACAGGAUAGUAGUAGUGGAUCGGGUGUCACGUUCCGACACUAGGAUAGUAGUAGUGGAUCGGGUGUCACGUUUCGACACCAGGCUAGUAGAGGAUCGGAUGUCACGUUCCGACACAAGAAUAGUAGAGGAUCAGAGUGUCACGUUCCGACACCAGGAUAGUAGAGGAUCGGAGUGUCACGUUCCGACACCAGGAUAGUAAAAAGAAUGAAUCUUGAAUUAUGUUAAUAUACUCAAAUUUAAAGAAACUAUUUCCCAAACGAGUAUGGUGUGGAGGCGUGAGUCCUCACAGAUGUGUGGGUUGUGGCCAAUGGUUAUGGUACUUGUUGUUGUUAUCUGUUGAGUAUGGUAGUCGAUUUUAUGUUAUUAUCUGAGAUAUAUUGCUUUCUAUUUUGAGUUGGCCGAUGAUACCUACUUAGUACUUGUGCCUUGUACUGACCCCUACUUGUAUGUUUCUUUCUAUGUUAUUUGUGGAGUGCAACAAACGUGCCAUCGACUUCGACUCGUCCGCAACUCUAGCUAGUCUUCAGCAUAUCAGAUUUUAGGGUGAGCUAUUAUUCCUAGCUCGGACUGGAUUCUUUCCUUCGCGUCUUGAUGUCUUGAAGUUCGGACAUGGACCAUCUCUUUUACUUAUUUUAGCUUCUUAGAUACUCUUAGAUUUAGUAAUUUGAGGAUAGAUGUUCUUGUGAUGAUGAGUUCCAGAUUUUGGGAAUAGUAAUUGAUACAUUUUAGAAGUUAUUAUUGGUUAUAUUAAUGAGUUUUAAGUCUUCCGCAUUAUAUUUUGUUUAGAUUGGUUGGUUCGCUCACAUAGGAGGGUAAGUGUGGGUGCCACUCGCAGCUCGUUUUGGGUCGUGACAAACUUGGUAUCAGAGCAUUAGGUUCGUUGGUCUCAUCACACAAGAACGAGUCUAGUAGAGUCUUAAGGAACUGUAGGGGGACGCCUUUACUUUUCUUUGAGAGGCUAUAAGACUUUAGGAAAAAUUUCAUUCCUUCUUUCUUUCGUGCUAUUAUUGGAUCCAAUUAAUAUCUAGGUGAUACAAAUUGGUAUCUGACCAUCUCCACUCUAUUUUGUAGAUGGUUAGAACUAGAGCAACAACCGUGCCAACACCAACACCGGUAAGACAGGAUGCGUCUGAGCCAGCCACUAGGGCUGCAGCUCGAAGAGGAGCAGUGGCAAGAGGCCGUGGAAGAGGUCGCUGGAGGACAUCCUCUAGAGGAAGAGGACAAGCACCUGGACAAUCUAGUACUAGGGCGGUGACUCCUUCACCGACUGAGGAAGUAGUAAGAGAGGGUGAGGAAGGGGAGAAUGAACAAGUGCAGAGUGAGGAAUUACCACCCCAACCUACCCCAGAGAUGAUUAAUCAGGUUGUUGCUUAUCUUAGCGGGUUAUCUGAUCAAGGCCAGACACCUCCAGUGUUUCCUGCACCAGCACCUCAGGUUCCGAGAGUACAACAUGCAGCUGUUGUGGCUCCCCACAUAGAGGCCUCAUUGGAAAUAGGCACGUUUCCUCGAUUGACUACAGGGCCUAUAAUGACAAGUGAUCAGCACGAACUUUUCAGUAAGUUCUUGAAAUUGAAACCUCCAGUCUUCAAAGGUGCUGAAUCUGAGGAUGCCUAUGAUUUUCUGGUUGAUUUUCAUGAGUAACUACAUAAGAUGGGCAUAGUAGAACGAUUUGGCGUCGAGUUUGUGACCUAUCAAUUUCAGGGAAAUGCCAAAAUAUGGUGGCGAUCGUAUGUUGAGUGUCAACUAGCACAGGCACCACCUAUGACUUGGGCAUCAUUCUCUAGCUUGUUUAUGGAGAAGUAUCUACCCCGAACUUUGAGGGAUAGGAGGAGAGAUGAGUUCCUGAGCCUAGAGCAAGGCAGGAUGUCGGUUACUGCGUAUGAGGCUAAGUUUCGUGCAUUAUCUAGGUAUGCCACCCAGCUUUGCUUCAGCCCACAAGAGCGGAUUUGCCAUUUUGUGAAGGGAUUGAGGUCAGAUUUGCAGAUUCCAGCCUUACAGGUAUCUACUGCUGCAAAAUCCUUUCAGGAAGUGGUAGACUUUGUGAUAGAGGUGUAGGGAGUGAAGCCAGAUGACUUCACCAUGGCAUCAACAACUAAGAAGUUUCGUAAGGGAGGUGAGUUUAAUGGUUCUUACUCCAGAGGACAUGGUGUAGGAGGUUACCCAGCCCGACCUAUUCAGUCUUCACUGCAGGCAGUAGCUGGGGGUCCACCGCAGACUGGUCAACAUUUCUCUGAGUUUGGAGGUUACCCCCAGACUUCAUCAUUCCCACAGAGACCUAUGUUUGAACCCAGAUAGUGUUAUUUGAUCCUGGAUCCACUUUUUCAUAUGUAUCUUCCUCAUUUGCUACUGGUCUUAAUUUACAUUGUGAAUUGCUUGACAUGCCUAUUCGUGUUUCUACUCUGGUGGGUGAGUCUGGGAUAGUUGAAAAGGUGUAUAGGUCUUGUCUUGUGACUUUUAUGGGGAGCAAUACUCAUGUAGACUUGGUUAUCUUAUAAAUGGUUGAUUUCGAUGUAAUUCUGGGUAUGACUUGGCUUUCUCCAAACUUUGCAAUCUUAGAUUGUAAUGCCAAAACUGUGACAUUGGCCAAGCCUGGGACAGAUCCGUUAGUGUGGGAGGGUGACUACACUCCCACUCCAGUUUGUAUCAUCUCCUUUCUUCGUGCUAUGAGAAUGGUUAGUAAAGGGUGUUUAGCUUUCUUGGAACACCUCUGGGACGAUACUACCCAAGUACAUUCAAUUGAGCCGGUUUCAAUAGUCCGUGAGUUUCUGGAUGUGUUUCCUGCAGACCAUCCUGGUAUGCCACCAGAUAGAGAUAUUGACUUUUGCAUUGAUCUGGAGCCGGGUACUCGCCCAAUUUCCAUACCCCCUUAUAGGAUGGCUCCCGCUGAGUAAAGAGAGUUAAAGGCCCAGCUUCAAGAUUUGUUAGGGAAAGGCUUUAUUAGACCAAGUGCAUCCCCUUGGGGUGCUCUUGUUUUGUUUGUGAAGAAGAAGGAUGGAAGUUUUCGGAUGUGCAUUGACUACAGACAACUGAAUAAGGUAACUGUUAAGAACAAGUAUCCUCUUCCUCGCAUCGAUGAUUUGUUCGAUCAGUUACAAGGUGCUUGUACCUUCCCAAAAAUCAAUUUGAGAUCUGGUUAUCAUCAAUUGAAAAUACGGGCAACGGAUGUGCCCAAGACUGCUUUUCGGACCAGGUAUGGGCAUUAUGAGUUCUUAGUAAUGUCUUUUUGGCUUACGAAUGCCCUUGCUGCUUUCAUGAGCUUGAUGAAUGGUAUUUUUAAGCCAUACCUGGAUCUCUUUGUCAUUGUAUUCAUUGAUGAUAUACUGGUAUACUCAAAAAGCAAGAAAGAACAUGAGGAGCACAUGAGAAUAGUAUUGGAAAUGUUGAGGGAGAAAAAGCUUUAUGCCAAAUUCUCUAAGUGUGAGUUUUGGCUAGAUUCAUUGUCCUUCUUGGGGCAUGUGGUUUCUAAGGAUGGAGUGAUGGUGGAUCCUACCAAGAUUGAAGCAGUGAAGAAUUGGGCAAGACCUACUAAUGUUACAGAGGUAAGGAGCUUUGUUGGUUUGGCUAGCUACUAUCGUCGAUUUGUCAAGGGAUUUUCUUCUAUUGCUUCCAAACUGACAAACUUGACUAAGCAGAGUGUUCCAUUUGUAUGGUCGGACGAAUGUGAAGAAAGUUUUUAGCAACUCAAGACCUUGUUGACUACUGCACCAAUUCUUACCCUGCCGGUGGAAGGUAAGAAUUUCGGUGUUUAUUGUGAUGCAUCCUAUUCUGGUUUGGGUGCAGUGCUAAUUCAAGAGAAGAAUGUAAUUGCUUAUGCCUCGAGGUAAUUAAAGGUGCAUGAACAUAAUUAUCCGACCCACGAUUUGGAGUUAGCUGCAGUAGUGUUUUCACUAAAGCAAUGGAGACAUUAUCUAUAUGGGGUUAAGUGUGAAGUCUAUACAAAUCAUCGCAGUUUACAGUAUGUCUUUACUCAGAAAGAUUUGAAUUUGAGACAGAGGAGGUGGAUGGAACUACUGAAGGACUAUGAUAUCACUAUCUUGUAUCAUCCGAGAAAAGCUAAUGUUGUGGCAGAUGCUUUAAGUAGAAAGGCAGGAAGCAUGGGAUGUCUAGCUCACUUGCAGGUUUCUAGACGCCCAUUGGCUAGAGAGGUUCAGAUUCUGGCUAAUGACUUUAUGAGGCUAGAAGUAAAUGAGAAGGGAGGAUUUUUGGCCUGUGUGGAGGCAAGAUCUUCCUUUCUUGAUAAGAUUAAAGGAAAGUAGUUUACCGAUGAGAAACUGAUCCGGAUCUGAGAUAAGGUGUUGCGAGGAGAGGCUAAAGAAGCAAAAAUCAAUGAGGAAGGUGUUUUGAGAAUUAAGGGAAGGGUAUGUGUACCCCGCGUCGAUGAUUUGAUUCAUACUAUUCUUACAGAGGCUCAUAGUUCAAAGUAUUCUAUACAUCCUGGUGCAACCAAGAUGUACCAUGACCUAAAGCAACAUUUUUGGUGGAGUAGGAUGAAGCGUGACAUUGUUGAUUUUGUUGCUCAAUGCCUGAAUUGUCAGCAGGUAAAGUAUGAACACCAUAGGCCUGGAGGGACACUUCAAAGAAUGCCCAUUCCUGAAUGGAAGUGGGAGAGAAUUGCAAUGGACUUCGUGGUUGUUCUUCCAAAGACAAUGGGUAAGUAUGACUCCAUUUGGAUAAUUGUUGACAGAUUAACUAAGUCUGCUCAUUUCAUUCCGGUCAAGGUGACUUAUAAUGCAGAGAAGUUAGCCAAACUUUACGUCUCUAAAAUUGUUCGACUGCAUGGAGUUCCACUUUCCAUUAUAUCAGAUAGAGGUACGCAGUUUACUUCUACAUUUUGGAGAACAUUUCAUGCCGAGUUAGGUACUAAGUUUGAUCUUAGUACUGCAUUUCACCCUCAGACCGAUGGUCAGUCUAAGCGAACAAUUCAGGUUUUGGAGGAUAUGCUUCGUGUAUGUGUGAUAGAAUUUGGUGGUCAUUGGGAUAACUUCUUACCCUUAGUAGAGUUCUCAUACAACAAUAGCUAGCACUCAAGUAUUGAUAUGGCCCCAUUUGAGGCACUGUAUUGGAGAAGAUGUAGGUCUCCCAUUGGGUGGUUUGAUGCAUUUGAGGUUAGACCUUGGGGUACUGACCUUCUGAGGGAAUCGUUAGAUAAAGUGAAAUGCAUUCAAGAAAAGCUUUUAGCGGCUCAAAGUAGGCAGAAACAAUAUGCAGAUUGAAAGGUUAGAGACUUGGAGUUUAUGGAGGGUGAACAAGUCUUACUAAAUGUUUCACCCAUGAAAGGAGUGAUGCGGUUUGGUAAGCGAGGUAAGCUUAGUCCGAGGUAUAUUGGUCCAUUUGAAGUCCUGAAGCGCGUAGGGAAGGUAGCGUAUGAAUUAGCCUUGCCCCCAGGACUUUCAGGAGUACACCCGGUAUUUCAUGUGUCUAUGUUGAAAAGAAACCAUGGGGAUGGAAACUACAUCAUUCGUUGGGAUUCAGUCCUUCUUGACGAGAAAUUUUCUUAUGAGGAGGAGCCUGUUGCUAUUUUAGAUAAAGAAGUCCGCAAGUUGAGGUCAAGGGAGAUUGCAUCCAUCAAGGUUCAAUGGAAGAAUCGACCAAUUGAAGAGUACACUUGGGAGAAGGAGGCUAAUAUGCGAGAAAAAUAUCCACACCUGUUUACAGAUUCAGGUACUCCUUUUCGCCCUUGUUUUUCUUCUUGUGAUCGUUCGAGGAUGAACGAUGGGUAAAUUGGUAUCUAUUGUAACGACCUGUUAGUCGUUUUGAGCAGUAGAGUUUAUUUCUGGUAAUAACUAUCUGGGUCGACGGAUCGCACAAUGGACCGUCAUGGGCACAACGGACCGUCGAGGGGGUCUCAUUCCAAAACACUUAGACUCUGGAAAAUUGGGUACUGAGAACAACUCUCUGAACUUCGCGACGGAAGAGCAAGACAGACCGUCGUAGGUACGACGGACCGUCACAGACUCUUUAAUGAAUUUGAGUCUCUAAACUCUGUGACGACUCAGCAGGACGGACCGUCGCAGGCACGACGGACCGUCACAGGCUGCGUAACCCUGACUGGGUCGAAUUUCUGUUAAAAGUUUUUAAGGGGUGUUUUGGACUAUUCCUGCUGAUGAUUAUAAAGUUAGUGGUUUAAUAUUAAUAAGUCAAUUACUUGGGGGUUAAAGAAGAUAACCUUGAAAUAAAUAGUGGGUUACUUUUACCAUCUUUUAUACUUAAUUAUAUGGUAAUUAGGGUAAAAGAAAAAGAGUUUGAAUAAGGAAAAAUAGAAAGAACAGAGAGAAGAGGGGAGAACGAACGAUAGAGGGAGAAACAAAGAGGAAAGCAAAGCAUUGGAUAAAUAGAUUGCUUGAUAACGAUUCUUCGGUGGAGGUAGGUUAUGGUUUAUGCUAUUUCAUAGUAAACUCUUAAUAGCGAAUGAUAUGUAUUGGGUAGUAUUGUAAAGUCUUCUAUAUGCUUAAUUGUAUGCUUGCAUGAUGUGAUUAUGUAAUUGUAAUGGGUUGGAAAGAUGAGGUUGUGAAGCUUAGACCUAAAACCCUCUCUGUUAAUGAUGAUGUCUUGGUAUAAAAGAAGGUUUGAUGAACUAAAAGAAUGAGGUUAGUGGAUCAGGUGUCACGUUCCGACACCAGGAUAGUAGUAGUGGAUCGGGUGUCACGUUUCGACACAAGGAUAGUAGUAGUGGAUCGAGUGUCACGUUCCGACACCAGGAUAGUAGUAGUGGAUCGGGUGUCACGUUCCGACACCAGGAUAGUAGUAGUGGAUCGGGUAUCACGUUCCGACACCAAGAUAGUAGUAGAGGAUCGGGUGUCACGUUCCGACACCAGUAUAGUAGAGGAUCGGGUGUCACGUUCCGAUACAAGCAUAGUAGAGGAUCGGAGUGUCACGUUCCGACACCAGGAUAGUAAAAAGAAUGAAUCUUGAAUUAUGUUAAUAUACUCAAAUUUAAAGAAACUAUUUCCCAAACGAGUAUGGUGUGGAGGCGUGAGUCCUCACAGAUGUGUGGGUUGUGGCCAAUGGUUAUGGUACUUGUUGUUGUUAUCUGUUGAGUAUGGUAGUCGAUUUUAUGUUAUUAUCUGAUAUAUAUUGCUUUCUAUUUUGAGUUGGCCGAUGAUACCUACAUAGUACUUGUGCCUUGUACUGACCCCUACUUGUAUGUUUCUUUCUAUGUUAUUUGUGGAGUGCAACAAGCGUGCCAUCGACUUCGACUCGUCCGCAACUCUAGCCAGUCUUCAGCAUAUCAGAUUUCAGGGUGAGCUAUUAUUCCUAGCUCGGACUGGAUUCUUUCCUUCGCGUCUUGAUGUCUUGAAGUUUGGACAUGGACCAUCUCUUUUACUUAUUUUAGCUUCUUAGAUACUCUUAGAUUUAGUAAUUUGAGGAUAGAUGUUCUUGUGAUGAUGACUUCCAGAUUUUGGGAAUAGUAAUUGAUACAUUUUAGAAGUUAUUAUUGGUUAUAUUAAUGAGUUUUAAGUCUUCCGCAUUAUAUUCUGUUUAGAUUGGUUGGUUCGCUCACAUAGGAGGGUAAGUGUGGGUGCCACUCGCGACUCGUUUUGGGUCGUGACACCAACUCUCAUACUCGUCCAUUCAAUGUACUAAUGCCAGUUGACCUGCAUCGUUUUAUAAUGCAGAAGCAGGUAAUAAGGAUCAGCAUGCAGCGCUUUGUUGAUCCAGAUUGAGUUCCAGAGUUAGUGGUGAGUCUCUUUGCAUUCUAGAGGACAUCUUUUUCAUUGCUUUACUAGUUUAGCUUUAGUUAAUUGUGAGGUCUAUCCAAACAUCCCUCUUCAGUCAGUUUAGAGGCUUCGAAGACUGUGAGUAGUUUAGAUUGUAUUUUACUUGCUGAGACUUUAGUGCCAUUUUGGCCAGAUUAAUUUAUGAAGUAUUUGUUUUUGAAUAUGUUUUAUUCUUGUUUAGGUUGACUUUAGUUUUUCACUGAGUUAAGUAAGUUAGGCCAAGGGUUCGGUUGGGGCCAGAAAUGGUCUUCGAGUGUCGACCACAUCCAGGGUGUAGGCUCCACGCGUGACAAGACGGGCAACAAUGUAUGAGUAAUAGUCACCCAUUUACAAUGGAAGCUCUUUGAUUCUUUAGAAAGAUUGAUGAGGCUAUGAUAUCAUACGAACAAGAGAAAAACCUUAAGUAAUGGAACGUAAAAAUUGGAGUUGAAGGGUUAAAAUGGAACAAGGUUGAGUUGGAAUGUCAAAAUAAAAUUUAAUGGCAAGUUUAAGGAUCUUCAUAUAUGUUUGGCCAUUUUUAUUCCUUUAGAAUGAAGAAUAUUAUCUCCUUAGAAGAUUACAAGAAAACUAUGCAUGCCAAAUUAUUUAACAUGGUAAAUAAAAUUAAAGAAAAUAAUAUACAAAUAUAAUGUGUAAUUAACUGUAUAUGGUAGGAAGAGAUUCUAAUCGAUGGUAAUUAAUAAUAUAUAUAUAAAGAGAGUGAGGAAUUCACUUAGAUUCAAAUGUAUUUAGAAUAAAUUACACCUAAUUUUGAAUCAUCUAUAUAUGAGAUACAUGUAAUUAGACGUGGCAAAUACAUGUAUCGAGAGACCAAAAUUAGACACAAUUAUAAUUUCAAAAACUCAUGAAAAAGACAUUUAUUAAGCUCUAUACAAAUUAAAAUUAUAAUAUUACCCUGUUAAAUUCAGUAAUAUUCAAAAGAGAAAUUAUAGAAUAAUAUAACAUUUAAUCAAUUUGACCAAUAAAACAAAGUUAAAAAAAUACAUUUAACUUUUUAUACUUUUUAAAAUGGUAAAAAUAAUAAUUAUAGAAUGAAUUUAUAACUUACAUGUGUCACUCACUAUUAAGCGGUUACCUCUUGGGAUCAAUUUCCAAGGUCCUUCCUAAAUCACGUGGUCACAUUAUUCCAAAAACAACUAUGUAUCACUUUUCAGCAGCUAUUUUGUCAUUGAAUAAUUCAAUGGAAAUGAAAUACCGCUUCCCGCUUUUUGUACCUUCCCACCCAUAAAUGUUCUCCUUUAUAAGCUCCUAAAUGGCGCAAUAUUUUCUCCACCCUGAAGCUUUUAUGGAGUUUUUGUUUUCCCAUUUUAUAAUUUUUUUCGUUCAAAAUGCAAUAGCUUUUACAGUUUUUUAGAUUUUUCUAACAUGGAGAAAGCUAAAGAAAAUAUAGUUGUUUUACUCGAAAAAAGAAAUAUAAAAAAAAUGACUAAGUUUUCGACAAAAUCGAUUAAACUUAUGAUUUAAGAAAAAUCAAAUUUCCAAAAGAAACAGAGUCACCACUUAAUUUUUUAGUAAAGAUCAAGAAAAAACUCUGCGUUUCUCAAAAAGAUUUAAACAGAUAAAAUAAGUUUUAAAAAUACGUUCGAUGUUCAAUGUAAGGUGUUAGGCCCUCGGAAUGCCAGCUUACCUGCGGUUGACCGGCGAUUUGAGUAAAAUGACUUUUCAAACUACUUUCAAAAUUUUAAUUAAGUAAAGAAAAAUUUAUUUUAUUAUUAUUAUUAUUAUUAUUAUGAUUAUUAUUAUUAUUAUUAUUAUUAUUAUUCGGAUUAUUAUUAUUAUUAUUAUAAUUAUCUUAAGUGAAAAGAUCUAAGGGGAUUUUUCUAAAGGGAAAUAACUUAAGUGUCGAUAAAGACCAAUAUCAAAUAAAAGAUAAGUAAUUUUCUAUAAAAUAAAAAUUCUUAUUUUUUGAAUAUAUAGAGAAAUGACUAUCUUGGGAAUUUAAUUAAAUUAAAUCAUAGGACAAAUAAAGUAAGUCAAAACAAUACAAUAUAAGUAAAAAGGAAGAGAGUAUCAAAUUUGGGCCAAAAUUUUAAAUCUUCAUAAGCUGUCCCGAGUCUCAAAAUGACCCAUAAUGGACCUUAUCCAUUUUUACACCUGCUGGACCUGUUGCAACUUUCCUUGGGCUUUCGCCUAUUUUUGUAUCCAAAAAUCAGCGUAUACACUGAUCAUAUACUGCCGUAUAUGAGCUGUACUUUAGUUCUUUUCCCUGUAUAUAGGAUUGUAUACUCAAUGUAUAUAUCCUAAUUCAGCUCUUCAUGCACCUGUAUUAAUCUUUGGACCUAUAUUAUAGCUUCAAGUUUUCUAUUUCAGCUUCUGAAACUCGAAUAGUGAUGAAGACCAACUCGAUAAAGAAGUUUUGGAUUUCCACCAACCUGAAGUGCAAAGGAAAUGCAAACAUAUGGAAAAAAAAUAAAGAAUUAGAAUAGGAACACAAAUGCUCACAAACAUACUGUAAAGUAAUUAAUUCAUAAUGAAGAUAAACACAUAGUUCACUUAAAAAACCAAGAGUAUGGUCAUAAACUAAGACAAGAUAAAGAGAAGGGAACUUUCUUAAUUUUGAAAACUCACAACAGCUAAGUGUGAGUAAGGCAAGGCAUACCAAAAGCAACUCACAUUAUGAACAAAUAAUUAACAGAUAACAAGAUCCCAAAUAUAAACAACGAAAAAAGGCCUAAAAUACCCUCAAAAUAUUGGAAAUGGUAAUAACAAUCCUCUAUCCACCUAUUGGCUCCAAAAUGCCUUUUUCACCUGGCUCCAAAAUACCAUUGUCAUUCAUCUUUGGAUUCAAAUUAACCACUAAUUUAACGGUUUUAAAUUUAAACUAUUCAAAUAUUUUUGAAAAUAAUUGGCGCUCAAUUAUUGGAUAUAAUUUAAUUUAUUAAUAUCAUUUGUAAAUCUACCCCCACCCACCCAUUAUUAAUUAAGCCCCACCCAUUUAAUAAAUCAUUUCUAAUAUCAAAAUCUCCCUAAACACUACUAAAGCACGAUGAAAUCAUCGAUUCCUGAAAAAUGACAUUCAAAAUUAUUUGAGUCCAAAUUGGAGCCCAAAUUAAAUUUAGGUUGAGCCGCUUAUUUAGGAAAACACUUUCAAUAGGAUUUUAUUUCAAGCUUGAAUUCGAAAUUUAUGAUUAAAGGUAAAGAAGUAGUACCUCUCGAAUUAAUUCAUGCACUAUUUUUAAUAUAAAUUUAUAAAUAUUUAUUAUUUAUUUUAAAUAUUAAAACCUUAAUAUAUUCUUUUUAAAAAAAGAUUAUCGAUUAAGUAACAUCACAUAAUUGAGUCAAAUGAAUAAUUAAUAUGAACAUAAUCAGACUUUUAAGUUUAUCAGUAAUUUUUAUUUAGAAACUUGAAUUAUAAUAUGUUUUGAUUGAGGACUUGAAUGUUGAUAAUGUACUUCUGUUGACAUUUUCGCCUCAAAUUUUUAGAAACACUCAUUGGUAGUAGUUUUCUUGUUUUGUGUUAGUAAUGGGGCGGGCUUAUUAAUUAGGUAUGGUUUAAUUAGUAAUGGACGGGUAGUAGAUUUAAUUAUAAAUUAUAUUAAUAAGUUAAAUUAUAAUAAAUAGUUGGGCGCCCGUGUAUUAAAAAAAAUUUAAAUAGUUUAAAUUUAAAAUAAAUACUAAAGUGAUUAAUUUUGGACCCAAAGAUGAAUAAGAAGGGUAUUUUGGCGUCAAUAGGUGGAUGAGAAAGAUAUUUUGGAGCUAAUAGUUGGAUGAAGGGUAAUUUUGUACCAUUUCUGAUACUUUCAGGAUAUUUUAGGCUCUUUUCCAUAUAAAAAAAAUAGAGAUAUCAUAAUGCACACUAGACAAACAUCACACUUUCUGCGAUAAACGAUACCCACUCAUACAUGGAGACCUGGAGCUGCCAACUUAUCAUACUAAAUGGUCAAGCUAGCUUACUUGAAGCAAAAAGAAGAAAAUAGCUUUAAUCAAAGAACUAAACAAAAUGAUAUCAUUAUUCAAAUCAAACAUGUUAAAUGAUGACAUAAACUACAUAAAUAAUGUCCAUUGAAAAUCGCAUGGUGGGGUAGCAAUACCAAAACACAUAAUUAAACCGAAGAAAAGACCAUACUAGAGACACUUUCAGAUACAUACAUAUAUGCCACAAUAAAAUUUAGGCCUAGUCCAUUAGUGGCCUCCUAAACUUGACAGAAAUUUUCAGUUAGAAACUUUAAUUAAGCUUUUUUCAAUUUAUAUACCUCAUAUCACGUCUAAUUUUUUCUUUAAACACUUUUCGCUGACUAAGCAUGGUAUGUGUGCUACACGAAUUUAAAGCGCGUCAGAGACGUUUAUUGUAAAUAUUUUGACUUUUUUAUAAAUAUUUUGUUCUCCUUUUUCUUCCUUACUUUCUCCCUUCCAUCUUCUUCACCUUUUACCAUCCUCAUCACCACUCAACUUUUUAAAAAAAUAUUAUAAUACUUUACUAGGUUACCCUCUUUGAUUCUUCCAUAUUGUUUUAAACUCUAAUUUGAAUCUUGAUUUAUAUUUAAAAACAAAAUCGAUUUCAAGGAAACAAAAAAUGAAAUCAACUUCUUUCAAAUGGACAAACUGAUUUACAUUCUUACCUUCUCCAUUGAAAUUACGAAAUUAAAUUGAUUUCAAGAGAUAAACAAAAUAAAGAACAACCUCCACUGAAAAAAAAGAAAUUUAUUUUAUAUAUUCUUCAUUGUAAGUCUCAAUCAUAGUAGCACAAGAAAUAAUUUUCUUUUAAACGUCAUACAAAAACUUUUUCAUUUGAUAUGAUUUUUCAUAUUGUCCAACGUAUUUUACUUUGUGAACUAAUCUAUGCUCUUUGUCUUUUUGAAGGAGAAGAACAAAUCAUAGAGAAAGGAAAGAAGAGAAGAGGUGGGGCAUGAGGUUUGGGAUCUGGAAGAAAUAAAAAAGAAAGUAAAACUAAUUUAUUAAAGAAUAAAAUAAAAUUUCUAUGUGUCAGAUUUUUUUUAUUUUUCACAUAAGAGGUGUCUGGAUGUACACACUUAAAAUGUGGUUUUGAAAACAUAAAAAGUGUCAAAAUGAUACAAUGAGGUUUGACAUGAGGUGCUAAAAAUGAACUAAUCUUACUUAAAGUGUCCAAGUGAAAGUUGAUGCCAACUUUAAGGGGCCACCGAUAAGUUAUCCAUAAAAUAUAAAAGAACAUGUGAUUCGAAGCAACACGAAAGAUAAACUUGCACAAUUACAAACUGAUUCCAACAUCUAAUCGAUGAAUAACACAAUGAUCAGCCAAUAAUUCCACCAAUAAAGAUAAUAAACCAUGGCCAUUUACAUUCGAACCGAGUGAGAAUGAAGCAAAAAAAAACCUAACAGAGACAAACUCAUCACAUAAUAAAAAUAAACAAAGGAGUAGAUAUUAUCUUUUCCAGUGUAGCGAACGAAACUGGACGAAGAAACCUCCAGAAAUAGAAUUGUUGUUACUCUAUCAUUUUGGAAUUUCUUUUGGGGAUAAGGAAAUGGGUCGGGUAUUGAAAACAAAAGAGUGGGCUGCUGGAAAAAAUGCUUUUAUAAAGGCCCAUAAUUUGUCCUUUAAUAUGGGUUAGCCAAAAUUGAAGUUGGAAAUAAUUUAUAUUUUGACCUUUAGUUCUCAAUGUGAAAUCAUCUACAAUUGAAUAGAAAUCACUGUCUACACAAAAGGUGAAGGACCAAAAAGAAAGAAAGAAGAUUGAAAGACUUUUAUACUUGUGUAAAAAGAUUAAUGAAGUAAAGAUAGUCUGUCUUUGUCAUUGUAAUUUUAUGACCCCAGCUGAAUUUGUCAAACAUGUUGGUGGAAUUGAUAGAAAACCCUUUAUUAUCUUAAAAAAGGAAUAGCUUUUAUGUCGUUGUUGUUAUUUCAUCUUUUCUUCUUGUUGUACAAGACUAAGUUCCUCCUAUCUAAGAUAAUAAAGUUUUUUUAGGCAUCCCGCUUGUUUUGUUAUGGUAUGCAUCACCAUUUUUCAACAUUAUCUCCACCAGAAUGUUUGACAGAUUCAGUGGGGUCAAAAAAUUGUCAUAGCAAAGACAAACUAUCUUCAUUUCACCUCCAUUGCUCAUUAGUAGCUUCGAUAAUUGCUACUAUCAGAUGUUGGAUUUGCUCCAAUGUGCCAUUGGCUAGAGGUAUCGCAGUAGAUAUAUAAUCUUUUUCCUUAUUGAAUUUAUCUAAGAAGUAAAACAAAUUGUUUGGUCUAGAGAGAGAACAAAUUCGAUAAUGUUUUGCAGUUAUUCAAUGGGUAGAAAUAUGUUGGCUAUUUGGGUACGAUAUUACGGAUAGGUAUGAUGUGUUCUAGUGAGGUAUCUAACGGAUUUUCACGUUGUGGAAGUAGUAGGGUUAUGUGGAAACAUGUACGUCGAUUGUCAGGUAUGAAUACUAAUUACUAACGGAGUUACCAGUAGUAUGACAUGGUCAGAUAAUAAGAUUUAGUGUUGCAUUCACAUUUGAGAAACCAACUAGUUUAUUACUACAGGAACAUAGAUUGAGGAUUAUUUUAAAGAAAAAUUUUAGUGGUGGAUCUUUGGGACAAUAUUAAUACACUUAAGUUGUGAAAUGUAUCUUGAGGGUUCUGAAUGAGUACUGUCGAUUUUAUCUUAAGCUUCAAAAGGUAGAUUGAUACUAAAAAGACAAAUUUAUAGGGAAAUAAAGCCAUAGUGGAUAUAAUUGGGUUAAGUAAAUUGAAGAUUUAGAAAGAAAGUGCAUAUAAAUUGGGUUAGUCUCUUGAAUUUGAUUGGUAUACCUAAGUUUAAGGUGUCAGAACGAGGAAAAAGUUCACUUAAUGGUGAUAAAAGGGUUAACUGAGCAUGAUGGAAAAAAAUUGUGAGAAAUUGUAAUUGGGAUGAAAUUAUAUGAUUAGGAUUUGUUGGUUAAAUAAAUUUUGUACCUAAUAAAGACUUGCGAGUAUCUAAGGUUGUGAUUUUCUGCUAUUAAAUGAGUAAUGCGGGUGUACAACAAAUUUUAAAGAGAUGUUGGGUCAACGCUUGAAUAUAAUUUAAAGGAGCUGGAGUCAUAACUACAAUAAGAUAAAACUUGUGGGAUGUGUAGCCUUAAGAAAAAAAGUGAGAGCAGGAAUAUUUUCUCUGAUUGUAAGAACUAAAAAUGUAUCUUCGAAGGGAUUGAGAAUUGGGUUCAAAAUUACGUGAUUUUAUCUAUUUUUUUUUUGUUAAGGUAAUAGCAUAACAAGUUAAUCAACUUGGUUAAAAUCUAUUGAUAAGAACUUAAGAGAGGAGUGUACAGAUGUUCAGCUUGAGUGAGAUGAUAAGUUUUGUUGUACUGUUGAAUUUAGAAAUGAGUAGGGUUAGAUUUUUAGUGAAGCAUAUGGUGUGGUUGAUGGAGAGGCAAUCAAUGAUAAGCUAAGAUAAGGUAAUUAUAAAAGUCUUCAGAGUAUAAGCAAAUGUAGAUACAUAAGGGCAUUGGGUUACACAAUUGGACUUAAAAUUCAAACUUUUCAUUAUAAGUCUGCUUUCUUUGUGAUAUGUUUUUUUCAAGGUAUGAAUUUGUAAGGUAAUAAAUAAUUGAUUGCAUCGGUAUUACGCAUGUGAAAGAACUUAUGCAUGUUUUGGAUCAUAAAGUUUAUUAUUUUUUAUUGUUAAAGGAUCUAAGAAGAGUUUCCUUCUGAGUUUUGAUUUAGAAUGUGAAGUAAAAUGUCAUGGGUUGUUGGUAAAAGGGUGAGAUCGAUGAGUGAGCUAAAGAAACAAGAAUAUUGACAUAUUGAAGGGCUGAGAUAUUUAAAAUUAUGCACCAUGAGAAGAUUAGAGAAAAGUAAAAGGAAUAAGACCUCUCGUAUAAACCCUUGGGGUGAAGUUGAAGGUUGUACUAACUAUAUUUUUAUUUUUAUUUUCUAAGAGUUUUGAUAUGACUGUGAGGUGUGAACUGGUUUAGUAGAGAAUUACUAGGAAUUUGUCAUCGACUUUUAUGAAGAUUGAAUUUUGAUUUGGGUGACAAACAGUGAGGUAUGAAAAAUUUAGAAUUUUACGUGGGGUAAGAUUGUUUAAAUUGAGAUAAAUGAGUUAAGAAUGAUGAACGAGGUGAGCUAUAAUUCUACAUAGUUAUUAGAAAUUUAGAGUUGAAUUAAUACUCUUCUAUUGAUGGGACUCAUAGAAAGUUAUGAUAUGAUACCUAGAUAUUUGAUGGUGAAUAGAGGUUAUGAGCUUAUAGUAUACACAAUAUUUUGAGUGAUCAAAAAUUUCCCUAAGUGUUGGCAUGAGGUAUGCGAUGACUUAAAAUGGUAUCUAAAGCAUGAUAUGUGGAUGUGGUGUGGAGUUGACUUUGAGUGUGAUUUAAUAGUUUUAUCUCGAUGAAAAGGUACAUUCAAGUUUGAAAUUGGUGCUAUUACCUUGUUAAGCCACAUAUUUUUCAUGAAAUGCUUAAAUAGAAAGAGAGAUAGACAUAGUUUGAACAUGUAUUUUAUAAGAAUACUUUGAUACUGAUGAUGGGUUGGGAUGAUUGAUGUGGUUAUGAUGUCUUGUGAGUAUUAAAGUUUUUAUUUUAGUUGAUGUGUGGUUCGAUAAAUCAACUGCGUGCACAAUUAUAAAAGGGACUAAAUUGGUGAUUGUGCAUAUCUAGAAAAUCAAAAAAACAGAGUUAGUUGAAUGAAAAUGUCUGAUAUGGACACUAUGGAAGGAGUAUUUAGAGUUAUUCCACCUUGGUUAUUUUCGAUAUGACAUAUUUAGUGUUGACUUGGUGUAAUUGAAGUAUUUGAGUGGUUCUACAUGUACCACUUUACUUAUUAGAACUUAUAGGGAGCUACCAUGAAAAUUUAUAAUUUUUCGAUAGACUUAAGAUUUAUCUCAUCAUAUCGAUACUAUGUUUUGGUAUGUGUGCUGAAAUGUGAGGGCCAUUGUAAUUUUGUCAUUCUUAAUGUUGUCUAUGAUAGCUACUGAUCUUGCAUUUCGAUAGUAUUGUUAGACGUUCUGUAUGCUUAGGUGUAUUGCUCGAUGGAUGGUUACUUGAUCAUUUUCUUCUUGGGGUUAGAUAAGUUUAAUUUUUCCUUGAUAAGAACCUUAUUUCUAAAGGUCGUUUUUUUUAUAACAUAAGCUCGUGGAAAAUUUAUGCUGUGAGAAUGAAAUAUUAAUAUGAUCUAUGAUGAUUUGGGCAUUAUGAGUGUGUGGCGGUUGAUUUAGGUUCAUUUAUCAUUGUAGUCACUGUUGAUUCAAGAUUUUAUCAUGGUUAUGUUAGAUAAUAUUUGUCUUGAUGGUUGUGUCAAGGUUUAGUUGGAGAAUUGGUCAGUUGACGAGUUCAUUAUUGAAAAUAGUUUUAUGUUUAGUUGAGUUUACAUACAACAUCAAUUAUCACUAGAGUAGUGAGAUAGAUCCAUUUGAAGCAUUGUAUGGGGUAGGUGUAGAUCUUGAAUUGGUUGGUUUGAUACUUUUGAUAUGAGACUUUGGGUACUAAUAUAUUGGAGUAAUAGAGAGACAACUACCCUUUCUUGCCAUUGCCAACUUUGAUCGUUCGAGGACAAACGAUGGAUAAAUUGGUAUUUAAUGUAACGACCCCUUUGGUCAUUUUGAUUACUAGAGAUUUUAUUUGAUAAAAUAUUUUUCUAUAGAUUCGAAAUGACUGUUUUGGACUAUUAAUAACUAUAAUUAAGAAAUUAGUGGGAGUAGUUUUAAUAAUUAAUUUAAUUGGUGGUUAUAGAAGAUAACAUUAAAAUUAAUAGUGGACCACUUUUAUCACUUCUUAUAAAUAGUCAUAUAAUAAUUAGAGUAAAAAUAAUCUGAAGAAAAGAAAAUAAAUUAGAUCAUGAUUACAGAAAGACAUAAAAGCGGCUUCCCCUCCGAUAUGAUGGAGAACUAGCAGCAACCGGAAGAAUGCACGUAGAAUUGGGCAACAAAGAUUAAGUCCUGGUAAUUUUAUAAUGGUCAUAAUAUCAUUAAUAUUAUUAUUAUAUUGUAGGGUGAAGUUGAGGGGAAAAAGAAAGGGUAAAUUGCCAAUUUUAAUGUUGUUGGUAUGUGCGACUGUGUUGUUGCUGCAAUCAUUGCUAAUGAUUACUAUAAUGAUUAAAGCAGCAAAUUGUUAUUAAUGUCGGUAUUGGAAUAUAUAUAUAUAUAUAUUCUGUAGGUUGUAGGAUCUUAGGUGAUGGAAAUUUUAUUGGAAUGUAGUCGUGAGUUCAUGUAUUAUAAUUUUGGUAUCAUAAAACACAUCAAGUUUUGAUAUAUUGAGAUAGAUAAUUAAUUGUUAGGGGUAUUAUAAUAUGAAUACCAUUAAAGUUAGAUUAAUUGGAGGAAGUAAGACUUAUCUUUAGACUUUAACAUUGGCAAUUUAUUAAAGAAUUGGGUGAAUUUUCGGGUCUAGGCUAGACGUAUAGUAAUAUAAAUGCCUAUAGACUCGUUAACUUACAAAUUAUGCAUACUUGAUAGAUUGUAGAAGUUCGGAGGCGUUGAUGAAAGGAAAAUUAUUGGAGAAGUAGCUUGCUUGACUUCGGUUCUUCGGUGAAGGUAGGUCAUGGUUUAUGCUAUUUGAUAAUAAACUCUUAAUAGUGACUGAUGUGCAUUGAAUGAUAUUGUGAAGUUUUCUAUGUACUUAAUUGUGUGAUUGUGUGGCUUGGUCGUGUGUUUUGUAAUUGGUCUGAAUUCCCGAGACUGUGGAAUGUAUAAUCUUAAACCAUCUCUAUCAAAGAAAUGCCUUGAAUAAAAAAGGCUCGAUAUAAUAUUAUUAAUGAAUGAAAAAGUGGUGACAUUAAAUGAUAAAUUAAUUGUAUUCUUGGAUCGGAGUGUCACGUUCCAACACGGUACUUUUGGAUCGGAGUGUCACGUUCCGACACGGUAUUUUUGGAUCAAAGUGUCACGUUCCGACACGAUAUUCUUGGAUCGGAGUGUCACGUUCCGACACGAUAAUAUUAAAGGAAAAGCAUGUUGAAUUAAUGGAAGAUACUCAAUCUCAAAGUACUCAACUCUUAAAAUGAUUUGGUUUAGAGGCAUGAGUCCUCAUGUGUGAUCUUGAUAUCAUUGACUUAUUACGAGCUUACUUUAAUGUUUUUGAUACUUGUUUAUGUUGUUUGUUGUUUAUCACCUAUUAAGUGCUAUAGUUGAGUUCAUAAUAUUAUUUAUUGUAUAUUAGUUCCUAUUUUGGGUUGGACGAUGAUAUCUACUAAGUACAUGUUGCUCCCAAACUGAGUCCUACUUGUGUUUUUCUUUGUUUUCAUUUUAUGAAAUGCAGCGAGUGUACCUAUGACUUCAGAUUUUCCUUCAGCUCCAGCCAUCCUCCCGCAUAUCAAGUUCCAGGGUGAGCUAUUCAAUCAAGCUCGCGGUGGAUUCUUUCGGUCAUGACAUGAUGUCCUAUACUUUCGGACACAUACUAUUUUAUUCAUUUAUUUUGGUGUCUCUGAUACUCUCAGACUGAGUAAUUAGAGAUUAGAUGUCCUUGUUGUGAUAACUUUCGGGUUUUGGAAAACGAUAGUUUAUAAAUUUUGAAGCUUCCGCAAUAUUUUGUUAUUCGCAAUUGAAUUAUUGGUACAUGUUGGGAUUUGAAUUUCUUGGUUCGUCCACCUAGGUAGUUAAGUGUGGAUGCCACUCACGACUCGUUUUGGGUCGUGACACUUUUGUCUUGAUAAUUAGCUCUCUCCAUGUUAGCAAAAACUAAAAAAAUGAGAAAGCUAUUGAAUUACAAACUAAAUAAACUUAAUAGGAAAAAAAAACUCUUUGUAAGUAUGAAAUUCACUUUAGUGAUGAAUGCUUAUAGAAACCUUCAGCCAAUUGAGAGAUUAUAAAGGGAAAAAAUUGAGGUAUGAAAGUGGAAAAAAUGUGAAGCGGUAUUUUAUUUCCGUGGGUGUAAGUGAAAAUGACGAAAUAGCUCCUUGUCACGUGGUUUAAGAAGGGACUUGGGAAAUUGAUCCAAAAAUUUUUUUAGCUAGAGUCUAAAUAAGAAGUAAUCGACUGAAAUGACAUUUGUCUGUUGUAAUUAUCUACUGAGAAACAGAAUGGAACUUGACAUGUGUCAGGAAAAUUACUACAUGAAAAUUUGCAAAAAGUUUUCAGUUUCACACUAUGGAUGUGAAAAUAUUAUUUAUGCAUUUUUAUUUAGAUUCCAAAGUUUUUUUGGGCAAAUUUUAUUAAACGCCGUAUCAUCUAAUUGUUUUAUGGGCAAAUUUUAUUAAAUGUCAUAUUAUCAUAUUAUUUUAACUCCCUAUAUUAAUGAAUUUUUAAAUUUUUCCAUAGUUUAUAAUAAAUGAAUUGUUAAAAUUUAAGAUAAUUGUUGAUUUUUUUUUCUUCAAAUAGACUCCAGCAAGUAGUGGCUGACCCAAAAUUUUAAUAAACAGGUUCAAAAUCUGAAGAAAAAGAAUAUACACAUGAACUAAUGAAAAGGGGUUCAACAUCUAAUAUAUGUACCUAAUAAUUGAUUUUAAUCAUAUAUAAAUCAUAUUGCUGGGAGUAAUAAAUAUAUAAAAAAAAAAGGCUCAAAAAUACCCCUGAACUAUUCGAAAUAGCUCAAAUAUACCCGUAAACUAUAUUUUGGCUCAAAACUACCCUUCCCGUCAUACUAUUGGGUCAAAAAUACCCUUCGUAUUAACAGAAGUUGUUAAAUGCCACGUGGAUGCCAUGUGGAUGCCAUAUUGCAUGCCAAUAGGAUCCGACUGCCACGUAGACUAAAUACAAAGGGUCAAAAAUACCCUUAAUCUAUUAAAAAUAGCUCAUAUAUACCCUUAAAUUAUACUUCGGCUCAAAACUACCCUUCCCGUCAAACUAUUUGAUCAAAAGUAACAGAAGUUGUUAAAUGUCAUGUGGAUGCCACAUUGCAUGCCAAUAAGGUUCUAAUGCCACAUAGACUAAAUCCCUAAAUCCUAAUUACUUCUCCCCUCAUUUCAUUAUUUCAUAAAUGAUAUAUUCAACCGUUCUCCAUCAUUUCGCGGCAAGGGUUUCAUACUUUUCUUCCUGGUUGAGUUUCAAAGUGGAUAUUUAUACUUGUAGGUUCGUAAAUAUUUUUUCUUCUUUUAUUAUGUUUUUGAUUUCAAAGCAUGAUAAUUAUGAUUUCAUAACUUUCCCCUCAUUUUGCAGCUAAGGCUUCGUAGCUUUUUUCGGAGCUGAGUUAUAAAAAGGAUAUUCAUGGUUGUAGGUUAGUAAAUAUUUUUUAUUAUUUUAUUACAGUUAAGAUUUCAAAGUAUGAUAGAUAGAAUUUCACAAAUUUCCCGUCAUUUUGUGGCCAAGGUUUCAUAACAUUCUUCUAUGAUGAGUUUCAAAGUGGAUUUUUGUGGUUAUAAACACAAUAAAAUUAGAAAAAAGUUUACUAACUCAUAACCACGAAUAUACACUUUUAAACCCAGCAACGAAGAAAACUAUGAAACCUUAGCCACAAAAUGAGGGAGAAGGAUGAAAUCGUUUCUAGAAAAAUAAUGAAAUGAGGGGAAAAUGAGUAAUUAAGAUUUAGGGAUUUAGUCAAUGUGGUAUAUGUGGAAUUUAACAACAUCCGCUAAUAAGAAGGUCACUUUUGACCCAUUAGUUUGACGGGAAGGGUAGUUUUGAGCCGAAAUAUAGUUUAAGGGUAAAUAUGAGCUAUUUCGGAUAGUUAGAGGGUACUUUUGACUCUUUUCCUUUUAUUCUAUGUGGCAGUGAAAAUAUAUUGCGAUGUCAUGUGGCAUCCACAUGGCAUUUAACAAUUUCCGUUAAUUGGAAGGACAUUUUUGACCCAAUAGUUUGACGAGAAGAGAAGUUUUGAGCCAAAAUAUAUUUUAAGGGUAUAUAUGAGCUAUUUCAGAUAGUUAAAGGUAUUUUGACCCUUUUCCGUAAAUAUAUCUAUUGACAACAAUGCUUUGGAUUUAACAAGUGUACGGUAAUCUGAGUUAUAUUUUUAAGUUCUAAAAAAGUAUUAGUGUUUUGAUUGAUUCUUGAAUAUCAAAAUAAUGAUUGUAUUCGUACGAGUUUCUGUCAUUUUUAAUUUUUUCGUUCUUCUUUUAUGAAAAUUAAUAAUUGUAUUAUGUUUAAUUAAAUCUUCUUUUCUGAUUUGUUUGUUGUCUACAUUUUUUUAUUUGUUCUGUCUUUUGUUUUGGAUAUCACUAAUCUUAUGAUACUGUAUCAACGCAUUUAAUAAUAUUAUCACCAUGUAUAAUAAUAACUUAAAAUAUAUGUAUAGGUAGAUAUUGAACAAUUGAUCAUUGUGUUUAUUUCUUUUGAAAAAUAUUAUGAAAUAGAAGACAAUGGAAUAAGGUUAGUAUAAACUUUGAUAAUGAUCAUUUCAAUGUUAUAAACCUAUUGAGAAUAUUAAGUGUUGGUGUUCAUAAUAUAAUCCAGCUGUGAAAGUGGAGAAAACGUGCAGAUGUUUUUAUUUUCGUGGGUGUAAGUUUUAAUGAAGAAAUAGCUCCUUUUCACGUGAUUUAAGAAGGAGCUUGUGAAAUGAUCCAAAAAUAUAAUUGAGCUAGAGUCUAAAUAAGAAGAAACGACUGAAAAUGACACAUGUCCGUUGUGAUUAUCUAGUGAAAACAGAACGGAACUUGACGUGUUUCAAAAUCACUACAUGAAAAUUUACGAAAAAUUCACUUUCACAAUACGGAUAUGAAAAUAUUAUUUAGUAUAAAUUUAAGGAAUCCCAUAGUGUAAAUCAAUAAUUACAUUUUGUCCCGACAAGUUUACUAAUUACAAAAAAUCCCUUAAAAUUGCUGAGCCGUGAUACUUUAGAAAGUUGUGAUACAUGGUAAAUGAUACAUAGUAACUUAAAAUUGUUAAGAAAAAAUAGGGGAUAAAAACGGACAAUUUAAAGCUGUUACUAAAACAGCUUAAAUUAUGGUAACAGAUCAUUAAUCAGCAUUAAAUCAGCACUUAAUUGGAUAUUAAUUUCAUAAUUUGAAAAUCAAAGAUUGUAUCAGUUAUUUAGAAAACAAUUGGAGUUGCCAAAAAUUUUUUGUUGUUGCAGUGGGUUUUUGAAGAUGAAUACUUCGAUUUUGAUGAGACAUUCCGGAAUUUGGGUGAACGAAUUGCAGUAUGAAAAUUACAAAAUUGAUGGAAUCGUUGUUGGAGAUUCAAUUUCGUUUUCUAAUCUCAAAGCAGCAAUUGCAGCCGAGUUGGACAUUGAUGUAUCAAGGAAAGAAAUUGAAAUUCGAUACAUUGUAGAAGGUAACUCCUGUCCGAUGAAACUUAAGAACGAUAUGAGUGUUAAACUAUAUUUUGAACUGAAAAAAAACGAGCCUGGAUUUUCAAUAUAUCCAUUAUGUAUUGACAAAAUUGAGAAGAAUAGUGGUACUGUACAUAACUUUGAAAGAAGAAGUGGAGAAAUAACGUGUGUAGAAGGCACAACAAAUGAUACACAGGCUUUGGCAAUAGUUGAAAAUAGCUUAUUUGAGACACAUGAAAAUUCAGAAGUUGGAGUUGCAAAUGUUAUAAUCAAUUCAGAUAUUGUUGAUGUGAAGACAGGUCAGAUAUACAAGGAUAAAGCAACACUUGUAGAUGUGAUGACGAAAUAUAAGAUAAAGAACAACUUCAACUGCAAAGUGAAGAGGUCUGAUCAACAAAGGUAUGACAGUAUUUUGAUGUUUUAAUGUAUCAUGUGUUGUUUUAUAAUUUAAUUAGUACAUGAAACAUUACUGUUCUAUAUGAAAACCUGCAAGUUUCAUAUGUUAUUUUAUAAUCUAAUGUAUCAUCAUUUCAGGAAUUUGUUUUUGAUACAUUGAAAUAAGUAUUUUGAUACUUGAAAGUACUACUACUGAUAUAGUAAGGACUGUAUCAUUUUAAACAGUCAUAUUACAAAUAGUGGAUAAAUUUCAUUAAAGUUUGAUACUUUUCUUAAAAAUUGGUUGAUACUUUUUGUGUGAUUCAUUGUUUGAUUAAUUUAAACAUUAUUGUUGAAUAUAUUAUAUAUGAUGUAUUUGAUAUGUGUAUUAAUAUGCUUAAAAAAUGUACGCAGCUAUGUGUUAGUAUGCUUUUCAGACAAAUGUGGUUGGACUAUGAAGGCGUCGUGCAGGAAAAAAUCUGAUAUAUUCAUUGUUAGAAUUUCAAUAGUGAACAUACGUGUCCGAUGAGGGAGAGGGUAUUAACCAAAGUCCAAGCAACAGUGGGAUUUGUAAGUGGAGUGACAGCUCCAAAAUUGGUCAAUUAUAAACGAAUUUAUACACCAAGGGAUAUAAUUGAUGAUAUUAGAGAAUAUUAUGGUGUUGAAAUAUCUUAUCAGCAAGCAUGGCGUGCUAAAGAACGUGCACUCUCCAUGAUUAGAGGAAAACCAUCUGCUGGAUAUAGACGGAUGUCGCGAUACAUACACAUGUUAAAAACUGUGUAUCCAGAUUCUUAUAUAAGAAUGCAUAAGACUGAAGAGGAUGAAUUUAUGUAUCUGUUCAUCGCCUUAAGACCAUUCAUUAGGGGAUUUAAAUACUGCAGACCAGUAGUUGUUGUGGAUGGUGCACAUCUGAGUGGAGCUUACAAAGGGACAUUUGUAUCAGCAAGCACACUUGAUGGCGCAGGUAUUUUUUAUUUAUAGUAAUGAUGUCUUUUUAUAUAUUAAGUAUCAAAUAAUAUAAUGUGUGUGUAAUCAGGUUGCAUAUUUCCAUUGGCAUAUGGUGUUGUUGACACCGAAAAUGAUUGUUCGUGGACAUGGUUUUUUGAACAGUUCAAACAUGCAUUUGGCGAUAGAAAAGAUAUGUGUGUUGUUUCAGAUAGAAAUGAGAGUAUCACGAAGAGUGUAAGGAUUGUGUUCCCCGAUGUACCUCAUUAUGCAUGCAUCUGGCAUCUUUGGAAGAAUGUAUGUGGAAACUUCAAAAGGAGCAGAAAGGCCAUAAGUGAUCUAUUCUACUCUAUGGCCAAGGCAUAUAGAAAGGAAGAUUUUGAUAAGUUGAUGGCUAAGGUUGAUAGAAUUGAUCACAGGGUUAAGGAGUACCUUGAAUAUGCAGGUUACGAAAAGUGGUCAAGAGUUCAUGCAACAGUAAACAGAGGUAGAAUGAUGACUUCAAACAUUGCAGAAUGUAUCAAUGGUUGUCUUGUUGAAGCACGCCAAUUAACUAUAUUAGAAUUCUUGGAAGAGGUUAGAAUUCUUUUUGGAUCUUGGCAUUGCAAAAACAGAGAAGUAGCCUCAUACACAAAGGACACAUUAGGUAGAAAAUUUGAGGAAUUGUUGAUUAUAAACGCAGCUAAAAGUUCAAAAAUGGAGGUAUGUAUCAUUAUAUGAUACUUUAUAUUAUAUAUAUCUAAUUCUGUGUAUCAUUAUGCUUUUUUUAACAUGAUUUGGUUUUUAAAAGUUAUAUAUUUAAAAUUUUUAAUGUACACAGGUUGUUCCAUCAUCUGAGUUUAUUUUCUCGGUUUAUGAAAAUGGAAGAAGAUAUAUUGUUUGUUUUGAGCGGAAAGUAUGUUGUUGUGGUAGAUUUCAACUAGAUGAGAUACCUUGUUCACAUGCAAUAGCUGUAUUGAAAAAAAAGAAUGUCACCGAUAUGAAUCCGUAUUGCUCUUAUUAUUACAAGCCUGAUGCGUUGGCAAAAACAUAUGAAAUUCCAAUGGUGCCAAUGCCAGAUAAGAAAGAUUGGUCAGAUCCUAAACACGUGGUAGCUGAAACUGUGUAUCCACCUAGAUACAGAAGAUCAUCUGGACGACCAAGAAAAAGAAGAAGAAAGAAUGCAGAUGAAAAGAUUUCGGUGAACACAAAUUGUUGUGGACAAUGUGGACAAGAAGGGCACAACAGAAGAACUUGUACUUUCUACCCAAAAGAGAAGUGAAUUUGUCGUAAUGUUUCUAUGAUAUAAAGAAUAAUUUAUCACGUAAACAUUUAAAUGAAUUUCAGUUUUAAUUACGACUGCAAAUUGAACACUUUGUGUUUAGAUAAAUAAACGUACAAACAUGUGGUAAUUACAUUUGAAGUCAUGCUUAUGAUUAUAAAUACUUUCUUAUUAUUGGUGUUGAUAAAAAUACUUGUGUCAAUAUUUGUUUUGAAUAUAUAAAUCUUAUGCUACAGUAAGAUAACAUAAUGUACAUGAUACAUAUGGUUAAUCUAGUGUAUCAUGUACAUUUAUUGUGUAUUUUUUGUACACAUUGUUUAUAUAAAGUAUCAUGUACUUUUAGUGUGUAUCAUUGGUUUGCACAAUGAUACAUCUCCAUUAGAUAAAAAAUACAAAUAUAUUGUUAAUGUUAUUGAGUACUUUAGAAUGGCUAUAAAUCAUGUAUCAUGUGAAUUUAUAUAAUUUAACUUGUGUAAUGCUUUUUUUGAUAUGCUUUUAUUGAAAUAUACAGUAAAUAACUUUCCUUUAAAAAAAUAAUAGCAAUUCAUAUGAAUAUGCUAUUCAAUUUACGUAAGUAUCUUGUAAAAUUUAAGGAUUAGAGUGUAACAUAUUGUACAUUAUACAUACGGUUUGGCCAAUGUAUCAGUUAUUUUUAGUGUGUUUCUGUUACAUAUGUAUCAUUUGGUUUUGGCAGUGUAUCAUCUAGAUUAAAUAAAAAAUUUAAAAAUCUUUAUGUCUAUGUUUGAUUAUAAAUACUUUGAUUAUACUUUAUUAAAUGAUUUAAACCUGGUUUUGUCAGUAUAUUUAUUAUGUCUAUUUUUAAUUAAAAAUUUAAAAAUGUUUACGUCUAUCAUUUGAUAUUUAUAUCUUCAAUAUAAACAAAUUUGUUACGUACUGUGAAAAAAAUAUUCAUGGAAAUUGACAAAACCAAAAAAAUAACAUUAAAAAGGAUAAAAAUAGUUGUUCAAUAACAUAUAAAAAUAAUAAAUAUAACAUUAAAACAUUGUUUUAUCAUGAAAUGCUAUGCUAUGUGAACUAAAUCUUCUUCUGGUGGUGGUGUGACUACGCCCCUGGAUUUUGGUGGAUCAUCAUUGUCGCUAACAUAUCCGCACUUAACCUUCUCACUUCCAUAACUCCACAGCAAUGCUCCAUAUCUUUGACGCAGGUAAUCAGGAUUUAAAUCAGCAUAAGAUAUAUUGAUUUGGUCACUGAUAUACUCGGCAAAUGCAGUAACAUAUAACCCACAGUCUCUACAAAAAAUACAGAAUAAAUUAAAAACUUAAUGAUACAUUAAAAAGGGCAACUGAAAAAAUUCUUGAUACUUACAGGCUAUCGCUUUCCUGUGUAGGGAUGUCUUGUGCAAAUUCUAUCAUGAAAGGAACUUGAGGCUCCAGAAGUGAUCCAUUAUUGUUGUCUUUAUAUGCUUGACAAUCAGCAAAAUUUGUGCGUUCAUUUUCUUCAAAAAAACCACUGUCAAGUAGGUAUGAAGGAAGCAUUUUAGACAACAUCUUGAUCUCAUGAGGAAUUGUUUGUUUCCUUGUGCUAAUUGAUGAGUCAAAAACCCUUAUCAACCGGUUUUUCAACUCAACAACAGCCAACACCCAAUGGAAUUGUUGAUCACAGUUAAUUGGGAUGUAGACCUCAUCUACAAGAUGCCAUGGUAAAGCAGCUGGUAUUCCAAACCCUUUGAUGAUGUUAAUUAUUGACCUCUCAUGUACAGAUACAACUGAAGCGCGAUCAAUAUGUUCUUGUGUAGUAAGACUAUCAUCAUCAUCGUCCAUGUAAUAUCUAUCAUAACAGUUUUUUACGAAGGUAGUAAAAAAUCACAUCGAUGUGCUAUAAACAAAAUGAAAACAGAGUAAGAAAUUAUUUACAUCUAAACAAUAUAAAAAAAGAAAUAUAAUUAUGUGAAUAUAGUAUGAUACUUUUGCAAAUUAAAUAGUAUGAUACUUAUACAUAAUGUAUCAUUGCUAAUUAAAUAGUAUGAUACUUAUAGAUAAUGUAUCAUGAUGUUAUAAUAUAGUUAUGACUGAUACAUAUUUCAUAAAUAGUUUAAUAUUUUACUUCAUCAGACCAACACUUGUUUGGCUGUGACAUGGCAUAAAACCAAUUCUUGUUCAUUGGAAAAGCAACAACAAAGUCCAUCAUCGUAAAUCCAAAAGAAGAAGAUCUUGAUCUGUAUUUAUCGUCCGAUGGGUUCUUGCAUAUAUGAUACUUAAGUUUUCAAUGUAUCUACAUGAUACAUAACACUCAAUUAUUUACAGUUUUUAUAUAACAAAGUAUAAUGAAUUAAUUGUAUAUAAAAUGAUUACGCCUAACACUGAGAAAAAAAAUGUAUAAAACUUACUUAUUGUUAUGAUUUUUUAGAAGCCCCCUCAACAACCAAUUCAUGUAAUCCUCAAUCAGUUUCGGUGAAACUUUAUCUGCAAUGCCACAUCCUUCGAACGGGAAAUGGAGUCGAGCCAUAUCCUUCAAUUUCUCUUUUCCCUUUUCGCUUGACCCAAAAGAAGUACAAUAUGGAGAUUGAAUCCUUCUCGAAGGCAUUCUAUUUCUAUGCGCAGGAGUGACUGCAUCAGUUUUAACAGCAAUCUCCGUUAUUGGAAUUUCAGUGGGUAAUUGACUGUCGGUCAACAAGUACUGGCUGGUAGUUAUAUUCUUUGGAUCGUAAGAAUAUAAUGGUCUAGCAUUGGUAGCAUCUUUACCCAAAUCUUUGAUAAGCGCUUCUAUUGCUGCUUGAGUUGAUGGCGAUAUUGUUGUUGAAGUUGAAGAAUCCUGUAUAAUAUGAUGUAAUGAUUUUUAGAAUAAAUUUGUGUGUAAUGAAAUUGUGUGUCAUAAAUCAAAAUUGAAAAAUGUACCGAUGAAUCUGUUGUUGUUUUUUCGGGCAACACAUGAGGGAUGUUGUGAUGAACAUUGUCGUCAACGGCUUGGUCCAUGAUAUGUUCAUUUAAAUCUUGGUGCGACUGAUGUGCGUCACCAUCCUGAAUAUGCAGUUUUGAAAUAAAAACUGUUAAUAUAAUUUGUGCUGAUACGUAACAUUGAUAACAAUCACAUGAUACAUAGUAUUGAUUAAAUAUGAAUGAUACAUGACAGAAUAUAAAAUGAGAAAAAAAAUGAUCAUGAUACAAAGCAUUGACUAUAUGUGCAUGAUACACAACAUACCCACUGUAUCAUAAACAUUACCUUUGGAUCAGUGACUAUUGGUUCAUCCUCAUUUACGGCAACACCAACACCAUCCACAUCGACAUCCCCUGCAUCGUCGACGAUAUGAUGCUCACUAUUUUUACCAGAAAAACCACCACCAUCCUCAGCUACACCACCCAUAUCAUCGAGAUCAACCGGUAUUUGCUGAGAUGUUUGUUUGUCAGACUGAAAUGUGCUUGUAUCAGCCUGAAAAUUGAUGUUCUCUUUGCUAAUAGAUUGCAUCAGCUGGGAGUGAUUUGCUUUUAUCAAAAUAAUCAAUUCCUCAAAUUUCUUGUCAACCUAAAAAUUGUAGAUACAUUUAGGAUAAAUAAAAGUUUGUUUAAAAAUUAAAAAAUAAUUUACUUACGUAAGUUUUCAAAUAUCCUUUCAACUCUUCAAUAUGAGGAAUUAUAUUGUUGACAUUCUGUGAAUCUGCAUAUCCAUGAACAUCAGCAGCCGGGUUCUGAGAAACGUCUGGAACAGAACCAUGUACAUCAGCAGCCGAUUUCGGUGACACUUGUGGAACAGAACAAUGUACAUCAUCAGCAUUCGAAUGUUGAGGCAGACUUGACAUGGAAACAUGUACAUCAUCAUCCGGUGUCGGAGACACAUUUGAUUGAUCAGGCUGUUUCUGUUCUGACACCUUCUUUUUUUGAAUAAUCGAUUUUUUUCUUCUUUUUGGCGGUGGUGGAGGAGAUGUAUCAGACACUCUAGAAUAUGUCCUCAAUAACUGUUCUGGCGGUCUUGUGGAGAAAUCAUCUAAAUCAUCUUGCUCGUUUGGUUGUACUAAUGGUAUUGAUGUAGAAUGAGCAUGUUCAACUUGAGCAAUAUCAAAAGCUUCAAUUUCCUCUGCUGUUGGGACAAUGUUUGAACAUGCAUUCUAAAUGUAUCACAAACACAUAAGAUAAUUUAACUGUUAGAUACAGUAAUAAUUCAUAAUGUAUCACAAAGACAUAAAUAACGAUAUUCCAUAUACAAAAAUAAAAUUUUACCUUUUGGAAAAUGGUGGACAUAAGCAUUUCAAACUUUGCCUUUUCAGACACAACUCUCCAAUUGCAUAUUCUUGGGAUGACAUUGCGUUCUCUCACAGCUAUUUCUGAAUUUAAAUUGGAUGCACAUUCGUAUAUCCAAACAUUUAGUGCAUAUGGCAUCCCAUAUAAUCGGUACAACUUUUUACUAACGUCAAAAUCCUGUCUAAGUGAACCAAUUAGUUUGGAAAAUGAUAGCUGACCCCAAGGAAAAUGUUGAUAUCUACAAUCUUCAACCAUUAGAAAGUCGACAAUAGAUAUCGCUGUGUUAUCAAUAGAAGCUAAUACAAAUGUAUGAAUAAAGAACAGUAUAGACAUUUGGAGUGCAUCCUGAUUGCUCUCCCAAUUACCCAUCUUAAACCUUUGAACUAGUUGAUGCUUUGUAACACUAUUGACUGCACCAGGGAAAUACUUUUUAAAAAGCAUACAAUUAGUUUGUUCUGGGUAUUUGAAAUCAUUGGUAUUUCCUCUGACCUUAAGUCCUGUUAAUAAUGCAAAAUCAUCUAUACCAAAUUUCAGGACACACCCGUUGGAAUGUCUAAUAUGCAACAUAUUAGGGUUGCUUUGUUCCAAUUCUAAAAGCAAUAAGCACUUAGUUAUUUGGCCCUGAAAAUUACAUUUAGAUAUGUCUAAAAAGGGUCCAAAAAUUGUAUCCUUAAACAUUUGGAUAACAUUAUCCCCCACGUAUUUUUCAAAGUCCUUUAGGAAAUUGUUGUUAAAGUUGACAGCAAACCUUAUGGGAUGUGUUGGUAUCUUUUUAAUCUUGUACUUCAGUGGCUGCAAUUUGAAAAUAAAACCGCAAAUUAAAACGAUAUAGAAAUAUAACUACUAAAUAAAACAACUAAUAACUUAAUGAUACAUGGUUUCAGUUUUCAGAAUUUCAUACUAUAUGAAAAACAUGUGAUACAUGUCUAUAACAUGUAUCAUUGAAUUAAAUAAAACAUUAUAACAUGUGAUACAUGUCUAAUACAUGUAUCAUAAACAGUGACUAAACAACAUACACAAAGAAUCUAUAUGUAUCAUCAACUAUAUUUGAUUAAGCAUUUAUUAAACUUAAUGAAUGAUACAUUAUAACAAGUUUCAAAACAUGUAUGAGUAAAUCAACUAAACAACUAAUACCUUAUUGAUACAUGAUAUCAUACAGGAAUUCAUACUACAUGCAGAACAUGUGAUACAUAGCUACUACAUGUAUCAUUACAUUUACUAAACAAUGUACACACAGAUUCAACAUGUAUCAUCAAGCCCAGAUUAUACUUUACUACACUUAUUGAAUGAUACAUUAUAAUAAUUUUCAAAAACCUAAUGAUACAUAUAAAAUAUUAUGAAACACAACAAAUUCACGUAUCAGUUGACCAUCUAAAACACUAUACACCCUUUUUAAAAUGUAUCAGCAAGCACACUUGAUUCCUUAAAAAUUUUACUAAUUUAAACAACACCAUUUUUAAGUACCAAUAUACUAACCCGAGACAAUGUAGGCCUAACAACAGUGUUUGCUGCUUCUUUUUUCCUUUUUGGUUGUAUUUUUACAACCUUUGAUGUUUCGUCAUGGUCUUUGUUUGAAUCCUUUUAAAGAUUCAUAGGAUCAUGCAAAGACUUUUUCCUAUUUUCUUUCCAAUUAUCAUCAUCGGAAUCAUAUAUCCUUCUAUUGAUUGACGGAUCCAUUACUAUGAAGUAAUAGAACAAUUAACAAAAACGAAAAAGAGAAGAAUAUAUGAAUUAAUGAUGGAUUAACUAUAAAAAGGGUCUGGGUUCUUACGAUUCAAUAUUAGGAAGAAAUAGUCGAAUAUGGAUUAAGAAUAAAAAGAAGAAAAUAGAAAAAUUUGCUGGGUUGAGAAGAUUCAAAUUUAUGAAGAAAUAGUGGGAUGAAGACGAUUAAGGAAAAAAAAAGAAGUGCAAGGUGACUUUGGUAAGAAUGGUAGAAUGCAGUGGAAGUUACCCUGCUUCUAUAUUUUUUGAAUUUUGAAAUUCAAAAUUUCAAAAUUUGUUCUUUUAUUUAAAUUUAAUUAAAUUUAAUAAUUCAAAAUUAAAAAGAUGAUUAAAAGGUUGAGUGUUUAAAUGGAAAAAAUUUAAAAUUCAAAAACUGAUUUAAGAGGUUGAGUGUUUUAAUGGAGAAAAAAUAGGCAUUAAAAUUGGUAAAUGUGUAUUAUAGGAGAGAGAGUGUAAUGUAUCUAAAAACUUAUACUAAAAUAAAAAAAAUAGGGAAUUAUGUAAUAUUUAAAAAAAGUAGGGAAAAUUAGAGAAUAUAAAAAUUAUAGUUGUGUAUUUAAGUUAUUUUUUUGAUUUUGAUUUCAAAGUUUUUUUGGGCAAAUUUUACUAAAUGUUGUAUCAUCUUAUUGUUAUAUGGGCAAAUUUUAGUAAAUGUCAUAUUAUCAGAUUAUUUUAACUCCCUAUAUUAAUGAUUUUUUGAAUUUUUCCAUAGAUUAAAAUAAAUGAAUUGUUAAAAUUCAAGAUAAUCGUUGAUGUUUUUUUCUUCAUAUAGACUCCAGGAAGUAGUGGCUGACCCAAAAUUUUAAUAAAGAAGUUUAAAAUCUAGAAAAAAAAUGUACACAUGAACUAGCAAAAGGAGGUUCAACAUCUAAUACAUGUACCUAAUAAUUUAUUUUAAUUAUAUAUAAAUUAUAUUGCUGGGAGUAAUAAAUAUAUCUAUUGACGACCACAGUGGUUUGGAGAUAACAAGUAUACGGUUAUCUGAGUCAUUUUUUAGUUGUUAAGAAAAAUAUAAGUGUUUUGAUUGAUUCUUGAAUUUCAAAUUAAUGAUUUUAUUCCAGCAAGUUUCUGUCAUUUUUAAUUUUUCGUUCUUCUUUUCUGAAAAUUACUAAUUGUAUUAUGCUUUAGCUUCUUUUCUGAUUUGUUUGUUAUUCUUUUUUUUUUUGGAGAUCACUAAUAUUAUGAUAUUGUAUCAACGCGUAUGAUAGCAUUAUCAACGCGUAUAAUAAUAACUUAAAAUAUAUAUAUAUAUAUAUAUAUAUAUAUAUAUAUAUAUAUAUAUAUAUAUAUAUAUAUAGGUAGAUAUUGACCAAUUGAUCAUUAUGCUUAUUUAUGUUGAAAAAUAUUAUAAAUAAAAGACGAUGAAAUAAGGUCAUUAUAAAUUUUGCUAAUGAUCAGUUCAAUAUUAUAAACCUAUUGAGGAUAUUACUUUAAAGUGUUGGCGUUCAUAAUAUAAUCCUGGAGUAAAAGUGAAAAAAACGUGAGGAAUUUUUUUAUUUCCGUGGUUGUAAGUUUUAAUGAUAAAAUAGCUCCUUGUCACAUGAUUUAAGAAGGGACUUGAAAAAUUAAUCCAAAAAUACAAUUUAGCUAGAAUUUAAAUAAAAAGUAACCGACUGAAAAAGAUACCUAUCCGUUAUAAUUAUCUUAUGAGAGAUAGAAUGAAACUUGACAUGUGUAUGUAAAAUCACUAAAUGCAAAAUUGCGAAAAGCUUUCACUUUCACACCACGGAUGUGAAAAAUAUUAUUUAUGCAAUUUGAUGUUGAUUGCAAAGUUUUUUUGGGAAAAUUUUAUUAAAUAUUAUAUUAUCUUAUUGUUUUUUGGGCAAAUAUUAUUAAAUGUCAUUAUCAUAUUAUUUAACUCCCUAUAUUAAUGAACUUUUGAUUUUUUUUCAUAGUUUAAAAUAAAUGAAUUGUUUAAAUUUAAGAUAAUUGUUGAUUUUUUUUCUUCAUAUAGACUUCAAGAAGUAGUGGCGAAGUCAGAAUUUUUAAUAAGGGGGUUCAAAAUCUAGAAAAAAAUAUAUACACACAACAUAGAGAAAAGGGGUUCAACAUCUACUUUUAUGUACCUACAAAAUUAUUUUAAUCAUAUAUAAAUCAAACUGUAGGGAAUAAUAAAUAUAUCUAUUAACCAAAGUGGUUUGGAGUUAACAAGUAUACGGUUAUUUGAGUUAUAUUUUUUAGUUUAAAAAAAAGUAUGACUGUUUUGAUUGAUUCUUGAAUAUCAAAUUAUUGAUUUUAUUCCUAUGAAUGUAUGUCAUUUUUUAUUUUUUGUUCUUCUUUUCUUAAAAUUACUAAUUGUAUUAGGCCUAAUUAAAGCUUCUUUUCUGAUUUGUUUGUUAUCUACAUUUUUUAAGUUAUUUUUUCUUCUGUUUUGGAGAUCACUGAUGUUAUGAUAUUGUACCGUACCCAGCUUAUUCUUUUUUACAUGUCAUAAUUAUCGAACACAUCCAUUUUAAUUCUUAUAUAAUCAGUUGACUGAGUUCUUGUCAAAAAUUUGGCUAAACACUUUUUAGUUACUACUUAAAGUAUUUUUUAAAAUUGAUUGAUCAAAAACGAAUUGCUUCUCACAUAAGAUUUUCUUUUUUAGAAAAAAAUUACUAGAAAAAAUAUUUUUUUUAAAAUUAACUAAUUUCAAUAAAUUGAUGAAACAAAUUUCAAGCUUCGGUCCUACUUUAUCAUAUUAGUUGUAUAUUAAAGUUUUCUUAUACAUUUACAGAAAAAUAUGUAAACAAUAAUCAUAAGAGUUAAGAGGAAUCUUAUUAUUCAAUUCAGUUUGUUGGUUAUUUAAAAUUUUACAUUAUCAGUGACGAUUCGAUUUUUUACCUUGCAAUUUUCUUUUCUACACCGAAUAUAAAUAAAUAAAAUUAUACAUGUCUAAAUUGUCCUUUUACCUUUUCAAAAUACACAAUUAAUUAAAAUUACUUCAGAAGUAAAAUAAUCUUUAUUUUAUGAAAUUAUAUUGAAUAUAUUAUUAUUAUGAUGAUAAAAAUCAUGAUGAUUGAUCAUGGAAAAAAUUAAUAAAGUUUUUUUAUAUUUUUAAAUUUUAAAAUAAUUUUAAUUUGCUAAAGCUAUUAGCCAAAUAAUAUGAUUAGGACUAAAGAUAUUGAAACUUAAUUUUAUAAUAACAUUGAGGUGUGCAUCUUCUGUUCAGUAAAAUGACAUUGUUAUUGCUUUUAAGAAAAAAUACAUAAAUUUCCUCUUCUUUCAAAAUAUAAGCUACUUGUUUAAAUUAUUAUAAAGAUGUAUUAUAUAUUUAUUAUUUAAAAAUAAAUUUAUUACUAUUUAAAUGUAUAAUAUCAUUCUUACAAUAUGUGAUGUAUUACACUAGGUGCUACUUCAAUGUUAUGUCAGCGCCACAUCAGAAACUAAUUCUUUUAUGUUCUUUUUCUUUUGUUUUCUUUAUGAUUAACACCAACUCAUCACCAACACAAUCCUUCCUCCACAAUGGUGUUCCCUCUUCUUUUUUGACAAACUAGUAGCCACCAAACGAACGCCCAAAAACAACCACCCAAAACUUCAAAUCAAUCAUCGUCAACAAACUCCGAAUGAAACCCCUUUUCCUUAUCCCUUUUUUAUUUUAUUUUUUAAUUUAUUUUGCAGGAGUUCUAGCGAGCUCAAAGCUUCUGUCAUGAUUCUGAUAACGUCCCGAUAAAUUCCGCACUUUCAGAUCUGAACAACUAAUAAAUAAUCACAACGAUAAAUACCACUAGAUUAUCGUCAUUGUGAUGCUUUUAGGUUGUGGAGGGUACGUAAGGAGGAUUUUUGUUUCUUUAUUGAUUUUUAAGUUUUAAUUUUCCUAACUCGUGUGUUACUUUUUUGGUUAAUUUUUGUCAUUUCAAUUUUAGGAGUGAAUAAAUUUACUUUUAAAUAAGUUAGAAUGUAUAAUAGAUAAACAUGAUAAUUCAAGUGAAUAGUCAUAUUUUUCAGAAAAAUUCAAAGAAAAUCUAUGUCUUAUCUCAAUUCAAUUAUAAUAAGGGGUGAGGACGAAAAACCUCCUGACUUGAGUUGUAUGAUUGCAAAUUUAUAUGUGUGGUGUUAGGAGAUUUAGAUGAAACAAAAGUGAAAACUUUGUAAGUUCGAAAAAUAUUAAAUUGAAAAAUUUAUUAAAAUUGCUCUUUUAAUUUGAACUUGAAACUUAUUUUGUGAUUCGUUUUUUAAAGAAUAUUCAUCAAACAUUAUUAGAAAACUUACAGAAAUUUCAUUAGUUAAUUUGGAAUACAAUAUUUAGAUAUAUUUUAGUUUGUAAUAGUACAAAUUUUCUAUUAAAUUUUGAUGUGUCCAGAUAAUCCAUAUACAUAUAUCUCAUGAUAUAAGGAUAGAUACACUAUAUUCACUAACCCUAAAUCAUCUCUAGUAAUAGCAGCAAUUCAAAUAUUUGAAAACUUGAAUAUUUUUGCCCCUGAAAUUCAGUUGUGGUUAUUGAGACUAAUAUGUAGAGCUUAAUUGCAUGCUCUAGAGUCUUAUAUUGUUUUCCCUCCACUUGAGAAGGAUACUUUGGUUAUACCAGUAAAAUGAUGAUUGGGUAAAAAAUUUGCUGGUAUGACCAAAGUAUCAUCCUCAAGUCGAGGGAAAAGAAUAGAAGACUAUAGAUAAUGCAGUUAAGCAUUAAAAUCUGAAAGCUCUGCAUAUCAGUUUCAAUAACUACAACUCUUUCAAAUAUAUGCAUUGCUUCGAUUACUGGAGGAGAUCUAGGGAAAGUGGAAGAAACAUUCAAAAGGCCUCUUUAUCAUGAGCAAGUAUAUCGAAAAUUAUUAGAGUGAGAAACGAAAUGAAUACCAAACAAAUCCGGCUAACACAUUUGCAAACUCUACUUACUAUGCACUGUAAAGUGUUAAUUCUUAAAAUCAUUGUUUUUUCUAAAAUCAUAUCUUGCACAAGAAGUAGGAUUUUUAUACUGACCCACCUAUCAAGAGGUACUUCAGAAGAAAGUUUCGACAAAAGGAUAAAGAGUUUAAGAGUUCUGGACAAACACAACUGCUAUAGCAUAUAGACCUGUUCCCUGGAUUUGCUCCAGUGGUUGGUCUAGCAGUUAUAUUAUUCCUAGUUUGUAGUUUAUGGUGUCAGUCUUAUCCUAUUAUGUUCUAUAUAUAUGUAAUAGGAUUAGUUAUUUGGGGUAUGCGAUUAAGAAUUAAAACUACUAUAUUCUGGAGUAUUGUCCUCUCCAUACGGACAACUUUAUUAGUAUAAUUGUUUUUAAGAUUCUUGCACAAACUAUUGCCAACAAAUUUAGUUGUUUUUUUUUAUUUCUUCGGUUCUGUACUUCUGGUUAAUAUCAGUUUGUAUCAUAGCAGAUCGAUCCAACAUGGUCAUUACCAGAUUGUCUAAUUCACAAGAAGGCGUUCACAAUGCUGAUUCUCUUGUCUAACAAAUAUUUGUCACAGCAUCUAAAGUAAAUAAGACUGAAUCACUUGCAGAAGAUGUUGCAACGUUGAAAGCCCAGUCUAGUUUCCCUCAACAAGAAGAAUCCAGUCACCGAAACCAUAAUAGAGGAAAAUCUGCAUAGCAAGAAAAGGAAGAAGACAUUGAUAGUCCAGCUUGGCCAAAAAAUACUUUCCCAAGGCCAUACACCGAUGAGGAUGGAUUUUGAAAGCAGAAAAUUAUUUCUGCUAUGAAUAAACUCAAGAGGAACAUUAAGUUGACAUUGCAGCGGUGUAUUUGGAAGGGGAUGCUGCUGUGGAUCUCUUUUCUUGGAUAAAUCGUGAGCUAACUUUACUUUAUUGGGAAGAACUUUUUAAAAAAGCAUUGCAAGAAAAUUAUGGUCCGGCAGAGUUUCAAAUUCCCGACAAGCACCUUUGUAAAAUUCAACAAACGGGUUUUAUACUGGGUAUCGUCAAGAAUUUUCGAAACAUUCGUCUAGGGUAAUAAACUGGAUGGAUCACUGUCUCUUUGGAGUGUCGUUGAAUGGGUUGAAAGAGGAACUUAAAUCCGAUGUCAGGAUUACAAACCUAGAACUACUAUGAGUUUGGCACUUGAAUUUGAAAAUAAAUUAGGCCCAACUCGAAGCAAUAGAGUGCCUAACUUGACCCAAAUCAACAAACCCAUUGUACAACCAUUGAAUUAUGUGGAAACACCCAAAACAAUUCUUCCUUUACACAUCAGAAUCCACGCAACAAUGUUUCUUCCAACCCAGUCGUUUCCCAACCUCUUCAAAUGCAGGCAUGGGAACUAAGGAGAAAUCUUAUGGCACAAGGACUUUGUUAUCAUUUCCAUGAGAAAUUUGCACCCGCUCAGAUGCAAAUCUGCAAAACUAUCUCUCAUGGAGAUUACCAGAGAAGAUCGUUUGGAAAAGGUUGAUGAGGUCAAUGUAGUAGUUGGAGAUAAACCUCAAGAAACAGACAUUGCUGAAAUUUCUUUCAAUGCCAUUUUGGGACAGUCAAUUGAUGCUACAAUGAAGUUUCAGGGUGAGAUCAACCAUAGAAAGGUUUUAACAUUCUGUGUGCAAAUAGGGAAUGGGUACAUCAUAUGGUGCAAAAAAGUUUGCUCGAAAUCUUUAAAUUCAAUCCAAGAUUACUACCCUUUUGUAAUUGGAGGGCUGAUUUGGUUUUUGGUAUCAAAUUGUUGGCUACUCACAAGACAAUUUAAGCUAACUAGAAGGAUAUGUUCAUAAUUUUCGAUUGGCAAGGGAAACAUUACAAAUUGCAAUGCUUGAGAUCAACAGAUUCAGCCACAACUUCUCUCCAAUAUUUAACAUGCUAUCAGAAAGUCCACGUAAUCCAAUCCAAACACUUCUAGAUUAAUUUCAGUUGUAGUUUCUGAACCAACGUCUCUUCUACCAUUUAGAGCACAUUCUCAUGUUAUUCCUCUGCUACCAAAUUCUAACCUCCAAACAUUAGACUUUAACAUUACCCACAUGACCUUACCAUUGCCCACAUGGUCAAAAUACUGUAACUGAGAACCAAGUUGCAGCUUUAUUAAAAUUUGGUUUCAUACGUCCUAGUUCAAGUCCCUUGGCAAGCCAAUUUUGCUAGUGUAAAAGAAAGAUAACUUUUGGCAGAUCUGUGUGGGUUACUGCAGCCUAAACAAAAUUAUAGCUUCAGACACAUACCCAUUCCCUAUAUAGAUGAGUUAUUAGAUGAAUUACAUGGAGCCACAAAUUUUUCUAAAAUUGACCAAGAAAGAUGCUUUUUCCCAGCAUGCAAAAUUGGAAGAGGUUUUCCAAAAUUUAAAGAGGAUCUUGACAUCAGUAACGGUGCUUCGUCUUCCCAACUUUACUCAAAAGCUUACAGUUGAGUGUGAUGCACUCUUAGCCUUUAGGGUUUACACAUCAGACUUCAGACUCUUUAUAGUGACUUCAUAGUUAACACUCAAAUUUCACAAUCAUAUUCCAUAUAAAGUAAUUAAUUACGUAAUAUUAUAUUUAAACUAAUAACACAAUACAAUACAAUAGGCUACAACCAUUCAAACAGUGUGUUACUGUUGGUUGGCCACCAUUAGUUUGAGGGGAUGUUAAUCACCAUCAAUUACAAUCUCUACCUACCAAAAUUCUCUUAAAAUAACUAAAAAUAUGGUACAGUGCUACAGGAAAUAAGACAUGGGAAAGAAAUCACAAAAAAUUUGGCAUGGUGCUAUAAAAAUAGAUUAUGAGAGAGUAUCACCAGAAAGAUACGUAGUUACCCAAAUUUUUCUUAUAUAAUUGUUGGACAGAGGUCUAACAUCUCGUAACUAGAAUUAACUAAGAAUAAGCUAAGAAGCCAAGAAUAAUUAUUUUUGAAAAUAAGUAAGGAAAUCGGGAAAAUUUUCAACGAGUUUUGGUCAUUUUCAAAAAGACAUAACUUCCAUCUCAAAAGAAGUUUGGGUGAGUUCUUUAUAUGGUUGUAAAUACCUUGAGAAGAUCUUUCCAAUGCUGCCGAGUUUGCAUAACUCCGAUGUCGUAUGAGGGAGAAAUGUCUUUCAGAAGUUGGGUUAUUGGACUAAGGAAAGUCCAAUCCGAAUUUUAGUAAAGGCAAAGUUGUCUUUUCACCCUAGUAUUUCCUAAUUUUUUAAGGUUAUAUUAGGGGUGAAAACAAGCCCCAAAUAAGUUUUUCAAUAUUUCAGAACGCUUAGGGUUUGGGAGAAAAUGAGAAAAGAAUAUGAAGACCAAGAAUCGUCCAUUUAAGCCAAGAUCGUUGCAUGGAUUUCGUCGGAGGUGAUCUCUAUCAAGGUAUGUGAGAUCAUUCGGUGUUGGUUCCUUUCACCCACCCUAAAACUUGAUUCAAUACAAUAAUUUGAAGUUAUUCGAAUGAAAAUCUUAAAGUUCUAGAUGAAAAGUUGUGAAGUUCUUGUUGAUUGAAUUUUAGAAUCUCUAGUAGUUUUGAUUCAUGUUUCUGUACUGUUUUCGGGUCUAAACAAUUGGGUAAUGAGUUAAUUAGGGAUCCUAAGUGUUUGGGAUGGAUUUAUGGGAUUUUGGGAGGUUUACAUAUGAAAAAUGAAGAAUAAAAGUCGGAGGUCCCGUCAGACACCUCUUGGGGUGCUGCGCCUGCCAGAGCGCCUCAAUGAAGGCUCUGUCUGAUAGGCCUUGACGCGGCGCGCCAGCCAUAGCUCCCCCGACUAGGGUCUAUCAAAUAGGCCCUAGCUCUCCACACCUCUCACAACGCCAAUAACCCCUGGAGACCCCGUUCUUUCUCUAUCUUUUGUUCUAGUUCCUAAGUGAUGUACCCUUCAUUCCUAGUUGAUUCCAACACUUUAGAUUACAUAUAAACAUCAUGAAAUCAUUAAUAAACAUGAUAUCAUGAUCCUUGAAUCCAUAAUCCAAAUUCAAGGGAAGUUAGAACCAAAGUCAAGAAAGUAAGAAGUUAAGUCUAAAGUUAUAAAGUGAGUAAAAGUAAAGUUUUCAAAGUUCUUAGAGUCUUACGUAAACAUUUUUUAUUUUUUUAAGGCUCAAGUUCGAGUAAAUGAAAAGAUUAAAGGUUGAGUUCAUUUCUCAAAAAGGUAUAAAAAGGUAUACGGGUACUAAGUAUUCCCUAAGAGUUAAAUUUUCAAGUUAAGUAAAAGCAAGAGUUGAGGCCAUUCCUCUAAAGUUAUAAAGGGGACUAAGUAUUCCCUAAAGGCUGAGAAAUGUUUUUACAUUUAAUUUAAAAGGAAACUAAGAAGUUUCAAAAGAGUUUUAAACUAAAGAGGGGAACAUUGUUUCCAAAAGGAUCUUUUUAAGCUUAAGGGUUCAGUAAAUUAUCUCAACCAAAAGGAAAGAAGUUUUAUUAAAACUAUCAGUUAAAUUACGUUUUCGGAGUAGUAUUGAGCAUUGAUGUGGGAAUGAGAGUUCAAAUAAAUCAAGUCCGCAUGUAAACCAUGUAGCCUUCAUGGGUAUUAGCGUGUCAUACUUUUUAGAUGAUCACUUAAGGUUAGCCAGUGGAUCCACUAGGUAGAGGAUGUUUUAUGCAACGACAAAGUAUAGACGCUAUAUCACCACUUAGGCUAAUAGUGGUGGUUGUCGGUUAGAGAAAUUCCCACCGGAACUAUAUUACUUUCAUUUUUAAGUAAAGCUGAAUUUGUUAUUGUUAUAUCUUUAAUGAACUAAUAAAUACGCUAUUUUAUCAAUUUUACAUAAAUAUAUGUCAUUACUACUUUAUAUUGAGUUGGUAUCUUAUUAGUUAAGUAGAGCCAAGGUAUAUUCUUGCUUACUCCAUUUCAAGAUUUAUAGUUGUGUUUAUCACUCUAACUCACAUACUCGUACAUUCAAUGUACUAAUGUCAGUUGACCUGCAUUAUCUUAUAAUGCAGAAGCAGGUAUCAAGAUCAGCAUGCAGCGCUUCGUUGAUCCAGAUUGAGUUCCAGAGUUAGUGGUGGGUCUCUUUACAUUCUAGAGGACAUCUUUUUCAUUCUUUUACUAGUUUCGCUUUAGGAUAUUGUGAGGUCUAUCCCGACAUCCCUCUUCAGUCAGUUUAGAGGCUUUGAAGACUGUGAGUAGUUCAGUUUGGAGUUAUUUUACUUGCUGAGACUUAAGUGUCAUUUUUGCCAGAUUAAUUUAUGAAGUAUUUGUUUUUAAAUAUUUUUUAUUCUUGUUUGAGUUGAGUUUAGUUUUCCACUGAGUUAUGUAAGUCAGGCCAAGGGUUCGCUUGGGGGCCAGAAAUGGUCUUCGAGUGUCGGCCACAUCCAGGGUGUAGGCUCCAGGCGUGACAAGACGGGCGACAAUGUAUGAGUAAUAGUCACCCAUUUACAACGGAAGCUCUUUGAUUCUUUAGAAAGAUUGAAAAGGCUAUGAUAUCAUAUGAACAAGAUAAAAACCUUGAGUAAUGGAACGUAAAAAUUUGAGUUGAAGGGUUAAAAUGGAACAAGGUUGAGUUCGAAUGUCAAAAUAAAAUUUAAUGACAAGUUUAAGGAUUUGCACAUAUGUUUGGUCAUUUUUAUUCCUUUAGAAUGAAGAAUAUUAUCUCCUUAGAAGAUUUCAAGAAAACUAUGCAUGUCAAAUUAUUUAACAUGGUAAAUACAAUUAAAGAAAAUAAUAUACAAAUAUAUUGUGUAAUUAACUAUAUAUGGUAGGUAGAGAUUCUAAUCGAUGGUAAUUAAUAAUAUAUAAAGAGAGAGAGGAAUACACUUGGAUUCAAUGUAUUUAGAAUAAAUUACACCUAAUUUUGAAUCAUGUAUAUAUGAGAUACAUGUAAUUAGACGCGACAAAUACAUGUAUCGAGAGACCAAAAUUAGACACAAUUAUAAUUUCAAAAACUCAUGAAAAAGACAUUUAUUAAGCUCUAUACAAAUUAAAUUUACAGUAUUACCCUAUUAAAUUCAGUAAUAUUCGAAUGGAGAAAUUAUAGAAAAAUAUAAAAUUUAAUCAAUUUUACCAAUAAAACAAGGGAAAAGGGUCUGAUAUACCCCUCAACUUUGUGAUUUAGAGCUGAUAUACCCCUCGUUAUAAAAGUGGCUCAUAUAUACCCCUACUUGUAAACAAAUGGCUCACAUAUACCCUUUUCUCCUAACGGAAAUGAAAAAAAAAUUAAUCUAAAUUUUUAUUAUUUUUUUCUAAAAAAUAUAAUCUCAUAUGAGUAAAUUUAAUCCUCGUUAAACAUAAUUUUUUUGACUUUUUUUGUUCUAAUGACUAAUUUAUAAUUAUUAUUUUGAUAAUCAAAUUUAUUUAUGUUUCACUAAUAUUCUUGUAAAAACUUAUUGUAGAUGACCAAAUUCUUUCUUCGAAUACGAAAUUAAAUUACAAUACACACAAAAAAAAAUAGUUUAAAUUUUUUUCUUUAAACUAAGGAAUGAAAAAAAAAACAAAAUAAGAAUAAGAAACUCAAAUAAUAAUAAUAAAAUAAGUCAAAAAAUUAUGUUUGAAAAAAUUAAAAUAUACAUUGAACUUUUAUAGAAGAAUCAUAUAUACCCCUAAAUAAUUUCUUUAAAAAAAUUAGAAGUAAUAAAUAUAAAUUUAAAACUAAUUUUUUAACUUCCGUUAAAUGAAGGGUAUAUGUGAGUCUUGUUGUAACGGCAGAGGUAUAUGUGAGCCGUUUGUAUAACGGUAAGGGCAUAUAUGAGCCACUUUUAUAACGAGGGGUAUAUUAGCUUCAAAUGACAGAGUUGAGGGGUAUAUCAGACCUUUUUCCCAUAAAACAAAGUAAAAAAAAUACAUCUAACUUUUUACUCUUUUUAAAAUGGAAAAAUAAUAAUUAUAAAAUGAAUUUAUAACUAACAUGUGUCACUCACUAUUAAGUGGUUACCUCUUGGGAUCAAUUUCCAAGGUCCUUCCUAAAUCACGUAGUCAUAUUAUUCCAAAAACAACCGUGUAUCACUUUUCAACAGCUAUUUUGUCAUUUAUUAAAUCAAUGGAAAUGAAAUACCGCUUCACGCUUUCUGUACCUUCCCACCCAUAAAUCUUCUCCUUUAUAAGCUCCGAAAUGGCCUAAUAUUUUCUCCACCCUGAAGCUUUUAUGGAGUUUUUCUUUUCCCACUUUAUAAUUUUUUUAGUUCAAAAUGCAAUAGCUUUUACAGAUUUUUAGAUUUUUCUAACAUGGAGAAAGCUAAAGAAAAUAUAGGUGUUUUACUCGAAAAAAUAAAAUAUAAAGAAAAAUGACUAAGUUUUCGACAAAAUCGAUUUAACUUACGAUUUAAGACAAAAUCGAAUUUCCAAAAGAAACAGAGUCACCACUUAAUUUUUUAAUAAAGAUCAAGAAAAAACUUUGCGUUUUUUCAAAAAGAUUUAAACAGAUAAAAUAAAUUUGAAAAAUAGGUCUGAAGUUCAAUGUAAGGUUUUAGGCCCUCGGAAUGCCCGCUUACCUGCGGUUGACCGACGAUUUGACUAAAAUCACUUUUCAAAUAACUUUCAAAAUUUUAAUUAAGUAAGAAAAAUUUAUUUUUUUAUUGUUUUUUACUUAUUAUUAUUAUUAUUAUUAUUAUUAUUAUUAUUAUUUUCAUUAUUAUUAUUAUUAUUAUUAUUAUUAUUAUUAUUAUUAUUAUUAUUAUUAUUAUUAUUAUUAUUAUUAUUAUUAUCUUAAGUGAAAAGGUCUAAGGGAAUUUUUCUAAAGGGAAAUUACUUAAAUGUUGAUCAAGACCAAUAUCAAAUAAAAGCUAAGUAAUUUUCUUUAAAAUAAAUAUUCAUAUUUUUUUAAUAUAAAGAGAAAUGACUAUCUUGGAAAUUUAAUUAAAUUAAAUCAAAGGAUAAAUAAAGUAAGUCAAAACAAUACAAUAUAAGUAAAAAGGAAGCGAGUAUCAAAUUUGGGCAAAAAUUCCAAAUCUUCAAAACUUGUCCCGAGUCUCAAAAUGACCCAUAAUGGACCUUGUCCAUUUUUACACCUGUUGGACCUGCUGCAACUUUCCUUGGGCUUUCGCUUAUUUUCGUGCCCAAAAAUCAGCAAAUACACUGAUUAUAUACUGCCGUAUAUGAGCUGUAUUUUAGUUCUUCCCUGAAUAUUGGAUUGUAUACUCAAUGUCAUCCUAGUUCAUCCCCUCAAGCACUUGUAUUAAUUUUUGGACCUGUAUUCUAGCUUCCAUUUCGCUAUUUCAGCUUCCGAAACUCGAAUAGUGAUGAAGGCCCACUCGAUAAAGAAGUUUUGGAUUUCCACCAGCCUGAAGAGCAAAGGAAAUGCAAACAUAUGGAAAAACAAUAAAAGAAUUAGAAUAGGAACACAAAUGCUAACAAAUAUACUGUAAUGUAAUUAACUCAUAAUGAAGAUAAACACAUAGUUCACAUGAGAAACUAAGAGUAUGGUCAUAAACUAAGACAAGAUAAAGAGAAGGGAGCUUUCUUAAUUUCGAAAACUCACAACAGCUAAGUGAGAGGAGUAAGGUAAGGCAUACCAAAAAUAGCUCACAUUAUGAACAAAUAAUUAAUAGAUAACAAGAUCCCAAAUACAAAUAACGAAAAAAGGCCUAAAAUACCUUCAAAAUAUUGGAUAUAGUAAUAACUAUCCUCUAUCCACCUAUUGGCUCCAAAAUGCCCUUUUCACCUGGCUCCAAAAUGCCCUUUUCAUUCACUUUUGGGUUCAAAUUAACCACUAAUUUAACGGUUUUAAAUUUAAACUAUUUGAAUGUUUUUGAAAAUAAUUGGCGCUCAAUUAUUGGAUAUAAUUUAAUUUAUUAAUAUCAUUUAUAAAUCUACCCCUAUCCACCCAUUACUAAUUAAGCCCCACCCACUUAAUAAAUUAUUUCUAAUAUCAAAAUCUUCUUAAACACUACUAAAGCACGACGAAGUUACCGAAUCUUGAAAAAUGACAUUUAAAAUUAUUUGAGUCCAAAUUGAAGCCCAAAUUAAAUUUAGGUUGAGCCGCUUAUUUAGGAAAACACUUUCAAUAGGAUUUUGUUUCAAGCUUGAAUUCGAAAUUUAUGAUUAAAGGUAAAGAAGAAGUACCUCUCGAAUUAAUUCAUGCACUAUUUUUAAUAUAAAUUUAUAAAUAUUUAUUAUUUGUUUUAAAUAUUAAAAUCUUAAUAUAUUCUUUUUUUAAAAAGAUUAUCGAUUAAGUAAUAUCACAUAAUUGAGGCGAAUGAAUAAUUAAUAUGAACAUAGCCAGACUUUUAAGUUUAUCAGUAAUUUUUAUUUAGACACUUGAGUUAUAAUAUGUUUUGAUUGAGGACUUGAAUGUUGAUAAUGUACUUCUGUAGACAUUUUCGCCUCAAAUUUUUAGAAAGACUCAUUGGUAGUAGCUUUCCUGUGGUGCAUUAGUAAUGGGGCGGGUUUAUUAAUUAGGCAUGGUUUAAUUAGUAAGGGAUGGGUAGUAGAUUUGCUUAUAAAUUAUAUUAAUAACUUAAAUUAUAAUAAAUAGUUAAGCUCUCGUGUAUUAAAAAAAUAUUUAAAUAAUUUAAAUUUAAAAUCAUUAUAUAAAUGGUUAAUUUUGGAUCCAAAGAUGGAUGAGAAGGGUAUUUUGGAGUCAAUAGGCGGAUGAGAAAGAUAUUUUGUAACUUAUAGGUGGAUGCAGAGUAAUUUUGUACCAUUUCUGAUACUUUAAGAAUAUUUUAGGCUCUUUUCCGUAUAAACAAAAUAGAGAUAGCAUAAUGCACACUAGACAAACAUCGCACUUUAUGCAAUAAACGAUACCCGCUCAUACAUGGAGACCUGGAGCUGCCAGCUUAUCAUACUAAAGGGGCAAGCUAGAUUACUUGAAGCAUAAAGAAGAAAAUAGCUUCAAUCAAAGAACUAACAAAAUGACAUCAUAAUUCAAAUCAAACAUGUUAAAUGAUGACAUAAACUACAUAAAUAAUGUCCAUUGAAAAUAGCAUGGUGGGGUAGAAAUACCAAAACACAUGAUAAAACCAAAGAAAAGACCAUACUUGAGACACUUUUAGAUGCAUACGUAUAUGCCACAAUAAAAUGUAGGCCUAGUUUAUUAGUGGCCUCCUAAACUUGGCAGAAACUUUCAGUUAGACACUUUCAUUAAGUUUUGUUCAAUUUAGACACCUCAUGUCGUGUCUCAUUGUGUCUUUAAAUACUUUUCGCUGACUAAGCAUGGUAUGUGUGCUACACUAAUUAAAAGCAGGUCAAAGACGUUUAUUGCAAAUAUUUUGACUUUUUUAUAAAUAUUUUGUUCUCCUUUUUCUUCUUUACUUUCUCCCUUUUCAUCUUCUUCACCUUUUACCAUCCUCAUCACCACACAACUUUUUAAAGAAAUAUUACAAUACUUUACUAGGAUACACUCUUUAUUUUCCAUCUCCUUUGAAAAUCGAAUUUGCAUCUUGAUUUAUAUUUAAAACAAAACCAAUUUCAAGGAAACAAAAAAUGAAAUCAACUUCUUCCAAAUGGACAAACUGAUUUACAUUCUUACCUUCUCCAUUGAAAUUACAAAAUUAAAUUGAUUUCAAGAGAUAAACAAAAUAAAGAACAACCUCCACUGAAAAAAAGAAAUUUAUUUUAUAAAUCCGUCAUUGUAAAUCUCAAUCAUAGUAGCACAAGAAAUCAUUUUCUUUUAAACGUCAUACAAAACCUUUUUAAUUUGAUAUGAUUUUUCAUAUUCUCCAACGUAUUUUACUUCGUGAACUAAUCUAUGCUCUUUGUCUUUUUGAAGGAGAAGAACAAAUCAAAAGGGAAACUAAAGACAAGAAGAAAGAAGAGAAGAGGUGGGGCAUGAGGUUUGGGAUCUGGAAGAAAUAAAAAGAAAGUAAAAGUAAUUUAUUAAAGAAUAAAAUAAAAUUUCUACCUGUCAGAUUUGUUUAUUUUUCAUAUAAGUGGCGUCUGGAUGUACACACUUAAAAUGUGGUUUUGAAAACAUAAAAAGUGUCAAAAUGAUACAAUGAGGUUUGACAUGAGGUGCUAAAAAUGAACAAAUCUUACUUAGAGUGUCCAUGUGAAAGUUGAUGCCAACUUUAAGGGGCCACCGAUAAGUUAUCCAUAAAAUUUAUAAGGGCCGCCCACAUUAUGGUAAACAAAUGAUUAGUGGUUAACAUAACUUUAUAUAAAGAGAAAAGCCAUGCUAGUACAAGAAAAAUGAAAUAAAAUUAUUAUAUACAUGGAACAAGCUAAUUUUGUUUACAUGAAAACAGAAACAACCUAACGACACACAGCUGGACCAAAUGAACUUUAAACGAUUUCGAACAAAGCAAAACGGAGACAUACUUAGCUUCCAAGAAACAAAAUUGAGCCAAAGGAUCUAGCAACGAACAAAUGACAUCAAAGGAGCUAAUGCUUAAGAACACGUUAAGCAUAAGAAUCCAAGCAAGACGAACCUGUGAUUCGAAACAACACGAAAGAUAAACUUAAACAAUUACAAACUGAUUCGAACAUCAAAUCGAGGAAUAACACAAUGAUCAGCCAAUAAGUCCACCACUAAAAAUAAUAAACCAUGGCCAUUCACAUUCGAACCGAGUGAGAAUGAAGCCAAAGAAAACCUAACAGAGACAAACUCAUCACAUAAUAAAUAAUAAACAAAGGAGUAGAUAUUACCUUUUCCCGUCAAACCAAACGAAACUGGACGAAGAAACCUCCAUAAAAAGAAUUGUUGUUGCUCUAUCAUUUGGGAAUUUCUUUUGGGGAUAAAGAAAUGGGCCGAGAAUUGAGAACAAAAGAGUGGGCUGCUGAAAAAAUGCUUUUAUAAAGGCCCAUAAUUUGGUCCUUUAAUAUGGGUUAGCUAAAUGAAUUAUUAAUUUAGCCAAAUCGAAUUUAAUUUGCAAAUUCAAUUGAAGUCUAAAUAAGAUGAAUUGAUAUAAUUAAUUUAGGAGCUUCUCAAUCUUAACAAAAUAAAAUAAUUAUUUCAACCAUAAACUAGUUGAUUUUUAAAAUUAACCAUAACCUAAACUAAACUAAUUUUAUAAAAUACUUACCAAAAUUAAAAUCUUUUCAGGAUUAUUUUUAAAUAUUUUUAAAAUAAACUAAUUACAUAAAAACAUAUUUACUAUUUAAAAAUUAUAAAUCUACUAAAACUACUCUAAAAUAACUUGAAAAACAUUUUGAAUUUUAUAAAGCUAAUUAUUUUAAAUCAAUCAAAAUUAAUGAAGCUCAAAAAUUAAACUAUGUGCGGAGGUCCAAAAUUUGGUAUCAACAAUAGGAACUUUAAGGAAUGUAGAAAAGGAAAAUUUAGGGUUUUCAUUGAAUGGUAAUUUUGAUGUUCACUAGAAAAAAUGAAUCAAUUUUUGUGAAUAAUUAAUAAAAUAUUCAUUGAAGUUUCCAGGUGGUGGAUCGCAAGGAUGUGUUGUUUCAAGUGUAGCCGAGGUUGAAAUCCAACAACGUCCUACUCAAGGUAUCAAGAAUUUACAAAUUGAUUUAUAUAUAUUUAUUCAAUUUUAAUAUUAUAUUUUUACCUUUAGUUCUCAAUGUGAAAUCAUCUUCAUUUGAAUAGAAAUCAUUGUCUACACAAAAGGUGAAGGACCAAAAAGAAAGAAAGAAGAUUGAACGACUUUUAUACUCGAUUAGAAAGAUAAAUAAAGUGAAGAUAGUUUUUCUUUGUCAUGGUAAUUUUCUGACCCCAGCCGAAUUUGUCAAACAUGUUGGUGGAGUUGACAGAAAACCCUUUAUUAUCUUAACAAAGGAAUAGCUUUUAUGUCGUUGUUGUUAUUUCAUCUUUCCUUGUUGUUGUACAGGAAGGACUAAGUUCCUCCUAUCUAAGAUAAUAAAGUUUUUUUAGGCAUCCCGCUUGUUUUGUUAUACUAUGCAUCACCAUUUUUCAACAUCAUCUCCACCAGCAUGUUUGACAGAUUCAGUGAGGUCAAAAAAUUGCCAUAGCAAAGACAAACUAUCUUCACUUCUCCUCCAUUGCUCAUUAGUAGCUUCGAUAAUUGCUACGAUCAGAUGCUGGAUUUGCUUGAAUGUGCCAUUGGCUGGAGGUAUCGCAUUAGAACUACAAUCCUUUUUCUUUUGUCUUGAUAAUUAGCUCUCUCCAUGUUAACAAAAACUAAAAAAAUAAGGAAGGUAUUGAAUUACAAACUAAAUAAACUCAAUAGGAAAAAAACUAUGUAAGUAUGAAAUUCACUUUUAUUGAUGAAUGUUUGGAGAAACCUUCAGCAAAUUGAGAGAUUAUAAAGGGAAAAAAUUGAGGUGUGCAAGUGGGAAAAACGUGAAGCGGUAUUUUAUUUCCGUGGGUGUAAGUGAAAAUGAUGAGAUAGCUCCUUGUCACGUGGUUUAAGAAGGGCCUUGAGAAAUUGAUCCAAAAAAAUAAUUUAGCUAGAGUCUAAAUAAGAAGUAAUCGACUGAAAAUGACACUUGUCUGUUGUAAUUAUCCAUUAAGAAACAUAAUGGAACUUGACAUGUGUCAGGAAAAUUAUUACAUGAAAAUUUGCACAAAGUUUUCAGUUUCACACUAUGGAUGUGAAAAUAUUAUUUAUGCAUUUCAUCGGUGAAAUCAAAGUAUUUUGGGCAUGUUUUAUUAAAUAUUGUAUCAUCUAAUUAAUUUUUGGGCAAAUUUUAUUAAAUGUUAAAUCAUCUAAUUAUUUUUUGGGCAAAUUUUAUUAAAUAUCAUAUUAUCAUAUUAACUCCCUAUAUUAAUGAAUUUUUUAACUUUUUAUAGCUUAAAAUAAAUGAAUUGUUUAAAAUUUAAGAUUAUUGUUGAUUUUUUUUUCUUUAUAUAGUCUCCAGAAAGUAGUGGCAGAGCAAGAAUUUUAAUAAGGGGGUUCAAAAUCUUACAAAUUAUACACACAAAGUAGUGAAGGGGGGUUCAACAUCUACUAUAUGUACCUAAAAAAAUAUUUUAAUCAUAUAUAAAUCACACUGGUAAAGGUAAUAAAUAUACCUAUUAACCACAGUGGUUUGGAGUUAACGAGUAUACGGUUAUCUGAGUUAUAUCUUUUAGUUUAAAAAAAUAUCAGUGUUUUAAUUGAUUCUUGAUUAUAAAAUUAAUGAUUUUAUUCAUACGAGUUUCUGUCAUAUUUAAUUUAUUGUUCUUCUUUUUUAAAAUUACUAACUGUAUUAGGCUUAAUUAAAGCUUCUUUUCUUAUUUGUUUGUUAUCUACAUUUUUUAAGUUAUUCGUUCUUCUGUUUUGGAUAUCACUAAUGUUAUGAUAUUAUAUCAAUGUGCAUAAAAAUAUUAUCAAUGUGUAUAAUAAUAACUUAAAAUAUAUAUAUAGGUAGAUAUUGAACAAUUGACCAUUGUGCUUAUUUCUUUUGAAAAAUAUUAUAAAAUAGAAGAUGAUGAAAUAAGGUCAUUAUAUACUUUGCUAACGAUCAGUUCAAUGUUAUAAACCUAUUGAGGAUUUUAAGUAAGUGUUCAGGUUCAUAAUAUAAUUCAGGUGUGAAAGUGGGAAAACUUCAAGAGGUUUUUUAUUUUCGUGGGUGUAAAUUUUAAUGACGAAAUAAAUGAAUUGUUUAAAAUUUAAGAUAAUUGUUGAUUUUUUUUCUUCAUAUAGACUUCAGGAAGUAGUGGAAGAGCUAGAAUUUUUAAUAAGAAAAUUCAAAAUCUGAAAAAAUAUAUGUACGAAGUAGAAAAAGAGGGUUCAAUAUCUACUAUAUAUAUGUAUCUAAAAAAUUAUUUUAGUCAUAUAUUAAUCACAAUGCAUGGAGUAAUAAAUGUAUCAAUUAACCAUGGUUUGGAGUUAGCAAGUAUACGGUUGUCUGAGUUAUAUCUUUUAAGUUCUAAAAAAGUAUCAGUGUUUUGAUUGAUUCUUGAAUAUAAAAGGGAUAAUGCCCAAAUACCUCCUCAACCUAUGCCCGAAAUCUCAGAGACACACUUAUACUUUACUAAGGUCCUAUUACCCCCUGAACUUAUUUUAUUAAUAAUUUUUUACCCCUUUUUAGCUUACGUGGCACUAUCUUGUGGGACAAACGAUGAUUGACUUUUUUUUUCGAACUAGUGCCACGUAAGCUAAAAAGGGUAGAAAAUUACAUAUAAAAUAAGUUCAGGGGGGUAAUAGGACCUUAGUAUGGCAUAAGUGUGUCUAUGGGAUUUCGGGCAUAGGUUGAGGGGGUACUUGGGUAUUUUCACAAUAUAAAAUAAUGAUUUUAUUCCUUUGAGUUUCUGUCAUUAUUUAUUUUUCGUUCUUCUUUACUAAAAAAAUUACUAAUUGUAUUAUGCUUAAUUAAAGCUUCUUUUCUGAUUUGUUUGUUAUCUAAAUUUUUUAAGUUAUUCUUUCUUUUAUUUUUGAGAUCAAUAAUCUUAUGACAUUGUAUCAAUGUGUUUAAUAAUAUUAUCACCAUGUAUAAUAAUAACUUAAAAUAUAUGUAUAGGUAGAUGUUGAACAAUUGAUCAUUGUGCUUAUUUCUUUUGAAAAAUAUUAUGAAAUAGAAGACAAUGGAAUAUGGUUAUCAUAAACUUUGCUAAUGAUCAGUUCAAUGUUAUAAACCUAUUUAGAAUAUUAAGUGUUUGUGUUCAUGAUAUAAUCCAGGUGUGGAAGUGGAGAAAACGUGCAGACAUUUUGAUUUUAGUGGUUGUAUCUUUUAAUGACGAAAUAGCUCCUUGUCACGUGAUUUAAGAAGAGCUUGGGAAAUGAUCGAAAAAUAUAAUUCAGCUAGAGUCUAAAUAAGAAGUAACCGAUUGAAAAUGACACAUGUCCGUUGUGAUUAUCUACAGAAAAACAGAAUGGAACUUGACACGUGCUUGAAAAAUUACUAAAUGAAAAUUUGCGAAAAAUUUUCACUUUCACACGACGGAUGUGAAAAUAUUAUUUAUGAAUUUUGAUUUUGAUUUCAAAGUUUUUUUGGGCAAAUUUUAUUAAAUGUUGUAUCAUCUAUUUGUUUUAUGGGCAAAUUCUAUUAAAUGUCAUAUAAUCAUAUUAUUUCAACUCCUUAUAUUAAUGAAUUUUUGAAUUAUUCCAUAGUUUAUAAUAAAUUAAUUGUUAAAAUUUAAGAUAAAUGUUUAUUAUUUUUCUUCAAAUAGACUCCAGCAAGUAGUGGCUGACCCAGAAUUUUAAUAAAGAGGUUCAAAAUCUGAAGAAAAAAAAUAUACACAUGAAAAGGGGGUUCAACAUCUAAUAUAUGUACCUAAUAAUUUAUUUUAAUCAUAUAUAAAUCAUAUUGCUGGGAGUAAUAAAUAUAUCUAUUGACCAGAGUGGUUUGGAGUUAACAACUAUACGGUUAUCUGAGUCAUUUUUUAGUUUUUAAGAAAAAUAUCAGUGUUUUGAUUGAUUCUUGAAUUUCAAAUUAAUGAUUUUAUUCCUGCAAGUAUCUGUCAUUUUUAAUUUUUUGUUCUUCUUUUAUGAAAAUUACUAAUUUUAUUAUGCUCAACUAAAGCUUCUUUUCUGAUUUGUUUGUUAUCUAUAUUUUUUAAGUUGUUUUGGAGGUCACUAAUAUUAUGAUAUUGUAUCAACGCGUAUGAUAACAUUAUCAACGUGUAUAAUAAUAACUUUAUAUAUAUAUAUAUAUAUAUAUAUAUAUAGAGAGAGAGAGAGAGAGAGAGAGACCAAUUGUUCAUUAUGCUUAUUUAUUUUGAAAAAUAUUAUAAAUAGAAGACAAUGAAAUAAGGUCAUUAUAAAUUUUUCUAAUGAUCAGUUCAAUAUUAUAAACCUAUUGCGGAUAUUAGUUUUAAGUGUUGGCGUUCAUAAUAUAAUCCUGGUGUGAAAGUGGGAAAAACGUGAUGAAUGUUUUUAUUUUUGUGUUUGUAAGUUUUAAUGAUAAAAUAGUUCCUUGUUACAUGAUUUAAGAAGGAACUUGAAAAAUUAAUCCAAAAAUUUAAUUUAGCUAGAAUCUAAAUAAGAAGUUACCAACUGAAAAGGAUACCUGUCCGUUAUAAUUAUCUUCUAAGAAUUAGAAUUGAACUGGACAGGUGUAUGUAAAAUCACUAAAUGCAAAAUUGCGAAAAGCUUUCACUUUCACACCACGGAUGUGAAAAAUAUUAUUUAUGCAAUUUGAUGUUGAUUUCAAAGUUUUUUUGGGCAAAUUUUAUAAAACGUUGUAUUAUCUGAUUGUUUUUUGAGCAGAUAUUAUUAAAUGUCAUUAUCAGAUUAUUUAAGUCCCUAUAUUAAUGAACUUUUCAAUUUUUUCAUACUUUAAAAUAAAUGAAUUGUUUAUAUUUAAGAUAAUUGUUGAUUUUUUUUCUUCAUAUAGACUUCAAGAAGUAGUGGCGGAGCCAGAGUUCUUAAUUAAGGGGUUCAAAAUUUAGAAAAACAAAUAUAUACACACAAAAUAGCAAAAAGAGGUUUAACAUCUACUAUAUGUACCUAAAAAAUUAUUUUAGUCAUAUAUAAAUCACAAUGCAUGGAGUUAUAAAUGUAGCAAUUAACCAUGGUUUGGAGUUAACAAGUAUACGGUUAUCAGAGUUAUAUCUUUUAAGUUCUUAAGAAAAAUCAGUGUUUUGAUUGAUUCUUGAAUAUCAAAAUAAUGAUUUUACUCCUAUGAGUUUCUGUCAUUUUUAAUUUUUCGUUCUUCUUUUCUAAAAAUUUACUAAUUGUAUUAUGCUUAAUUAAAGCUUCUUUUCUGAUUUGUUUGUUGUCUACAUUUUUUUACUUAUUCUUUCUUUUAUUUUGGAGAUCACUAAUCUUAUGAUAUUGUAUCAACGCGUUCAAUAAUAUUAUCACCAUGUAUAAUAAUAACUUAAAAUAUAUGUAUAGGUAGAUAUUGAACAAUUGAUAAUUGUGCUUAUUUCUUUUGAAAAAUAUUAUGAAAUAGAAGAUAAUGGAAUAAGGUUAUUAUAAACUUUGCCAAUGAUCAGUUCAAUGUUAUGAACCUAUUGAGAAUAUUAAGUGUUGGUGUUCAUAAUAUAAUCCAGGUGUGAAAGUGGAGAAAACGUGCAAACGUUUUUAUUUUCGUGGGUGUAAGUUUUAAUGACGAAAUAGCUCCUUGUCACGUGAUUUAAGAAGGAGCUUGGGAAAUGAUCAAAAAAUAUAAUUUAGACAGAGUCUAAAUAAGAAGUAACAGACUGAAAAUGACACAUGUCCGUUGUGAUUAUCUAUUGAAAAACAGAACGGAACUUUACACGUGUUUGAAAAAUCACUAUAUGAAAAUUUGUGAAAAAAUUUACUUUCCCAAUAUGGAUGUGAAAAUAUUAUUUAUGUAUUUUUAUUUUGAUUUCAAAGUUUUUUUGGGCAAAUUUUAUCAAACGUUGUAUCAUCUAAUUGUUUUAUGGGAAAAUUUUAUUAAAUGUCAUAUUAUCAGAUUAUUUUAACUCCCUAUAUUAAUGAAUUUUAAACUUUUCCAUAGUUUAUAAUAAAUGAAUUGUUAAAAUUUAAGAUAAUUAUUUUUUUUUCUUCAUAUAGACUCCAGGAACUAGUGGCUACCCGGAAUUUUAAUAAAGAGGUUCAAAAUCUGAAGAAAAAAAGUAUACACACGAACUAGGAAAAAGAGGUUCAACAUCUAAUAUAUGUACCUAAUAAUUUAUUUUAAUCAUAUAUAAAUCAUAUUGCUGGGACCAAUAAAUAUAUCUAUUGAGCACAAUGAUUUGGAGUUAACAAAUAUACGAUUAUCUGAGUCAUUUUUUAGUUUUUAAGAAAAAUAUCAGUGUUUUGAUUGAUUCUUGAAUUUCAAAUUAAUGAUUUUAUUCCUACAAGUUUCUGUCAUUUUUCAUUCUUCUCUUCCAAAAAUUACUAAUUGUAUUAUGCCUAAUUAAAGCUUCUUUUCUGAUUUGUUUGUUAUCUAUAUUUUUUAAGUUAUUCUUUGUUUUGUUAUGGAGAUCACUAAUGUUAAGGUAUUGUAUCAACGUAUAUUAUAACAUUAGUAGCGCGUAUAAUAAUAACUUAAAAUAUAAAUAUAUAUAGGUAGAUAUUGAACAAUUAAUCAUAAUGCUUAUUUAUUUUGAAAAAUAUUAUAAAUAGAAGACGAUGAAAUAAGGUCAUUAUAAAUUUUGCUAAUGAUCAGUUCAAUAUUAUUAACCUAUUGAGGAUAUUACUUUAAAGUGUUGGCGUUCAUAAUAUAAUUCAGGUGUGAAAGUGGGAAAAACAUGAAGAAUUUUUUUAUUUUCGUGGUUGUAAGUUUUAAUGACAAAAUUAUUCUUUGUCACAUGAUUUAAGAAGGGGCUUGAAAAAUUAAUUCAAAAAUGCAAUUUAGCUAGAAUCUAAAUAAGAAGUAACCGACUGAAAGGGAUACCUGUCCGUUAUAAUGAUCUUCUGAGAAAUAGAAUGAAACUUGACAGGUGUAUGUAAAAUCACUAAAUGCAAAAUUAUGAAAAGCUUUCACUUUCACACCACGGAUGUGAAAAAUAUUAUUUAUGCGAUUUGAUGUUGAUUUCAACGUUUUUUGGGCAAAUUUUAUUAAAUGUUAUAUUAUCUGAUUGUUUUUUGGGCAAAUAUUAUGAAAUGUCAUUAUCAGAUUAUUUAACUCCCUAUAUUAAUGAACUUUUUAUUUUUUCAUAGUUUAAAAUAAAUGAAUUGUUUAAAUUUAAGAUAAUUGUUGAUUUUUUUUUCUUCAUAUAGACUUCAAGAAGUAGUGGCGGAGCCAGAAUUUUCAAUAAGGGGGUUCAAAAUCUAGAAAAAAAUAUAUAUACACACAAAGUAGAAAAAGGGGUUCAAGAUCGACUUUAUCUGUACCUAAAAAAUUAUUUUAAUCAUAUAUAAAUCAAACCGUAAGGAGUAAUAUAUAUAUAUAUAUAUAUUAACCAAAGUGUUUUGGAGUUAACAAGUAUACGGUUAUUUGAGUUAUAUUUUUUAGUUUAGAAAAGUAUCACUGUUUUGAUUGAUUCUUGAAUAUCAAAUUCAUGAUUUUAUUCGUAUGAAUGUCUGUCAUUUUUUUGUUUUUUUUUCUUAUAAUUACUAAUUGUAUUACGCCUAAUUAAAGCUUCUUUUCUAAUUUGUUUGUUAUCUACAUUUUUUAAGUUAUUUUUUCUUUUGUUUUGGAGAUCACUAAUGUUAUGAUAUUGUACCGUACCCAACUUAUUCUUUCUUACAUGUCAUAAUUCUCGAACACAUUCAUUUUAAUUCUUAUAUAGUUGACUGAAUUCUUGUAAAAAAUUGGCUAAACACUUUUUAGUUGCUACUUAAAAGUAUUUUUUAAAUUGAUUGAUCAAAAACGAAUUGCUUCUCACAUAAGAUUUUCUUUUUUAGAAAAAAAAUUACUGGAAUUUUUUUAAAAAAAUUAACUUAUUUCAAUAGUUUGAUUAAACAAGUUUCAAGCCUGGGUCCUUCUUCAUCAUAUUAGUUGUAUGUUAAGGUUUUCUUAUACAUUUACAGAAAAAUAUGUAAACAAUAAUCAUAAGAGUUUAGAGGAAUCUUAUUAUUCAAUUCAGUUUGUUAGUUAUUUAAAAUUUUACAUUAUCAGUGAAGUUUCGAUUUUUUUUCUUGCAAUUUUCUUUUCUACACCGAAUAUAAAUAAGUGAAAUUAUACAUGUCUAAAUUGUCCUUUUACCUUUUCAAAAUACACAAUUAAUUAAAAUUACUUCAGAAGUAAAAUAAUCUUUAUUUUAUGAAAUUAUAUUGAAUAUAUUAUUAUUAUUAUCAUAAAAAUAAUGAUGAUUGAUCAUGGAAAAAAAUAAUAAAGUUUUUUUAUAUUUUUAAAUUUUAAAAUAAGUUUAAUUUUCUAAAUCUAUUAGCCAAAUAAUAUAAUUAGGACUAAAGAUAUUGAAACUUAGUUUUAUAAUAACAUCGAGGUGUGCAUCUUCUGUUCAGUAAAAUGACAUUGUUAUUGCUUUUAAGGAAAAAUACAUAAAUUUCCUCUUCUUUCAAAAUAUCAGCUACUUGUUUAAAUUAUUAUAAAGAUUUAUUAUAUAUUUAUUAUUUAAAAAUAAAUUUAUUACCAUUUAAAUGUAUAAUAUCAUUCUUAAAAUAUAUGUGAUGUAUUACACUAGGUGCUACUUCAAUGCUAUGUUAGUGCCACAUCAGAAACUAAUUCUUUUAUAUUUUUUUUCUUUUGUUUUCUUUAUGAUUAACAUUUUUUUUAUAAAUCUUAUAUUUUAUACUAAUUAAUUCCAAAUUAAUUAUUAAAAUUAUUUGAUAAUUAUACUUUUUUUCAUCAAUAAAUUUCACUCACUUUAACUCUAAUCUUGCCAAGAAAAUUGUUCAUUUCAACUCAUACCAUAAUUUUCUUUGUCUUCUCCACCAAAGAACACCAACUCAUCACCCACACAACCCUACCUCCACAACGGUGUUCCCUCCUAUUUUCUUACAAACUAGUAGCCACCAAUCGAACACCUAAAAACAACCACCCAAAACUUCAAAUCAAUCAUCAAUAACAAACUCCUAAUGAAACCCCUUUUCCUUCUCCUUUUUUAUUUUAUUUUUUGAUUUAUUUUGCAGGAGUUCUAGCGAGCUCAAAGCUUCUGUCACGAUUCUGAUAACGUUUCGAUGAAUUCGGCACUUUCAGAUCUGAACAACUAAUAAACAAUCACAACGAUCAACACCGCUAGAUUAUCGUCGUUGUGAUGCUUUUAGGUUGUGGAGGGUACGUAAGGAGGAUUUUCUUUUUUUAUUGAUUUUUAAAUUUUAAUUUUCCUUACUCGUGUGUUACUUUUUUUUAGUUAUUUUUUGACAUUUCAAUUUUAGGAGUGAAUAAAUUUACUUUUAAAUAAUUUAGAAUGUAUAAUAGAUCGACAUGAUAAUUCAAGCGAAUAAUCAAAUUUUUUAGAAAAUCCAAAGAAAAUCUAUGCCUUAUCUCAAUUCAAUUAUAAUAAAGGGUGAGGAGGAAAAACCUCCUGACUUGAGUUGUAUGAUUGCAAAUUUGCAUGUGUGGUCUUAGAAGAGAGUGUUGGAGUAUGAAGAAUCCCAUUAAGUACCCCCAUUUAGAAAUCAAGCUAGGUUUAGAUAAAACAAAAGUGAAAACUUUGUAAGGUAAAUAAAAUGUUCGCUUGAAAAACUUAUUAAAAUUGCUCUUUUAAUUUGAACUUGAAACUUAUUUUGUGAUUCUUUUUUUCUAUAUAAUCAAACAUUAUUAGAAAACUUACAGAAAUUUUAUCAGUUAAUUUGGAGUAAAAUAUUUAGAUAUAUUUUAGUUUGUAAUAGUAUAAUUUUUUUAUUAAAUUUUGAUAUCUCCAGAUAAUCCACAUACAUAUAUCUCGUGAUAUAAGGAUAAAUACACUAUUUGAAAACUUGGACAUUUUUUCUCCUGAAACUGAUAUGUAGAGCUUAAUUGCAUGCUCUAGAGUCUUCUAUUGUUUUCCCUCCACUUGAGGAGGAUACUUUGGUUAUACGAGUAAAAUGUUUACUAAUUUUGUGAUAUUGAUCGAACGAUAAUUAUUUUUAAUAUAAAAAUUGUUGUAAAAAAUGAUUUCAGAUCUCAAAAGAAAAUAUUCAUACUUAUGUCUAGGUUCAUUUAAUUAUACCUUUUGACGAAAAUUCAAUAUAAUUAAUUAUUCUAACAUAUUUCUGAUGAUAGUUAAAUUUUCUAAAUAGUCUUGUUUGGCCUUUUUUUUGACUAUUGGCUACUUAUAACGCAUAUAUUAAUUAUAGGGACCUUAAUUAUAUGAGUCAUUUCUUUGGCAGUAGAUGAUGUACAUACUUCAAUUUAUGAAAAUUUUCUUUAAUAUUCAUGAUGAAGUAUUUUAUGUUAGUUUUUCACAAUUUUAAGAGUAUUUUAUAUAAUUUAUUUUCUUGUCAAAAAUAGUACUAAUCGAUAAAAUCGAUAGGGUGGUAAUCAAUACUGACAAACGAACAAAGUGAUAGUCAAGAGACAAUGGGGAAUUUGAUUUGAUGAGUAUAAUGAAGCCAAAUGAUAAAUUCAAGCAUACUCCAUGUAAAUCUUUACCUGGGAGAAUAAUUAGACUUUUUGUGUUCAUGAAGAAGGUAUGUGACAAUACUAUAUAUUUAAAGUUUUAAUUUAUUUGUGUGUGGAAAAUUAAGCCACUAAAUUUCUCAACGUUGAAGAAGAUUUAGAGAAAUGAUAAUUCUUCUAAGAAAAACUUUACUAAGCAAAUGAUAUAUUUGUGUGGUCGUUGGUGAAUCUUGUGGGCUUAUGACUAAUAUGUAAAAAAUUGAGUGUUAGACUUGGAUGUUAACAAGUAUAUUUGUGCAUUACACCCACGUUGAAGAACAAGAAAAAUGAUUUUUAUAUGGUAGGAAAUACUAAAACUAUUUAGGUUCUUGGAAUGGAAAAUUAUUUCUUAUUUAACUCUCAUAUGAAAAAUAUUGAUAUUAUCUGAGGUGAUAUAAUCUGGAUCAAUUAUUCUUAUGAAAUUAUGAUAAAAAGUAGAAAUCUUUUAUUUGAGUUAGAUAAGAUUUAACAAAAUAAUGUGUUUGUGGGGGAAAAAAAUUAUAUUCAUAGUUUUUUGUGCUUAAUGUUUAUCAAAGUUUGAAAAUAGAUAUACAUAAAUUAUUUGUCAUGUUUGCUUUUUAAAAGUCAAUUUGACUAAUUUUCAAAGUUAAAUUAGAUCAUAUUAAUUUGAUAUUUUAAACAAAAAAAUUAGAUAGUCUAAAAUUAUAUGAAAAGUACUAUAAAUUGCAAUUUUUUGGAUAUUAUUAUGAAGAAAAAAUAUAUCUUAAAAUAUUAGUCAAAAUUUUUAUAGUUUGAGUCUAAAAAUAGAAAUCAUAACAAAUAAUACCGAACGGAGGGAGUAAUAUUUUAGUAGAUUGAUUGGUUAAUUAUCUUUCUAUAUUUGAAUUGAAGCACUUUGUGUCUAUAUAUGGACACAAGUUUAUGCGUUGGAAUGAUUAAGUAAUUUAUUUUUAUUAACUUAUAACAAUUUAUUGAGUGUUUAUGUAAAUACAUAAUCAUAUAAGGAUUUUUUAAUGCAUAAAUUUGUGUUGAAUUGAAUUGAACCACUAAGAAAUUACUUGUUUAUGUUUCUGAGCAUUUAAAUUUUAGAUUUAAUUCUUUCGAAUUUUUUAAGACUUGUAUAAAUAAUGACUAGAUGUGAAAAUUAUUAUGAUCACAUUUGUGAAUAUUUUCUAUACAUAUACAAGAGGUUUUUGUUGAAAAUAAAGAGAUGAAGUUUGACAUUUUAAUUUAUAAAGUAAAGUCAAGUUUUUGGCCUUAUCUUGCAGGUGACCCACUUUAUUCGCCAAGCGAAUGAUCUUCGCUUCGCGG
rnacentral:lncRNA from 1 species